GAAUUUUUUCUUGAAUUACUUAUUGCAAAUCACAUUUAUUACUGAUAAAACAUAAAUCAUAAAUGAUAAAUCAAAAUAUGAAUUAAGAGGUCGAUGUCGACGGCGACUUGCAGGAAGCAGUAGCAACAGCAAGUUGCAGGGGUUGAAUUCGAAAUCCCAAGGCAGCAAGACGGAGGAAGGAUUUGCGUGCAAAUGGAAAAUGUAAUUGUCGAAUUGGCUAACAUGAAUAGUGGGUAAUGGAUUUGGAAAAUGCUUUUCUAUUGGAAUUUUGUUAUUUGUACACCGAUGUGAGAGGCCCACGUCCAAUAAAAAAGCGUGGACCUCUUCUUGUUAGGGGCACGUACAUUGGCAUGUGUACAUGUAGCAAAAUUCUUUCUAUAGAACCAAUGGUCCAACUCUAUGCUACAUGAAAAUAAAUUUAGGCUUAAUUUUUUAAUGAGAAUAAUACAUAAUUACUAGACCAUAAGAAUCACAUUUCACAAUAUAUAUAUACACACACACACACACACACACACACACAUACACAUACACACACAUAGCAGAGUUACUGGAGUUGCUCUUCUUACAUCGCCUUUCUGUCAUCAACGACUUUGGCCUCCAUGUGCAGUAGAUUUCCGCCCAAAAUAUCCACCUCACCAUCGGCACAGUACCACACACUGCCGAACACACAACAAUAAUGCACCACACACAGAUUGCACCACCUAUUUCACUUUCAAAUAUCACCGAAUCUUGCGUGGUUCACUGGGAAAAUACCAAAAAGAAGACAACAUAAUGGAGGGAAAAUUGAAAUGGAAUCCAGGCUUGUGGGGUGGGGUGGAUUGGAGAUAGGUGAUUUUUGGGGAAAGCAUGAAAAGAGGAUAGCUUAAGCUUAAUGGAGGGAGAACUGAAAUCUGGGCUUUUGGGAUGGGUUGGAGAGGGCGAGGUUUUUUUCAGAAGAAACCUUUGUAGAAGAGAAAUUGACUGAACUAAUUGAUGCUUUUGGGGUGAGUGGAACGAGUGGUGAAUAAAUAUGAUAUUUAAACCAAGGAAGAUAUUUUCCUUAAAAACUUUUGGUCUUUUUUUUUUGGUUGCUUUUCCAACACAGCUGACAUAUGUUCAAGUAUUUAUUUUUUGCAUUAUUCAAUCAUAAUUGUAUGUGACUUGCUUAUCCAAAAUUGCUAUUGUAAUUAUAAUUAUCUUGCAAAAAUAGCCCAUGACCAUUUUUUGCGUUGACUAUUUUUUGCAUUAAACGUGACUCUUCAUGAUCAUGUUUGUGAUCGGGUCUAUUUUCAAUGUGACUAUGACCAUGUUUAUCUUAAUUUUGAAUGUCCGUGAUCAAAUAUUUCUUAAAUGUGGCUGUUUGUGACUAGGUCUUUUUAAAAUGUGAUUGUAUGUGACCUGAUUUGUCUUAUUGUUACUGUAUGUGACUAUGUCCGUGUCAACAAUAUUUUGUGAUCUAACAUGUGAACAAUGAUUUUUUGUGACUACUUUCUUGUUAAUUGUAACUACUUGUAACCUUUUAUGUAUUAAUUAUGACUAUGUGUGAUCAAGUUUGUGUUAUUUGUGAUUGCCUGUGAUGAUAUCUGCUUUCAUUGUGACCAAUUGUUAUCUGAUUGUGGCCAAUUAUUGUGUGACUUCAACUUAUAUUAAUCAAAGACCAAUAUUACACGUGACAAAUUAUUUAUUGAUCAUAAUUUAUCCACUAACUAGUCACGACGCAUUGUAAGGUCAUAAAAAAUCAAAUUAAUUGGUUGCNNNNNNNNNNNNNNNNNNNNNNNNNNNNNNNNNNNNNNNNNNNNNNNNNNNNNNNNNNNNNNNNNNNNNNNNNNNNNNNNNNNNNNNNNNNNNNNNNNNNNNNNNNNNNNNNNNNNNNNNNNNNNNNNNNNNNNNNNNNNNNNNNNNNNNNNNNNNNNNNNNNNNNNNNNNNNNNNNNNNNNNNNNNNNNNNNNNNNNNNNNNNNNNNNNNNNNNNNNNNNNNNNNNNNNNNNNNNNNNNNNNNNNNNNNNNNNNNNNNNNNNNNNNNNNNNNNNNNNNNNNNNNNNNNNNNNNNNNNNNNNNNNNNNNNNNNNNNNNNNNNNNNNNNNNNNNNNNNNNNNNNNNNNNNNNNNNNNNNNNNNNNNNNNNNNNNNNNNNNNNNNNNNNNNNNNNNNNNNNNNNNNNNNNNNNNNNNNNNNNNNNNNNNNNNNNNNNNNNNNNNNNNNNNNNNNNNNNNNNNNNNNNNNNNNNNNNNNNNNNNNNNNNNNNNNNNNNNNNNNNNNNNNNNNNNNNNNNNNNNNNNNNNNNNNNNNNNNNNNNNNNNNNNNNNNNNNNNNNNNNNNNNNNNNNNNNNNNNNNNNNNNNNNNNNNNNNNNNNNNNNNNNNNNNNNNNNNNNNNNNNNNNNNNNNNNNNNNNNNNNNNNNNNNNNNNNNNNNNNNNNNNNNNNNNNNNNNNNNNNNNNNNNNNNNNNNNNNNNNNNNNNNNNNNNNNNNNNNNNNNNNNNNNNNNNNNNNNNNNNNNNNNNNNNNNNNNNNNNNNNNNNNNNNNNNNNNNNNNNNNNNNNNNNNNNNNNNNNNNNNNNNNNNNNNNNNNNNNNNNNNNNNNNNNNNNNNNNNNNNNNNNNNNNNNNNNNNNNNNNNNNNNNNNNNNNNNNNNNNNNNNNNNNNNNNNNNNNNNNNNNNNNNNNNNNNNNNNNNNNNNNNNNNNNNNNNNNNNNNNNNNNNNNNNNNNNNNNNNNNNNNNNNNNNNNNNNNNNNNNNNNNNNNNNNNNNNNNNNNNNNNNNNNNNNNNNNNNNNNNNNNNNNNNNNNNNNNNNNNNNNNNNNNNNNNNNNNNNNNNNNNNNNNNNNNNNNNNNNNNNNNNNNNNNNNNNNNNNNNNNNNNNNNNNNNNNNNNNNNNNNNNNNNNNNNNNNNNNNNNNNNNNNNNNNNNNNNNNNNNNNNNNNNNNNNNNNNNNNNNNNNNNNNNNNNNNNNNNNNNNNNNNNNNNNNNNNNNNNNNNNNNNNNNNNNNNNNNNNNNNNNNNNNNNNNNNNNNNNNNNNNNNNNNNNNNNNNNNNNNNNNNNNNNNNNNNNNNNNNNNNNNNNNNNNNNNNNNNNNNNNNNNNNNNNNNNNNNNNNNNNNNNNNNNNNNNNNNNNNNNNNNNNNNNNNNNNNNNNNNNNNNNNNNNNNNNNNNNNNNNNNNNNUUAAUCAAUUGUAUUUCUUUUUGUUCACACUUGACAUUUUAAAGCCUUCAUUUUAUAUUGCUAGUUUGCUAUAUUUAAGUUCAUACUCGUGAAUUUUACUACAUUACACAUUUAGCCCCUGUUUGAGGCCACAUUUUUUUUUUGGGAAAUAAUAUAUUUUGGAAUCUUGAUUUUUUUUCCAGAAUAUGUGAUUAAAAAACAGAGAAAUUGUUUUGAAUUACAUAUAAAAUUAUUUUAUGAAAAAAUGUAUAAUUGAAAAUGAGUUUUGAAAAAAUGAAUUUUAAGAAUAAUGAGACUCAUAAGAGGCUUAAUAAGUAUUUUAUUUGACAUCACGUCACUAAUAUCUUUAUUUACUUAUUAAUUAUUAGAUGAAGUUAUUGAAUUGUUAUUGCUUUACUGACUUAUUUAUAUAUAAAUUCUACUACGUCGAUGCUUUAAAAAUUUUAAUCGUCCUUAACAAAAAUUCUAGAUCCGCCCCUAGAUCAAAAAAAAUUGAAUAGAGCUCGAUUAUUGGUGAGCAAAUGAUUGAUUUAUAGAGUUGCAAUAAUUCAUAGAAUUAAUCUAUUUUAUUAGAUUUAGAACUAAAAUAAACACUUGUUUGUCUACCAUUAAAGUAGGAAAGUAAAUUUUUAAAAUAUUGAAUUUUUGGAGAAUGUAUGAUAAAAUAUUAAAAAAUGACUUUACAUCUAAAAUAUUUUAUUAUAAGAGUUUGUGGUUAAAAAUAAGUUUGAAAAGAAAAAAUGAAUUUUGAAUAAAUAGUAGAAAAACAGGGGAUAAAACAUCUUCAUUGAUGACUUUUACGCAUCUAAAACUGAAUUCAUUGUAUAAAUGAUCAUUGAAUUUUAUUUUAGGAUGCUACUUGUUCAACCAAAAUAAAUAAAUAAAUAAGCGUUUCUCCAUUUUAAAUAUGAGUGAGUAGUAAAUAACAUUUUAAAUUUGAACAAGCAAGUUGCAUUAAAUUCGAUCCUAUUUCUAUUUUUAGAGUAUUAAAUUUUCUCUUUCUUUAUCUUCAUUUUUUUUUUAAUCUUCACAUUAGUAAAAGAAACAUGGGCACUAGAUAGAACUCAUUAGAGACCAAUUUUAUAUUUGAUCAUCUAUUCUUUAUGCAUCAAUGUCUUGCAAAUUACAAUUUAUAAGUGUACCUGCAUGUCAUGUAGAAUGUUGGCCUCGAUUGUAGUAUGCACAGUAAAUAAUAGAUGUCGAGUCCACUCGUGUCUACGCAAACUAAUUCCAACGCGCUUGGACAGAUUACUAGUCAACGAUGUUUCGAAUUUCUGCGAGAGAGACGCUUUACAAUGCGAAACAAAAAUGUUCAAACACCGACGAUAUAUAUAAAUAAAAUUGUAUGAUAAAGAACGAUCAAGAACACAUAAACUCAAGAUUAAACAUUUAGCUCAAGAAAUAGAGAAUAAUAAAGCAGAGAGAAGCAAUAACUCUAGUCUUCAAUUCAAUGUAUAAUGUUGCGAAGCCCUUCAAAUGAUAGGAGGAGUGGGUAUUUAUAAUGUCAUCAAUCAAUUGAAUAGGAUUAUAUCAAUAGAUGAUCUUCAAAAGAAGUGAAUCACGAACAAGCCUCAAACCGAACCUACGAACUACAACUGCUUCAGUAAGCGAGCUUCGAUAUUUGGGCUUCACCACACUGGAGAGGAGCCUCAUCUUUUUUUUUUUUUUUGUGGGAUACCACGUAGGCUCCUUGUGGGACCUUGGUGAGGAGGUGUAAUAUAAACUGUGAUCCAUAAAAGACAUUAGAAAUGCUCUAAGGGGCAAUAAAAAUAUUCACUAUUUUAACCAUACUCUCAUGUUACACACAUUAAUAAUAGAUACUGAGAAAGUAUCAAUGAAGUUGACAGCGACAAGCCAUAUAAAAACUCCAUGUGACCUCGUUGUAUGGGUUGAGAAGACUUAGGCCUAAGCUUAGCAACAAAUUUAAUCCCACCACAUACUAUACUUGUUUGGCUAACUUGAUUAAUCUUUGUUUGGUGAAUUUUCACCACAUUUUAAUUCAGUUAAAGUUCUCAAUAUUUAGUCAUUAUAAUACUUACAUUCCUAACAAUUUUUCGUAACACAUUUUGUAUUUUAUAACAGUUUAUAUCCAAAAGAUCCAUUGAAGGGUAUAAAACUACUUACUUUCCAUCAUUUAAAAAAAAAAAAUACAAAAAUACAAAAGUACAAUAAAAUAUAUUUUCCCUCAGGGGAAACAAUAUAUUUUGUCAAAAAUCAUUAUCAAUGACGAGAUAUGUUAAUACGAUAGAAAAGGUUAGGAAUAUAAACAUUGCAACAAAACAAAAAUUGAGGAAUAUAAGUGCAAUAAAAUGUGGUACAAUAAAUAAAAAUUUUGAUGUUAAUAUAACCAUCCGUAUAUGAUGAAAGAUUUUUUUUUUUUUUGUCCAAAAAUGUACUUGCAAAUAAUUUAUAGCCACUAAUAAAUCCUUAAAUUAAUAUUGGAAGUUACUAAUAAGGUAAUCAAUACUUUACGUGUGGAACUUCAAAAUCAAAGUGAAAUAUAAAUCCAAUAUUACAAUCGGUCCACGGUACCAACUUUGUGACCCACGCUAUAAAUGGCGAAAACACAUCAUAAUGGUUAAAAAUGUGUUUGGCUGUAAAUAUUGAUACAGUUUACAAGUCUAUCAAACGAGAAAUAUUCUAAAAAAAGAAAGAAAGUAAUUUUCAUGAAGGGUGCCAUUAUUUAUAUUCACAGUUUUUAUAUAUGCAUCUCACUCUAUAUAUAUUCAUAUUAAAAUUUUAAAAAAAUACUAUUUUUAUCCACAUCAAAUUUUAAUAUUGUCCUUAUUAAAUUUAUUCAUUUAAACAUUAUAAAUCCAUACAAAUUUUAUAUAUUCAUCUCACUAUGAAUACAUUUUUAAUACAAUUUCUAAAAUUAAAAAAAAUCACUUAUUCAUCUAAUUAUUAUCAACAUUUAAUCUGACUCUUACUUUUUAUUUUCUAUAUUGUUAUGUCAGUGCAUUAAUAUUUUAGCCAUAAAGGUUAAAAAAUUUCUUUUCUUAAAUUUAUAGGAUUCUAUCAAGAGUAUACUACUCAAGCAACCAAACAAACCUCCUAAAAUCAUAUGUUGAUAAUUUUUUUAUUAUUAUUAUUUCUUCUUUUCUUUUUUUGUGCUUAUGAGUUCAUAAUUUUGGUUGUUUGUAUUUUGGCUGAUAAUUUUGAGUUUAUUUCCGUUUGUAAUGUAAGAAUAUUUGGACAGGUAUUUAUACAUAUUUUGAAAUUUUUCAUUUAUUUUUAUCUGUCAAACAAAUACUUAAAAAAGCAUUAAAAAAAUAUUUUAUUUUUCAUAUCAUGAAAGAAUUAUAAAUCUAAUAAUGUGUUGAUUUUUUUUUAAUUUCAAUUGAAGACGUUAUAUAUUUUAUUAUUAAGGUUUUAUAAUUUUAGAUGAAGAUUUUUAUUACUAUUUUUCUUUUUUUGCUUAUUAGCUGAUAAUUUUAAAUUUGAUUCCUUUUGUUAUGUAAGAAUAUUUGGACAAGUAUUGAUACUUAUUUUGAAAUUUUUCGUAUAUAUUUAUCUGUCAAACUAAUACUUAAAAAAGCAUAAAAAAUUAAUAUUUCAUUUUUCAUAGCAUGAAAGUAUUAUAACUCUAACAAUGUGUUGAUUUUUUAUUUUUUUUUAUAUCCAUUGAAGAUGAUAUUUUGUGAUUAGGGUUUCAUGUUUUAGCUGAAGAUUAUUAUUAUUAUUAUUAUUAUUAUUAUUAUUAUUAUUAUUAUUAUUAUUAUUAUUAUUAUUAUUAUUAUUAUUAUUUAAUUUUGGUUAUUUGUGUUUUGAAAGAUAAUUUUAAGCUUGUUCCUUUUUGUAAUGUAAGAAUAUUUGGAUAUAUGUUGAAACUUAUUUUGACAGUUCUUGUAUAUUUUCAUCUGUCAAGCCAAUACUUAAAAAGAAUAAAAAAUAAUAUUCCAUUUGUCAAAUCAUGAAAGAAUUAUAACUCUAAUAAUGUGUUUUUUUUUAAUUCCGUUGAAGAGGAUAUUUUAUUAUUAGGGUUUUAUGAUUUUAGUUGAAGAGUUUAUUUUAUUAUUAUUAGAACCUUAGUUAAACACAAAUUCUAAAAGAAUAUAAAAAUGUUUAAAAGAGUUUAUAAAAUAAAGAUUAGUGCAUGAAGUUAGAACGAUAUAUUUUUAUUUAAUUAUAUAUAUAUAUAGAGGUAAAUUUACAUAAGAUAAAAAUAAUAAUAUAAUUAUAUAUAUAAAAGUGGAUAUAUAUUGUGUGUGAAUAUAAAUGGCGAUACCUUUAAUGAAUAACGACUUUAAAUGUAGGAAAAUUUACAAAAAUACAUCAUCUUGUAUAUAAGGUGUAAUUAUACUUUGUAUAGUGUAUUUUAGAUUUUUAAUUGUUCUUAAAAAUAUAAUUUGCUGCAAAAUUUACAAAUAUGUCAUUGCAAUAGAAUAGCGAACAAAAAUACACUUAAUUGAAAUAACAAAUCACGCUACACACACACACAUAAUGUUUUUUUCUCUUUAAAUGGUGAUUUUUUUUAUGUAAGAGAUUUAUAAAAUUUAUUAUCUUAUUUUUCCGAACUCUAAUAUCAAACUAAUAAAAAUAAAUUUAGGUUGUUAAUAAACUAUUGAAAAAUAAAUAUAGAAAAUAAUUCAUUUGAUUCUUCCGACAUUGUAAAACAAAUAAAAAAUUUUAAUUGCUAUACUUUGAUUAAUAAUAUUUGCUCGAAGAAUAAAAACUAUACAAUUACGAUAACUUCUUAUAUUAAUUGUUAAUUUGUAGAAAAAUCCACCUUAAUCGUUUAAGGCUGGGGUAAUUUUGCAACUCAUAAAAUUGUUAAAAAUACAUGAGUAAUUUUAUUGUAUUUAUCACGGACGAUUCUCUCUCUCUCUCUCUCUCUCUUUUUCCAGAAACCUUCGUGGAAGAGAAGAAUAUUUAAAUAUAAUUAGUAAAAAAAAAAAAGCAGUGAAAAUACUCGAAAAAGAAUGACAAUAUAUGUAGAGAUAGAUAAAUAUAAAUAAAUUAAAUUUUAGAUGACACGAAUUAAUAUAUGAACUUUUGGAGAAUAAAAAAAAAAUUAAAAUUGGUAUGUAAAGGUUGCAUAAUAUAACACAAAGGUGUGAAUUUUUUAUUUUCGAUUGUCGUCGGUAUCUUAAUCUAUUUACUUAUUUCAAAUGGCAAAACUCUAAGGGUUUUUAGCAAAAUUAAUUUUUCGAUACCAUAUUGUACAAUAAAAUAUGCAAAGUUAAAAAAUACAGUGUGUAAUGUGUAGAUAUAACAUAUAUACACGGUUUUUAAAUGCUUAUAACAAGUUAUUUAUCUUACCUAAGGACGAUCCUGAGGCGAGGCUAGUGAGACCUAUGCCUCAGGCCCAAAAGCCGAGGGGGCCUCAUUUGGUCAAAGAUUUUUUUUUUUGGUUAAAUAUUAAAUGAAGGAAAAGGGAAAAAAAUUUCAUUUCCUUCUCCUUUCUACUCCUACGACCGAUUGCUCUGCCUCUGACACUCCAAUAGGACCAGCGACAGCAGGUGGCUUUUUGUCAUCUUUUGUUCCCUCUACUCUUUCACACAAAUUACAAGAGAACAAACGACAAAACAACUAAACAAGCUGACCCCUUUGUCAAAUUUCAACCUUAAUCGACUACACAAGCUCUCUGUGAUCUUGUCCUGCAAUUUGGUGAGAGAGACAAAGAGUCAAUGGUUAGCAUCUGUCUGUUAUCAUAUAAAUUUCCAUUUUCUUUAUUUUCUCUUUGGAUGUUAAAAAUUCUUUGUCUUGUAGCAUUUAUGUAUAAGGAUAUAAGUCUACUGCUCUUAAACUUAUGUUGUAUCUCUUAUUAUCACAUUUUUUAACCUUAACUUUUAGGAAAUAUAUCAGUAUUUUGAUUAUAAUUGCAGCCCUGUAUAUGAUCCUUGAGUAUUCUAAUUUUGCUGCUUUUUGAGACCCAAGAGAAUGAGGAGUUCUUAAUGCACAAUUUGGGCUUCGUGAGAAUGAAAAUUUAUGAAGGUAGACAGUAAUAGUUGCCACAAAGAUAAAUUUGUUAAUAUGAAGUAAACUUUUCUUCGAGGGAAUGUACUUCAGUGUCUUAAUUUGUUGGUUUUGCUAUUUUAUAAUAUAAAUCUUUUGUAUAAUAUAUUUGUGUUGUUGUUUUAAUAAUAAGUUUUAGGUUAGCAAUAUGUUGCAUAAUAUGUCGUUGAAUUUUGCAGUCAUGUUGGGGGGCCUAAUUUAUGGGCUUCGCCUCGGGCCCAGAUCUUACCGAAUGUGUACAUGAAACGAUAAAUGGGUGUAUAUAAAAAAUAUGUUUGUCAAAGUUAACAUUUGCCAAACUUGCACAAAAUAGUAUCAAUCAUGUUACUUUGCCUAAAAAUUGUUGACAUACUACAUGAUCAAUACUCAAAAAUAGGGGGCCCACUUUUUUUGGACUUUUUAAUCACACGGAAUCCACGUGCAUGUGAGAGGAUGUCAAGCAUUGUGCCAAAUUUUUUCAGGCAAAAUAGUUUAAUUCAAAUAGUAUUGCUCUGGUCUACGGAUGAAUUUCAGGUGAUUCAAUCCCAAGUGUUUUGAGAAUUGAACUGGUCAAAUAUCCAUUAAGAAUUGUGAAAAUGAUUAUUGGCUCUAUAACAAAGGAGGAGCUAAAUCAGAACAGAAUCGAUUAAUUAUUGAUACUUCCAAUUUUAUUUUAUUUUAUUUUUUUCCAGUUUCAUCCUUUAUUCUUGAAAUUAUAAAACUCUCAAUUUUCAAUUCAAGCAGACAAGUUACAAUUAUUGAGAGAGUAUUAAAAAAAGGUGCCCACCCUUGCUCCAGUCACAGCAUGGCUAUAGUUUCUGAAAAACUUUUACCAUUUUCUUUACAGAUUAUUUGACAGAUAUUGAUAUGAAAUGUAUUUUGGCCCCUAAAUUAGGGUCAAAUGCAUGCACCUCAUCAUCACCUAUCAAAUAAUCUGUAAAAAUAUUUCAACACAAAAAAGCUUUAUUGAAGUUUUUAUUGAUCCUCUGUCUUUCGAAUAAUGUUAUUUGUACGUAAAGACUUACAUAAUAAUUAAAUACAGAUAAAGUGUAAAAAAUAGUGUGAAUUUUAAAAUUUUUUAAUUAAUUGAAAAAAAAUUCUGAUCCAAUAAUAUCUUAUUGCAUCAUGUGUGUAUAAAGAGUAAAGUUAUUUAUAGUCUUUCAUUGCAGUAGUCGUCCUACGUGGCAUCCUAUAUGACGGUUUGUGUUUUGAUGUAUUAAUUUGAUAAUUUUUUUUGUCAUAUAUAUCAAAUCACUAACCAUCACAAGCGUGUUACGGAACGAUUACGAUAAUAAGUGAUUGCAAAUAAUAUUAUUUAUAUAUAAAUUAUUAUGUACAUUAAUACAAUUAGAGUGUGUUUGAUUGACAUGGAAAAUAUCAUUUAGAAAAGAAAAUGUUUUCCAUCUUUUGUGGAAAAUAAAAACCACCUCUACCCAAGGAAAAUGUUUUUCUUAAAAACAUGGAAAAUUAGGCAUAUUUUCAAAAGUUGGAAAAUAUUUUCCAUGGAAAAAAUAGCAAUCAAACACUCCAAGUAAGAAUUUGGGUGGAAAAUUGAUAUUUUCCAUGGAAAAUAAAUGUAAUCAAACACACCCUUAUUGUCAUUUAGGACCCUUUGCGCACUAAACUCGCAGAAGCCAAUCAGGGCUUUUCCCUCUAAUCCUAAACAUAGCCCACUACAAUGGGCCCACCAAAACUUGAAAACCCGAAGAUGUCCCCCAAUACAUAACUAGGAUCAUUUUAAAUUACAGGGGCAGUUUUGUCUUUUAGGUCAAGCUACAUAAAUUGAAGUCAAAAGACACAAUUCUCAACUCUGUACGCUUCGGCUCUAUUUUUUGUUUUCGUUUUGAUGAUAAUGGCGUCAAUCUCUUCACCGCUGUGUCAAUUCCCGUGUAUGGCACUUCAAAGAACCUCUCAGAACUCCAAAAUGAUUGCUUCGUCUCGGAUAAAUUCUAUCAAUAUCUCUGGGAAAAACCCCGUGCAGAAGUUGAAGAGAAAUUAUGCAAUCACGGCGGUGCUUCCAGGUCUAGAGAAGGAUCCGAGAGAACCGGGAUUGGCUGUGAUAGUGGAGCCACCACUAAAGGAACCAACGGAAAUUGAGAAGCUGAAGAAAAAAUUGAUGGACUCAUUCAACGGGACAGAUAGAAGAUUGAGCGCCUGUAGUGAGACUAGGGCUGAAAUUGUUGAGCUAAUCACGCAGGUUGAGGCAAAAAAUCCAACUCCGGCUCUGAUGGAGGCGUUGACUUUGCUCAAUGGAAAAUGGAUUCUUGCUUAAGAUCUACCUUAAUUUUUCUUUAAUAUGAAGCUUUGCGUUCUUGUUUUUGUUUAAAAAAUGCUUAAUUUAUUAAAUUGUCUAAGAGUUACUUUCAACUUGCAAAUGAAUCAAACGUCAAAUACUCAACGUAUUUCCAUUUUUUUAGGUUUUUAAUUUUAAUUUUUUCUACAUCAAUUUUUUAAGUCUUGCACAAGAUGGUGUGUCAUCGAUGCAAGAAAAAGAAAAAUGCAGUUUUUGCAUAUGAUUUCAUACAAAUCUACGGAUCAUUAACAAAAAUCAGUUAUUGAGUUAUGAUGUGUAUCUCUUUUAGAAAAGUUUAAUAGAAAUGAAUUUUCUCUCUCUUUCAUAAUGUUAUUAUUAUUAGAUAAAUGUUUUCAAGCAACAAUUUAAUGUUUUCUUAGACAUCAUUAGUAUCAUUUGCACUCUAUAAAUUACAUACGCAAAUGGAUACAAUAGCAGAGAGGAUCGUACUUUGAAACCAUACAAACACCUUCCUAUGCUAUACAUUCAGACCUACUUCACGUCGACGUUAUAGAAGGAGAUGUAGGACGACUCAGUGGUUUUCUCAGGUUCAAAAAUAGAUUGUGACAUUGAAUCCAUGUCCGACGACGAGUGGAGUUUCGAAGAAGACGUGAUGCAGCAGUUAGAGGACAUUACCACGUGGGUCGAAUAUUGACGAUUUGUGAAGCAUGUUGUUCGCGAGUACUUGGCACCGAAUGGAGCAAAUCAAUAUUUAUUCCCGACUAAGCGGUGUGGCUACAUUUUUAUGCUGCAGAAUAUGCAUAUCCAUCUCCAAACAUGUUUUCAAGAAUUUAGGAUGUGUUCGUCCAUGUUCAUGCACUUCACACACAUUCUUCGUGAUCAGUACGGUAUAUUGAGUAGCACGAAUAUCGACGUGUACAAGCAAGUAGGAAUGUUCUUGUACAUACUUGUACACGAAAAAUGAUAUCGACAAGUGUAAACUAUGUUCGGUCACUCGCUGCAGAUCAUAGCGCACUAUUUUAAGACGGUACUGCAUGCAUGCUUGGAAUUCACUGUUAUAAUGGUAAAACCAGAUCUGACAUACAACGGAGGUGCUGCCCACCAUUGGUCCCAUACAGAGCGCUACCUUCUAUUCCAGGUUUGUGACACUCAUUCACGAAACAUUUUUGGGGUUUUCAUUGAUAUGGUGACGUAAAUUAUGAACUUGACAAUAGCUGUUUGUGAUCGUGAAAUUGCAGGACUACAUUCGUGUAAUUGAUGGGACACAGGUCAGAGCUGUAUUGCUUAGUCGCAGAAGGGAAAAUUUCUUAGGAAGAAAGGGUAUUCUGAUGCAGAACGUGUUGGCAGCCUACGAUUUUAACCUAUGUUUUACGUUCGUGUUGUCAGGAACCACAGGGAACACGCAUGACAAUUGUAUAUUGACCCGAGCAGUGCAUAGUCCAAAAAUAAGUUUUCGCAACUAGCGAACGGAAAAUAUUACCUUGUGGACUCAGCGUUCGCACACAGGCCUGGGUAUAUGGCAUUAUAUAAGGGCUCCGACAUUAUAUAUCAUUUCCAAGAGUUCGGGAGCUCAGCGAGAGAACAACAGCGUCAUUUUCAUAAUGCACGCGAGCGAUUCAAUUUCCACCAUUGUUAAUGUCGAAAUGUUAUCAAGUGGGCGUUCGGUGUUUGGAAAUAGAGAUGGAAUAUUCUAGAUCGAAUGAUAGCUUAUAAUAUGAGAGUGCAAACUGUUGUAGUCGUGGCCUCAAUGAAAAUUCCUAACUUACUUAGAAGAAACGAUCGGCUCGACGAGGAUUUCCAUGGAGUCGAAGAAGUGAACGAUGUGAAGUUGAGAUCUAACUUUCUAAUGAACAAGGUAAAAUUGUCGUUGAUCUGGAUGUAAUAGACGCGGAGGACAUGUCGUGGCAACAAUUGCACGAUUACAUGGUAUAGACGCUAUAUUAGUAGUCGUACGUUGGGGACGAGAAGAAAUUUUUUGUUGUGUGUAUUUUCUUUUUUGUGUAACCUGUCUUCAUUAUGUUGAUGUCUCAAGUGUCGAUGAUGGGGACGUUAGUCGCUGUCAAUUAGAAGUUGUCCACCAACAAUUACGAACCAUGUAACAUGUUUGUUUCCGUAUUAAUAAAAUAAUCGUCUCCUGUUUGUAGAAUUGUCUAUCAAUUUGUGAAAGUGACAUGUGUUAAAGAUAUUGCACCACGUGGCCAAAAUUGUUUACUCAUCUUCAAAGGCAUUUGUGGAAUUGUUGAAAUUAGGUAAGGUUGAAUCCAAUGGUUGAUGGCAAAUUGCAGGAUGAAUAUGUUAGAAACAUUGAUUAUCUUCUUACUGGGGCCCACGAAUGGCAGCAAUAAUCUGGAGAAAAUAAGAUGAGAAUGGGGGUCAAACAAGCUCUAUAACUAUAGAGAUGUGAAUCCUAGAAAGGUAUACCUAGGGAAUGAUCAUACACACAAUGUGAAAAGAAUAGGUGAUUGUGCUAUUAGAAUACAUAAUGGCAUUAUCAGACCCCUUAGAGGUGUUAGGUAUGUCCGAGCCUAGCAAAAAAUCUUAUUUCCUUAGGCACUCUAGAAGAAAAAGAUUAUGAGUUCAGAUCUCAUGUUGGUACUUCAAAGAUUUUUAAAUGGUCUCAAGUGGUUAUAAAAGGUCCCAAGAAAAAUGGAUUAUAUGUCCUUCAAGAUGAAGCCUUAAAUAGUAAAGAGUCAGUAUUAUCUUCAGUUUGUAAAGAUAGAUCAGACCUUUGUCAUAAGAGGACGUGACACAUUGGAAACAAAGGGUUAAAAUAUCUAAAUGACUAGAAUUUACUUGGUGAGGAUAGUAUUACAUCUUUACGCUUUUGCGAGACCGAUGUUCUGUGAAAUUCACACAUGGUUAGCUUUGGGAUAGGUGAACACGGUAAUAAGAGAUCAUUGGACUACAUUCAUUCAGAUUUAUGGGGUCCUGAAAAACAUCCCACACGUGGAAGGAAUAGAUUUUUUUAAUCCAUUAUUAAUGUCCACUCGAGGAAAGUUUGGGGUGCAUCUCUUUAAGUCCAAAUCUGAAACUUUUAGUAAGUUUAAGUCAUGGCUUGCGUUAGUUGAAAAUCAAAUGGGAAAGGGUGUGAAAACUCUUAGGACGGACAAUAGUUUAGAAUUUUACAACUUUGAAUCUGAUAGUUUUUGUAAGGUAAAGGGUAUAACGAGGCACAAGAAUGUAAAACAUACCCCCCUAAACAAAAUGGGGUGACAGAGAGGAUGAAUCGAACUUUAUGGGAUAAAGUCAGAUAUAUGAUGAUUAGUUCAAGGUUGUCCAAAGGUUUUUAGGGUAAAGCCGUGCAUACUGCUGCCUAUUUGAUAAAUAGGUCACCUUUUAUUUCUAUUAACUACAAGACUCUCCAAGAGUUGUGGUCUGGAAAAAUCUCAGAUUUGUCACGCAUUAGAUUGUUUGGUUGUGUCGGUUGAUGGCAAAUUGGACAUUAGGGCUACAAGUUUGUCAUGUUAAGUUAUCCAAAAAGAGUGAAAGGAUAUAGACUAUGGGUUUUAGGUGUGAAAGGCAUUGAAAUUAUUAGUAGUAAAGAUGUGAAGCUCAAUGAACUUGACAUGUCUUGCCUUAAAAACACAGACAUAUAAAACAAACAAACUAAGGUAGGAGAAUCUUUUACUGAAAAGAAUAUGGAAUUUGAAGUGAAGAAAUUGGAUAAGAAUCCAAAGGAUAGUGAAAUCCAAACUUAGAAAGAACCUAAUCAAGAAGCAAUAAUAGAACAACUUGAACUUGAAAUUCCUGAAACUAUUGUCCCUAAUCAAGAAACAUCUGGAAGUAUUAAUUUGGAUGAUUACCAAUUAGUAAGUGAUGGAGAGAAAAGACAAGUGAGGCCCAAUUUGAAAUAUAUCUCUUCCAAUUUGAUAGAAUUUGUCCUCGUUUCAGGUGAAACCUUAGAGUCAAUUGAACUGACUUUAUUUAAGGAAGCUUUAAACUGUAAAAAUUCUGAAAAUUAGAAAAAGGCUAUGAAAAAGGAGAUCUAGUCUCUAAACAAAAAUGAGACUUGGAAAUUGAUUGAAAAAUCAGAAAAUCAAAAGGUAAUCAUUGUAAAUAGAUCUAAAAGUUGAAAGAAGAAAUAGGACCUUUAACAUAUAAAGCUGGUUGGUUACGAAAGUGUUUACUCAAAGAGAGGGGAUAGCCUAUAAUGAGAUGUUCUCACCAAUCAUUAAGUAUAAAAUUAUUAGGUUAGUCUUAACCUUGGGUGGUCAAUAGGAUUAGGAGUUGGAGCAACUAGUUGUUAAGACGACUUUUCUUCACGGGUAGUUGGAUGAAUUGAUUUAUAUAUCUCAACCUCAAGGGGUCGAGGUGAGGGGAAAAUAUGAACUUGUGUGUUUGCUUAAAAAGUCCUUAUAUAGUCUUAAGCAAAGUUCUAGGCAAUGAUGUAAAAGAUUUGAUGCUUAUGUGCUUAAAAUUGGUCUUAAGAGAAGUGAAUUUGAUACAUGUUUGCAUUUUUAAUAACUCUAAAACAGACUAUGAAGUUUAUUUAUUGUUAUAUGUGGAUGACAUGUUGCUUUGUAGCUUUAGUAAAGCUGAAAUCAUUAAGAUAAAAACGUUUUAAAGUCGAAAUUUGACAUGAAAGACUUGGGAGAUGCAAGAAAAAUUCUUCGCACAGUUAUUAAAAGGAAUAAAGCUGAUAAUAGGAUGACUAUUAAUCAACAGUCCUAUUUGGACAAAGUGAAAAUCAAAUUUGGUGUGAAAUUUGCUAAGUCUGUCAAUAUGCCAUUACCUGCACACAUGAAUUUAUCAUCUGCACAACGCCUUAAAACAGAAGAAGAAAUGCAUGAAAUGAGUAAUGUUCCUAUGUUAAUGCCAUUAGGUCUAUGAUGUAUUCUAUGAUUACCAUGAGAUCAGACCUUUCAUAUGCAGUUAGUUUUUUGAGUAGGUUUAUGUCUAACCCAAGUAAACUUCAUUGGACUGCACUUAAAUGGCUGUUGAGAUAUCUAGCUAAAAAUUUAAAAAGAUUAUUAGUGUUUAAACGAAAAAUGAAAAGUUAGAGCUUAAAUGAUGUGUAAAUUCUGACUUUGUGAGGGAUAAAGAUUAGGGGAAAUCUACCACUUCAUACUUCUUCACUUUAGGUGAUAAUUAUAUCGCAUGGAAAUUACAGUUACAACCUAUUGUUGCACUCUCCAGCAUUGAAGUAGAAUAUGUUGCAUUAACUGAAACUGUAAAAGAAUGCAUGUGGCGAAAGGCCUUCUAUGUGAAUUAAAUUUCUUGAAUGAUAAUGCUAUAAUUUUUACUAAUAUUCAAAGUUCAUUGAUGUUGUUUAAAAAUCCUAUUUAUCAUUAAUGCUCUAAACAUGUUGAGGUGAAGUAUAACUUCAUUAGGAAGAAGUUAGCUUUUGGUGAUUUUAUUUUGCUUAAAAUUGCAACUGAUGAUAUUACUACAGAUGUUGGAGCAAAAGUACUUUCGAUUGGUAAGUUCAACAAAUGUUUAUCAAUAUUGAGUAUUGAUAAUGUUAGGAAAAUGUGUAAUUGACAAUCUGUGACCAAAGGACCUAUUUGUCAAAAUUGUAAAGUCAAGGACCAAAUUGUAAAGGUCUAAUAGUUCAGGGACUAAAGUUGCAAUUUAGCAAAGUUCAUAGCAUAGGUCUAGGGUAAAGUGGGAUGCUUUGAAGAUACAAAUGGCGCGUUAAUUUCGCUAGAGUUUCGCCCUGACCUCGCUCAAGCCUAAAUUGCAGAACACACGUCGCUAGAGUUUCACUGAGCUGUCGCUCGAGCGAAGGUGCAUCGCUCGAGUUUUUCCAGCACCUCGCUCAAGCGACGGUGUUAUCUGGCCUUUGGUAAUUUAAUACCUCGCGAAUUUUUAACGCUCCAUAUUACCAAAUUCAACCUACUAUAUAAACAAAACGUCCGAUUUUCGUAAAUGACCUUUGGCAAACAUUCAAACAGGAAUUCCUCUCAACUUCCAAAGGAUUAAGAACCUAAUAUUCAUUCUUUUCAUCUUUUAAUUCUCAUGGUUCUUUGAAUAAAAACAUCAACCCUCUUAAAACCAAAACACCCUUUCAUAUCUCCAUAUCAACUUCCAGAAGAUCGUCAGUUUGAAGAUCCGGGAAGGGAAUUGCUUGAAGAGCUGGAGUGCUUGGUGAUUCACGAGAGGUAGAAGAUAUUCAAGGUUGGGAUUUUGACGUAGAUCUGCAAAAUCCAGGAUAGCUGUGGUCGAUACAGUAAGGAGGUCAGAGUAUUGUUAGAAUCAAUAAUGUCUGACGUACUGUAAGUCAAUAUCUUCUAUAGUGGAUCUCUACUGGCUUGUGCCCGAAGUUUUUACCCAGUUGGGUAUUCUUCGUCAACAUUUUGUGGCGUUUUUACUAGUUUUUGUUAUUUACUUUUCAACCGGCAAUUCAAUUUAGGUAGAUAAAGUAUGUGAAUGAAUCUGGACAAUGCAUAAUUUAUGUGACUUGUUGCAUAAGUUAAUUAAUUGCCUUAAUUCCGCAUAAACACCUAUUCACCCCCCCUCUAGGUGUUGGUUGGGUCGAACUAUAGCUUUUUCAAGUGGUAUCGGAGCUAAAUCUCGAGUCCUGACCCAUAGUUGUCUAGAUGAGUCAAUCACUGUCUGUACCUCCAUUUUUCGAUAGAAGUAAUUAUGCUUAUUGGAAGGUUAGAAUGCGUGCUUUUCUUAAGUCUUUAGAUGAGCAUGUUUGGGUAAGUGUGCAAAAUGGUUGGAAACCUCCCUCCGCUACCGUUUUUGGAACUAUUAAUCUAACUGACAUAUCACUGUGGACUAAGGAUGAAAUAGUUGAGUGUAAUUGGAAUAGCAAGGGUCUUCAUGCCCUGUUUAUGGCCGUGUGUUACGAAGAGUUUAGGAGAGUGUCAAUGUGUGAAACUGCUAAAGAGGUUUGGGACAUUCUUGAAACUACACAUGAGGGAACUAAAACGGUAAAGAAUUCUAAGUUACAAAUGCUAGCUUCUAGGUUUGAAGAAGUGAGAAUGAAGGAUGAUGAAACGUUUGACGAAUUCUGUGCUAAAUUGAAUGACAUUGUUAAUUCUAGCUUCAAUCUAGGUGAGAGAAUUUCCGAGUCUAAAAUUGUGAGAAAAGUGCUUAGGUCCCUGCCCGAGAGAUUUAGGCCUAAAGUCACUGCCAUUGAGGAAAGUAAGGACCUAGAUGAAGUUAAAAUUGAAGAACUGGUAGGAUCCCUGCAAACUUAUGAACUCACUGUCACACAACCUAAGAAAGGAAAGUCCAUAGCCUUAAAAUCUAUCAAAGAGGAUGAAUCUUCUGAUACUGACUCACUUAGGGACGAUGAAAUUGCUUACUUUGUUAAGAGAUUCCAAAAAAUUCUCAAGAAUAGGAGAAAGCCUUAGGAUAGAAAAAGUGGAGCCCCUAGCAAUUUUUCAAAAGAAAAAAUUGAAAAGUUUACCAAUAAAGGGUCUAGUGAUAAGUCUCAUUUGGUUAGGUGCCAUGAGUGUCAAGGAAUAGGUCACUAUAGGAAUGAAUGCCCUAGUUCUAAGAAGAACCAAAGAAAAGGAAAAGGUAAGGCCUUAGUUGUCUCACUUACAGAUAAUGAAUCUGAGACCAGUGAUAGGCAGGAAUCUUCUAGUAGUGAGGACGAAGGAAACUAUAUGGCAUUUGUAUCGACUGUUAAGAGUGAAUCUGACAAAGAAAGUGACAAGGUUGAGGAAGAACUUCCUAACGAUAACCCUAGUAAUGAGGAUGAGGAUGACAUAGACAUACAAGAAGCUUAUCAACUUUUGUUUAAAGAGAGUCUUAAAAUCAAAAAGGUCAAUAAAGCCCUACUCAAAAAUGUUGAUAAACUUGAAAGAGAAAAAGAGAAACUUGCUAGUAAUCUUCAGGAUUCACUUAAGAGUGGUAGUGAGUUAAAGUGUGUCAAUGAGAAGUUAGAGGACAAGAUUAAGACUUUGACUAGUGAAUUGGAGAAAUAUAAUGCUCAUUUUUAAACUUUCAUAAGUGGGACUAAGAAAUUGGACAAUAUUUUGGGAAUAAAUAAGCCUGCAGGAGAUAGAAAAGGUCUAGGAUAUGUUGAGGGUAACACACAUAUUACUAGACCAUCUAAGACUAUGUUUGUUUCAGCCUCUAAGAAAGCUAAUGCUGUCGGCAGUUCAAAAAAGGGUAAGAAUGUUCCGAGAGAACAGAGUCAUCAAUCACAUAGGAACUUCAAUCCCAGAUACCCACAGACACGUACCUUUGAGCCUAGGUUCAUUCCCACCUGUCACCACUGUGGAGCUCUAGGACACACUAGGCCUAGAUGUUAUAAGUUAGGCAAUGAGCGUAAAAAUCAUAACAUUCCUAGUCAGGUUAGCUUUCUGUCUAAUCAGGUUAGUCAUUUGACUGAGAUGCUUGCUAAGCUUACUAGGAGUACUUUAUCAUCUAAGAAAGUUUGGGUCAAAAAAGGUGAUCUAGCUAGACAUUCAGGUCAAGAAAACUGUUUUGUUGCUCAUGUUGCAUUAAAAGCCCAAAAUUACAAUAUGUGGUAACUAGAUAGUGCAUGUUCUAGGCAUAUGUGUGGUAAUAAAGCUUUGUUAACUACUCUUGAUGAAUGUAAUGGUGGUAUGGUUACCUUUGGAGAUGGGGGUUCUGCACCUAGUCUUGGCAAAGGUAUUGUACAAAUGCAUGGAUUACCUGUGAUCUCUAAUGUGCUUUAUGUGGAAGGCUUAAAGUCUAAUUUGUUAAGCAUUAGUCAGAUUUUUUAUGAUGAUUUUGAGGUUAGCUUUGUGCAAAAGAAAUGUACCAUGUAUGAUUCGUCCGGUGGGGUGGUCUUUGAAGGGGUUAGAACGUCUGACAAUUGUUAUGGAGUUUUGCCUAAUUCUAAUUAUGUGUGUAGGAGUGCAAAAAUUGAUGUGAGUGAGCUCUGGCACAAAAGGUUAGGUCACUUGAAUUAUAAGAGUCUAGUACAGCUAGCUAAGAAGGAAUUGGUUGAUGGUUUGCCUAAGAUAAGUCCGAGUGAAAAUGUUGUGUGUGGACCAUGUCAACUAGGUAAACAGCUUAAGGGAAGUCAUAAAAAGACUUCUAAAAUUCUGACCAAAAGACCCCUGGAAUUGAUACACAUGGAUUUAAUGGGACCAUCUAAGACUGAGAGUCUAGGAUGUAAGCGAUACAUUAUUAUUGUGGUAGAUGACUUCUUGAGGUUCACAUGGAUAGAAUUGUUUAGGGAAAAAUCUGAUGCAUGUGAUCUUAUAAAGUCUCUGUGUAAGCGGCUUAGUAAUGAACUCAAUCUCAAAGUGUCCAGAAUGCAUAGUGAUCAUGGAAAAGAAUUUGAAAAUUCUAAUCUUGAGAGUUUUUGCAUGGAUGAAGGGAUAUUGCAUGAGUUUUCUUCCCCUAUCACUCCUCAACAAAAUGGGAUGGUUGAAAGGAAGAAUCGUGUUCUUCAGGACAUGGCUAGAGCCAUGCUUCAUGGAAGGUGACUAGCCCUACACAUUUGGGGAGAAGCUGUUAACACUGCAUGCCACAUAAUCAAUAGAGUCUACCUUAGACCCAAGACCGAUCAGACUCCAUAUGAAAUUCUUAAGGGUAAAAAGCCUACGAUUAAGUACUUUCGUGUGUUUGGGAGUAAGUGUUAUAUUCUACGUGAUAGAGGGAACUUGGGUAAGUUUGAAUCUAAGAGUGAUGAAGGAGUUUUCUUAGGAUACUCUAGAAAUAGUCGAGAAUUUCGAGUAUAUAACUCAUGAACUCAUGUUGUGAUGGAGUCAAUCAAUGUUGUGAUAGAUGAUGCUGUGCGUGAGGGGGAGAGUGUUGAAAAUUGUGAUAGUGAUGGUGAUCUUAUAAGUUCUAGUGAUCCCACUGAACCACCUAUGUCUGAAUCAUCUCUUAGGAAAACUGAAACACCUGAAAAGGAAACACUUCCACAAGAUCGAGAUAAAAAUCCUAAGGAACCAUCGACUAGGGUUAAGUCUAAUUAUUCUAAGGACAAUAUCAUUGGGGAUCUAGAUGAAGGUAUGAGACUUCGUAGGAGAGUACUGAACAAUCUAGCUUAUACCAGCUAUGUCUCUCAUGUAGAGCCUAAGAAAGUUGAAGACGUUCUUAGUGAUGAGUGUUGGGUGAAUGCGAUGCAUGAGGAACUCAAUCAAUUUGCUAGGAACAAUGUGUGGAUCUUAGUUCCCAGACUUGAAAAUUGUAAUGUUAUUGGUACUAAGUGGAUCUUUAAGAAUAAGACAGAUGACCAAGGUACUAUAACUAGGAAUAAGGCUAGAUUAGUUGCUCAGGGUUAUACUCAAGUUGAAGGAAUUGAUUUUGAUGAAACUUUUGCCCCUGUUGCACGACUGGAGUCUAUUCAGAUUCUGCUUACUGUUGCUUGUACCUUAGGGUUCAAGUUAUAUCAAAUGGACGUUAAGAGUGCCUUCUUGAAUGGACUUCUUCAGGAAGAAGUCUAUGUGGAACAACCAAAAGGAUUUGUUGAUCCUAAGUUCUCCCACUAUGUCUACAAACUCCACAAAGCACUUUAUGGUCUGAAGCAAGCUCCUAGAGUUUGGUAUGAGAGACUUACUUCAUACCUUGAGGAACAUGGAUUCUCUCGAGGUGGUGCAGAUAGGACCUUAUUUAUUAGACAUAUUGAAGAAACUAUCACCAUUGCUCAGAUUUAUGUCGAUGACAUUAUUUUUGGGUCUCCUCUUGAGUCUCUAAUAUAUGAGUUUGCUGAGUGUUUGAAGCAAGAAUUUGAGAUGAGUAUGGUUGGGGAGUUGAGUUAUUUCCUUGGACUUCAGGUGAGACAGACAGAGGAUGGACUGUUCAUUUCACAGUCUAAGUAUACUAAGGAUCUAGUUAAGCGCUUUGGGUUAGUAAGAAGCAUACUAGGACACUAUGAGUACUAGCUUGAAGUUAGGUCGUGAUCCUUUAGGUAAGUGUGUAGAUCCUUCCCUAUAUCGAAGCAUGAUAGGUAGUCUUCUCUAUCUCACGACUACUAGACCUGACAUUGCUGCUAGUGUUGGAAUGUGUGCUCGAUUUCAGGCAGAUCCAAAAGAAUCACACUUAAGCUCUGUUAGACGCAUCAUUAGAUAUGUGAGUGGUACAGUUGAUCUAGAGAUAUUCUAUUCUAGGAAUUAUAUUAUUGAUUUGGCUGGUUACUCCGACGCCGAUUGGGCCGGGAACGCAGAUGAUAGGAAAAGUACGACAGGGGGUUGUUUUUACAUGGGGAGCAAUCUCGUAGCCUGGUUAAGUAAGAAACAGAAUUCUAUAUCUCUAUCCAUGGCAGAGGCCGAAUACGUAGUUGCUGCACUUAGCUUCUCUGGAUGAAGCAGAUGCUGAGUGAUUAUGGGAUUAGUCAAGGGACCAUGACUGUUUUCUGUGAUAAUACAAGUGCUAUAAAUAUUUCUAAGAAUCCCAUUCAACACUCUCGAACAAACCAUAUUGACAUACGACAUCACUUCAUUCGUGAGCUUGUUGAAUCACAUGUAGUCUCCCUCGACCAUGUCUCUACUGAUAAUCAAUUGGCUGAUCUACUUACAAAACCACUAGAUGGAUUGAGGUUUGAGUCGCUUCGGACGGCUGUUGGAGUUUGUUCACCUAUCUGAUCGUGGAUUCAUGCAUAUUUAUGCAUUCAUCACAUAUGCACCUAGUCACUUCAUAUCUUGCAUGUGAUCUGUGUGUGUGUGAUGCAUUUUUUAUUGUUAGUUUGUCGUUUAGUCUUCUUUUGUGUGUUAUAUUUUUGUGUUUAAAUAUGAAAAUAAAAAAAAUUUAAUUAAAAAAAAAAUAAUAAUAAUAAAUAAAAAUAAAAUGGGAUUUUUUUUGUGUGUGCCUUUUAUGUGACGAUAAUAGCUUUUGCAUUAAAAAUCAAACUCUAUUUUUCAUCAUAUGUACAAGUCUGAGGUUCCAUCAUCGUUCUCUUUGUCUGUGGAGUUCUGAGUAUAUGACUCGUCAUUCAUUUUUGCACAGCACACACUGUAGUCCUGUGAGUAAGUCUUGACCGCAUGGGUGAGACUUGGGAUGGUGUUUUUCUGUGAUUGGGGUUAUGUGUCCAUUUGCCUUGAUCUGGGACUAGUGUCACCUAAUCAUAUUGUCUUUCCCCACUUUUAUUUUGUUGAACUUAUGACUGUCUUCGGAGCCUAUUUGACUCGAACAAUUAAUCCUGAGGGGUUUCUAACUUGGUGCCCUAUGGUCAUCUGACCUGGGAGUCACCGGCCCAAAGUUCGUUACCGGGGUCAUUUAUGUCGCCUAAUGGGGAUAGCAUUGCACUUAAAUUCUUUUGCUAAAAAAAAAAAAAAAGGGAAGAAAUAUGGAAUCAUACGGUUAGGGGGAGUAAAAUUGUGAUAAUCGCAAUAUUUGAUAUAGGUCCUCGUGGAAUUGGAUUCGACUGUCACUUGGUAGACAUACACCUCUAUCUGGUUGUUUUCACGUGUCCUUUCUCACUAAUUUAAGGUUUUGAGCCUCACUUGCAUGGACUACGUGGCACUUUUCACGGUAAUAUUCUGUAUACACUUUACUCCACGGGAUUUUGAACUAUGUGUGGACUUACGAUUUGUCUAUGUGCUGAAUGUCGGGGUUGUGACUUUAUGCUUAUUGUUGGUAUAGUUACAUAAUUGGUCCCAUGCUUUUUUUUUAUUAGUUUCUCAUGCUCUGCACUUGUCUUAUUUUUGAAAAUACACGAUUUGGGGCUAAUUUCGUCAUUUCUUGAUAAUUGUGUUCUUUUUCUCAAAAACACAAAAUUAUCCAAAAAAGAUGGAGACCAGCCAAUCAAUGAGAAGGAAUAUAGGAGUCUUGUUGGAAGUUUACUGUACUUGACAGCAACAAGACCAAAUUUGAUGUUUGCGGCAAGCUUACUUUCUAGAUUCAUGAGUAAGCCAUCACAAACACAUUUUGGAGUUGCCAAAAGGGUCCUUAGGUAUAUCAAAGGAACAAUAAAUCACGGCAUCUAUUUUGCUGGAGGAGUUGGCUCAAAUUUGAUUGGAUAUUCAGAUAGUGAUUGGGCAGGUUCCGUGGAUGAUAUGAAGAGCACGAGUGGUUAUCUAUUUACACUUGGUUGGGGAGCAUUCUGUUGGAAUUCAAAGAAGCAAGAAGUAGUGGCACAAUCCACAGCAGAAGCUGAAUAUAUUGCAGCAUCAUCAGCUGUAAAUCAUGCCGUUUGGUUGAGGAAAAUUCUUAAUGAUCUUGCGAAAGUCAAGAUGAUCCUACAACUAUCAUGGUGGAUAAUCAAUCAGCCAUUGCUAUUGUAAAGAAUGCAAUUGAUCAUGGAAGAACCAAGCAUAUUAAAGUGAAGUUCCAUGCUAUCAGACAAGCUGAGAAAGAAGGAGAAGUUCAUCUACAAUAUUGUCCAGGUGAAUCUCAAAUUGCAGAUAUGUUCACUAAAGCAUUGCCCAAAUCCAGGUUUGAAGACUUAAGAUUGAAGAUUGGAGUUUUACCCAAAAGCUUCAAGGAGGAGAAUGUUGAUUAUUGAAGAUUUUUGGUUUUCUCCACAUGAUGAAAUAUGAAGAGUGUUUGAGCGGAAGAUGAAGAGUGUUCGAGAGGAAGAUGAAGAGAUGGAUGCAUUCACCAUCAUUAUUAGUCAUUAUUAAUGGAUGCAUUCAUCAUCAUUAUUAGUCAUUAUUAUUCUUCUUAAUUGUGUGACUCUUAGUAGUCUUAUACUAUCCUAUAAAUAGGUUUGUCAUGUACUCAAAUCAAAUAAUUCAUAUAUAAAAAAAAAAGUUUCUCUCAAAAUAUACUUUGUUCUGUUCUUAUUACUGAACUGAUCCGGUCUUGAUAGGAUCUAUCCUUUAUUACUGAACUGAUCCGGUCUUGAUAGGAUCUAUCCUUAUUUUCGCUGCAUACUAAAAUCACAAUCAGAACAAACAGCCUCUAACAAGGUGUUCAUACAUGCAACAUUUAGGUGAAAGCGGGACGAUGACCCUAAGACGUUGAGAGCUUGAUUCUACCAAAUUUUGAAGUCAACACAAUCAAUACAGAACUCAAUCCCACUUCAAUCUUAACCUAAACAACGCUAUUAACAAAAAUUCAACUUUCCAUUGGCAAAAAAUUGACAUCCAAUCCGAUAACAAGCAAACUGUAAGAAGGGAGGAAAAAUGACUCUAAAAAGUAAAGUGAACAUUUUAUUCCAAAAUAAAUGUGCCAAAAUUAAAAAUGAGUGAAUUGGCGAAGAGAGCUACGAAUUUCAGCACCAACGAUGAUUUGAUUCCAUUAUUUUCUUACCGUAAAACUAGCUGUUUGAUUUGAGGGAGCAAUUGCCAAUCAUGGCUUCUUGCUCUGUAAAUACAAUAAAAUUCAACGCAAAGACAAUUUCAUUGAUGAACCGAAAAUAGAGUAAAAUUCAACACAAAUAUUGGACUGAUAGGAUAGAGAGUUUUCAACAGAUUCACUAGCUUUAGCUAUUAGCUCAUAAGUUUACAUGAACGACAGAGAAUUUUUAAGCUAAUCACUACUUAAACAAUAGCAAUUGGACCCAAAUUAGGGGUGUUUUCCAUGGACUUCAUGGCUUCAAAUCUUGGUUCUUUAGCCUGGAAUUUGAGGCCAGAAUAGAGCUUCAUGUAGUCCUCAAACACGAAUUUUGGGUACAACUCUUUAUUCUCUCCUCCCUCUGUCAAUUUCGAUGCUGGAUAGAUCGCAGCAUCACUUCUAGGAUUGUAGAAUGAUGCAAGGGACAUUCUAUUUCCAUCUGUUUGUGCAAUCACUCUGUGCAUCACACUCUUGUACUUUCCAUUUGUAAUCACCUUUACACAAAGUCGGAAGGAGUUAAGCCUUAAUCCCAAUUACGAGACCAAUAAUAAGAAAACAACGGAAUAUAAAAACACGGGUAUUAGUAGCUUUUACUGUUGGGCAUACCUCGAGUUGGUCGCCAAUGUUGAUGACAAUGGAGUGGCGCAUAGGUGGCACAUCAACCCAUUCGCCAUCUUUAAGAAGCUGGAGGCCACUUACCUUGUCAUCCUGGAAAAGUAGGAUGAUGACACCGGCAUCAGUGUGUGCUCGAAGUCCUUUGAUGAGAUCCGGCUGGGGGCAUGGGGGAUAAUUGCUGACCUUGGUUCCAAAGUUAGGGCCUUUAGAACCAUAGAAUGCCUUUUUCAUAUAGCCUUUCUCUAGUCCAAGAUUUUCACAAAGCAAAUCAAGAAGAUGCUCAGCCAAUUUCUCUAGUUUUGCAGCAAAUUCCUUCAUUAUCUUCCUGUUAGCAUUCAUAAAAUAUUCAACUAAGAUCAGAAAAAUCCCAGAUUAUAUAAAAGUUAGUCAUGAAAACUGAUUAAUUAACCUGUAUUCAUCUUCAAGAUCAGGGACUUCUGCUAUGUUUGAAUCAGGGAGAUGGCGGAGGAAGAAGGUACUUUCCCAGUCUAAAUCAUUGUGUUGACACAUAAAAAUUCAGCCCAAAUCGAACAGCCCAAGGAGUAAAGCCCAAUUGGAGGAUCCCCAAAUCAGAUAGCCCAAAGAACGAAGUCCAAUCGAACGAAUCAAGGUGAAGGCCCAAAUAAGGGGGCCCAAGAAUGCGGUAACGCCAUCGCCCAAGUUUGCAAGUCGCCCAGAAUCUGAACGAAUAGAGUGUCAUACGGUCGCCCAGAGCUGUUAUUCUAUUCUCGCCAAAACCUUCAAGUCGCCCAAGGUAUCAACAAACAUAACGCAUCGUGGUUAUCAAGAAAUGCAGUUAUCAAGGCAGUUGUUAAAGUAGCCCUAUCACGUCCCACGACUCAAGGAAUUCAAUCGAAAACGGUUGAACGAUGAAAGGUAAUGACAGCAGUUAAAAGGCAGUUUCAUGACAAAAUGGCCACUACGGAGAAAGUGGGUAGUUAUAGGACGAUCAAGCAGUUUUAGAGUAGUUAAUCACAAAGAGAUCGUCUAUGAGGUAUAAAAGGGAGAAAGAACAUAGAAGCAAUGGACCGAAUCCAAAACUCUCGAACAGAGAAUAUGUAAUUUUCAUUUCCUUAACUUUUAGACUUAAAUACUUUUCUUUCUGUAACUCGUGUGCUUGCGCCCCUUGGAGGCACGCUGUUUUUCAUUUCCAAUUGUAAAGUUCAUCGCCAAUAAAAGAACACCCCUUUUUAGGACUUUGUCUCAAGAGGUUUCGUCCCUUACACAAUCGUCUGAUCCUUUUUAAUUGUUAGCGACUUAACCCGCGCGAAACAAUUUGGCACGCCUAGUGGGACAGUGGUGUUAGGUGUUGAAAAUACAAAAGGUGAAACAAUAUGCCUCAGAGAUCCGACAAGGAANNNNNNNNNNNNNNNNNNNNNNNNNNNNNNNNNNNNNNNNNNNNNNNNNNNNNNNNNNNNNNNNNUCGUUGAACAGGUAAAUCUUUGAAGUAUUCAUAAUAUGGAAAGAUUUACACAAAAUAGAAAUGCACACUAUGACAAUAUGGCCAAACAGCUAAAGACGUUAAACGAAAUAAUGAAUAAGUUAGUAGGCCAAAUAUGUCAACCGGCUAUACCUCUUACAAACCACUUUCAAACCAGGACAAUUGUGGGACAUAACCCCUCUAUCCUAAAUCCGAAUCAAGGGGUAGAAUCGCUUUCUGGUCCCUCUACUUCAAACCAAGGGGGUACUACAGUGCCAAAUCAAAACAAUGGUAGUGGCAUGCCUAACUUGGGGGGUAAUCCAAAUGUGAGAGAUAAUGUCCUAAACAAUGGACAGAAUAUUCCACGUGGUAAUGAGGGAACAGAUGUCCAGGCUAACGGUAAUGGCCCUAAUUAUGGUAAUUUUGUUGCCAAUCAAGGACCAAACAUCGGACCUCAUGCAAAUCAACCGGUUAAUCAGCCUGUGGGAAUUCCAUAUGAUCCCAAUGUCAUGCUGAGGAACCAGAUUAUGGAAAUCGUGCAGGAUCAGAUGGCUUUUGGGGUGCGUCCUCUCAUUAGGCCGACGUACACAAAACCAUAUCCUGAUUUGGUAGACCAAGCAUAUCCAUGGCCUAGAGGGUACAAAGUGCCAGAAUUCUCACUGUUUACCGGUUUAAGAGAGGUGUCUACUCUAGAACACAUAGGGCGAUUCACGUUGCAAAGUGGUGAUGUAACCGAUUACCAUAAAAUGAGACUUUUCCCUAGUUCGUUAACAGGAGUAGCUUUCUCCUGGUUCAUCAACUUGCCAGCGAACUCUGUUCAAACAUGGCAACAACUGGAACAGUUGUUUCACGCUCAGUUUUAUAAAACUGAGUCUGAAGUCACUUUGGCUGAUUUGGCAAAUCUACGUCAAAUGCCAAAUGAAUGGGCAGAAAGUUUUCUCCAAAGGUUCGAAACCGCAAGAAGCAAGUGUUUUAUACCUCUGCCCGAAAAAGAAUUUGUCAAGAUCGCACAAGGCUGUUUGAGCUUUGAUUUAAAAAAGAAGUUUUAGGACAAGGAAUUUCCUGACCUUUUCCAGUUGAGUGCGAAUGUGAUUAGGUAUGAACGACUGAUAAGAGAAGAAGAACAAAUGAAAAAUUCCAGUAAAGGGACUUAUUACAAAGACCUAAAUUUUGACGUUCAUACCAUCGACGACGAAUCAUACGAUCAGGCCGAAAUGUGUUUGGCCGAAUUGGUNNNNNNNNNNNNNNNNNNNNNNNNNNNNNNNNNNNNNNNNNNNNNNNNNNNNNNNNNNNNNNNNNNNNNNNNNNNNNNNNNNNNNNNNNNNNNNNNNNNNNNNNNNNNNNNNNNNNNNNNNNNNNNNNNNNNNNNNNNNNNNNNNNNNNNNNNNNNNNNNNNNNNNNNNNNNNNNNNNNNNNNNNNNNNNNNNNNNNNNNNNNNNNNNNNNNNNNNNNNNNNNNNNNNNNNNNNGGAAAGAACCAAAAAAGGACGAAAACGUUCUGUGUGCAAGGUGUAAAAGGGAAGUAAAUGGAGACAUGGAGAAAUCAGGGACAUGGCAGCAUCCUCAUCGCCUUGCCUUCUUCCCAAACAUUCAGCCUGGUAGAGGGCGAGGUACAUCAUUCUAUAGAGGACCGCCUUUUGAAAGGCAGUUCAGACCAGCAGAUACUGGAAGAACAUUUAGGCUGCAACCUCGCCGGUCAAAUGUAUGGCAUUCAUUCCAGUACAGUGUAGGAAGGGCAAUACCCUUCGAUGAGAUGACUAGGACCCAACAAAGGCGUUUCCAGCGAAACUACGGACGGAUGAUGAGGCAGCAACAAGGAAUGCCACAUCCUAAAGCGCCUCUACUACUCAAGGUAGCCAAUCAAAACAUCCUCAAAGGUAGUAAAGAGACUGGUACAGAUGAAUCGACGAAGGAAUUGCCAGAAACCUCUUCUAGGAGAUCAAGGUUUGAGAGGGACAAAAAGGAUGAAGAAGAUCCAGAUCAGCCUCUUGCUAUCCAAUUCGGUACGUUGCCUCCUGUCAUGGCCAAUAAUUACCUACUGGCCAAUGAAUUCAAGAAUAAAGAAAAGGAAGAAGAGAGGGAGGACAACGAAGGAGAAGCCUGCAUGCUGGUAUGUGAAGAAGGCCAGACUUCUAGAGAGGCCUACAACGAUGAAGAGGAUGAUGGGAUGACAGACAUUGAAGAAGAAACCGAUCUAGAAGCAGAAAGGAAAAAGAGGAGAGUAUCGCGCAACACUUUGUUUAAGCAACUACAGCAAGAGGGAGUUCGCGAAGUAGACUUGUUGGGGGAGCCAUCUGAGCGUCCUUUCGACUUCUACGUACUAUACGGGACACCCAAAAGGAAGAAGAGAGUACCUCGCUCUGAAAAGUAUGGGUCACCUCCAAGAAUAAUGCCCCCUCCCACAGGUUGGAUAACUGAUGAGGAAACAUUAGAAAAAAGUAAGAAGGAAAUUCAGGAGACAGAGGAUCAGCGUGACAUACUACACGUCGACCUAUCACAAGGGGAUAAUUCGACAAAAAACAAGCCAGAGGUAGAAAUAGAGGUUGCCGAAAAGGUUGUUUUUAAACGGCCAGCCAUGAAAUUGACAAAACACCUGAGGCCAUUAUACGUUAAAGCUCUAGUUAACGGCGUCCCAGUGGCAAAGGUGCUUGUCGAUAAUGGAGCGGCUAUAAACACCAUUCCAUCCAGGAUGAUGAGAAAGUUCGCAAAGACAGAGGGUGAUAUGAUUCCUACAGAAGUCAUCCUCACUAGCUUCAAUGGAGGAGCAACUUCAGCUAAGGGAGUUAUGCCUUUAGACAUAACUAUAGGUACGACUACUAGGACCACUAUCUUCUUUGUAAUAGAUGGUCCUACUAGUUACAAUGUGCUCCUAGGAAGAGAUUGGAUACACGGAAGUCGCUGUAUACCCUCGUCGCUCCAUCAAUGCCUGAUUUUUUGGAAUGACAAAGGCGAAGCAGAGGUGGUACAGGCCGAUCAUAGGCCUUUUGUCGCGGAAGCGAACUCGGUGGAAAAAUUCAUGUACGAAGGAAACUAUGGACCUGUCAGAGUAGUACAAGACGGGGAAGAAACUCAAGUUGUCGCGCAAAGCGAAGAACCAUUCUCAAUGGACGCACUCACUGAGAUGUUCAAACAGAUGAGGCCAAAUAUAGUGGCCCUAGAAGAGCCAGUGAUUGGCAAAAGAAUAAUCAAGGAAUCUUAAAUGGAUUCUGAGUUACAAAAGCAAAUGGCCGAUAUUCAGGCCUUCAAAGUCAGAUGAUGGCUUUCAAUAAGGAAUGCAAUGACAAAGCGAAGGAAGAGACUGCCCUAAAAGCGCUGAAGGACAAGUUGGCAGUAUUCGAGUUAGAGCAAAGCCUUAGCCGAGAAAUCAACAAGGUGAACUGUUUGGAAGAGGAAGUACUUACAAAAGAACCGGACGACGAAGUGAUGCGGAUUCCCAAACCUGGAUACCCUCAAGCGCAAGACCCUCUGAUCAAAGUAAAUAUUGGCGAUGAAGGAGAAGAUCACCCAACGUUCAUCAGCCAGAUGCUCGACCAAGAGGUUAGUAACAAAUUAAUCGCUUUGUUAAAAGAGUACAAAGAUUGUUUUGCUUGGAAAUAUGAACAAAUGCCUGAUUUAGAUAGAGACUUAAUGGAACAUAGAUUACCAACUAAGCCUAAUUUUAAACCUCAUAGGCAACCUCCUAGGCGUUUUGCUCCUAAUGUACUCCCUGAAAUUAAGAAAGAGAUAGAGCGAUUAUUGAAAGUAGGUUUUAUAAGAACAACCAGAUAUAUUGAAUGGUUGUCGAAUAUUGUGCCAGUACUAAAAAAGAAUGGUAAACUAAGGGUGUGUAUAGACUUUAAAAAUUUAAACAUAGCUACACCCAAAGAUGAGUACCCAAUGUCCACGGUGGAUUCCUUAGUAGAUUCAACUGCCGGACAUGUCAUGUAUUCUUUCAUGGAUGGGUAUUCAGGAUACAAUCAAAUCUAUAUAGCUGAAGAAGACAUACACAAAACUGCCUUUAGAUGCCCUGGGUCUCUAGGAUGUUUUGAAUGGGUGGUUAUGCCUUUUGGCCUAAAAAAUGCAGGGGCAACUUAUCAAAGGGCUAUGAAUUUAAUCUUUCAUGACAUGAUAGGCAAGUUUGUUGAGGUGUAUGUGGAUGAUAUAGUGGUCAAGUCCAUUAAAGAAGAUGACCAUUUCGAACAGCUAAGAUGUUCGUUUGAACGAAUGAGGCAAUAUAAGCUAAAGUUGAAUCCCUUGAAGUGUGCAUUUGGUGUUAAUGCAGGGAACUUUCUUGGUUUCUUAGUACACAAGAGAGGGAUUGAACUUGAUAAAAAUAAAGCUAAAGCUAUUUUAGAAGCCAAACCACCUAGCAACAAAAAGGAGUUGCAAAGGUUUCUAGGCCAAGUAAUUUUUCUAAGACGCUUUAUUUCUAACUGUGCAGGGCGAACUAAAGUUUUUUCGCCGCUAUUAAAGAUGAAAAGUCAGGACGAAUUCGUCUGGAAAGAAGAACAUCAAAAGGUUUUUGAAAGCCUGAAGAUAUAUCUAUCAAGUUCGCCAGUGUUGGUGUCACCAAUCCAAGGACGGCCGAUGAAAGUGUACGUGUCGGCUGAAAAAGAAUCAAUAGUUGGAAUGGUCGCGCAGGAAGACCAAGUUGGUGAAGAAAGGGCAAUUUACUAUUUAAGUAGACGGUUAACGAAAUGUGAAUGCAAUUACUCUGCUGUUGAAAAAUUAUGUCUCGCAUUGUAUUUCACAUGUACAAAACUAAGGGCUUACUUACGUCCCAUAACCGUUUAUUUAAUUUCUAAAGUAAAUUUAGUCAAGUAUAUGUUCUCGCGCCCUAUUUUACACCAAAGGGUAGGCCUUUGGACACUAGCUUUAUCAGAGUUCGAAAUACAAUAUAUACCUCAAAAGGCAGUCAAAAAUUAGGCUUUGGCUAACUUUCUAGCCGAUCAUCCAUGCCUUGACAUGCCUGAAGAAAUCGAAUUAGAAAUCAAUUCGUUCGAAUUAAAACCUUGGGUGUUGUAUUUCGAUGGGUCAAAAACCUCUAAAGGUGCAGGAGUAGGGGUAGCAUUGAUUAAUCCUUUAGGAAUUUGCUACAAGUUUGCAUUCACCUUAGACAGAAUGUGCACCAACAAUCAGGCCGAAUAUGAAGCCUUAAUUGUAGGCCUAGAACUAAUGAUAGAUAUGGGAGUAAGAAAUGUGAUCGUUAAGGGCGAUUCUCAAUUAGUGAUACAUCAGUUGAUCGGUAAUUUUAAAUGCCAAAGUGAUUCCAUUAUAAGUCAAUAUAAAAUCGCCCAAGAAUUAUUAGAGGAAUUCGAUCAAGUAGAAUUUCAAUGCGUUAAUAGGAUAUAUAAUGACGUGGCGAAUGAGUUAGCUCAAAUGGCUUCAGGGUACUCAAAGGUCUUGAAUUGAAAGUCUACUUGUGAGUAUGGAACCAUAUUGCCUGUAACUCAAAGAAGGACGAGAAAAAUUGAACUUCACUGUAUACAAGAUGGAGAUGCAGUGGAUUGGAGAACAGAGAUUAAAAGGUUCCUUAAAGAACCUAAUGGAGGGAUUAGUAGGAAAACGAAGCUUUUCAGGGUUACGUAACAAGGAAGCAAAAGAUGAACAGUGAAUCGUAAAAGAGAUGCAAAAAAUAUGAGGCGUGGUUUGGUAGCAGUGAAAUGGCGUGUUUGGGGUUUAUAAGGGUUUGCAAAACGAUGCACUUUUUCAAGUUAUAGAAGGAAACAAUGAUUGAAAUUCUUGGAAAUUUCAAACGUUGCUGGAAACAUGGAGUGAAUAUGGCAAAAUUCAAUAAUUAUUAUUAAUUCUGCCAUAUUGGGGGUUAAUUGUUGACACAUAAAAAUUCAGCCCAAAUCUAACAGCCCAAGGAGUAAAGCCCAAUUGGAGGAUCCCCAAAUCAGAUAGCCCAAAGAACGAAGUCCAAUCGAACGAAUCAAGGUGAAGGCCUAAAUAAGGGGGCCCAAGAAUGCGGUAACGCCAUCGCCCAAGUUUGCAAGUCGUCCAGAAUCUGAACGAAUAGAGUGUCAUACGGUCGCCCAGAGCUGUUAUUCUAUUCUCGCCAAAACCUUCAAGUCGCCCAAGGUAUCAACAGACAUAACGCAUCGUGGUUAUCAAGAAAUACAGUUAUCAAGGCAGUUGUUAAAGUAGCCCUAUCACGUCCCACGACUCAAGGAAUUCAAUCGAAAACGGUUGAACGAUGAAAGGUAAUGGCAGCAGUUAAAAGGCAGUUUCAUGACAAAAUGACCACUACGGAGAAAGUGGGUAGUUAUAGGACGAUCAAGCAGUUUUAUAGUAGUUAAUCACAAAGAGAUCGUCUAUGAGGUAUAAAAGGGAGAAAGAACAUAGAAGCAAUGGAUCGAAUCCAAAACUCUCGAACAGAGAAUAUGUAACUUUCAUUUCCUUAGUUUUUAGACUUAAAUACUUUUCUUUCUGUAACUCGUGUGCUUGCACCCCUUGGAGGCACGCUGUUUUUCAUUUCCAAUUGUAAAGUUCAUCGCCCAUAAAAGAACACCCCUUUUUGGGACUUUGUCUCAAGAGGUUUCGUCCCUUACACAAUCGUCUGAUCCUUUUUAAUUGUUAGCGACUUAACCUGCGCGAAACACAUUGAUAUCAGAUUGAACAGCUUCAAGCCCUUUACUCGCCAUCAUUUCCUUAAAUCUUUGUUCCAUGCAUUUUCUGUAGUGCUCCUUUGUCAGCCUCUCUACAGCGUCCAUGAAUUCGGGAGAAAUCCCAUGAUUCACCAGCUUAAUUACAAGAUCAUCAACCGUUAAUUUUUAGUACAAAUUUAAAAAUUCUUUUGGUUUUAUGUAUUAAUAACAGAAUUAAUUAUAUAUUUAUACCUCAAAGAAACCCCAGUUUUCACAAGCAUCUUUGAUCUUCUCCAUUGUUGCAGCCCUUUCUUCUCCAUUGAGAUUCUCCAUGUUAAUAACUGGAAAACUUGCCAUCUCUCUCUCUCUAGUUAUUCUUAUCCUUCUCUUGCUGUUUUGAGUCUAUGAAUCACAGUGUUAAGGGGGAAACCUCGAGGGUAAUUUAUAGUGGUUUCCAGGAUAUGGUACCAGUACUGUACAAGAAAUAUAUAGCAGAAGAUUAAUCCAAAUCAAAUAAGUAAGAUUAUCCUGACAAGACUGGUGGAACACGUUCGUGAUCACAUCUUCAUGGACCCAUACCAACUUUAUUAUUAGCAUGGUCUUUGGCUUUUUUCGUAGGCCAAACCUCCAUGUGAUAUGGGACCUAACUCAAGUUUUUCCCAUGCACGCUUGUAGUUCGUAGGGCUGCUUGAUGAAACUGCCUGUCAACUUUCUAACCAGAACCUACAGUAAUUCUUUAAGUUUUUUGAUUAUUUUUAAUACACGUGUUUGAUGUUUUAAGUAAUAUUUGUGCGCAGAAAACUAUUUGUACAAUACUUGAUCUGGAAAGAAUGUUGAAGAGAAUUGACGUUUCAAACUGAAAAUUCACUUUUAGAAAAGUAAAAGGGUUUAGGAAAUUAUGUUUGAUUUUGUCAUCUAUGGAAUUGCUUUUUUCUUCCGUCUUAGCCGUUUCUAUUAUUUUAAUGUUUUAAUUCACCAUAAAAAAAAAUGCAUAUGGUUUAAACAUAUUAGUAAAUCAUGAAACCCGUGAUUAAGAUUUGUUUUCUACAGAAAUAUUGGUUUUUUUUUUUUUUCCUUUUUGCCUAGGGAGGUAAUACAUUAUUAUUUAUGAUUUUUUUUAACUAACUAUAGAUGUGGCAACUGGCAUGUUUUAUUGAGAAUAAAAAAUAAAACAUAAUACGUACAUAAGAGAGAAAACAUCAAGUUAAAGAUGUAAAACGAAUAAUCGAUUGAACUUUUCCAUCUCGACGCAAGGAAUAAAAUAUAAGAGCUAAAUAAAUAGUAUAUUGGUCAAAGACUACAUGAUUUGAACUUAAAGAGCGAUGAAAAAAAAAGCGCAGUCUGAUCAAGUCGUAUCAAAAGUUAUUCAAGUUGCGAAUGCAUCUUGAAUACCAAUUAUUUAUUGCUGUAAAUUUUGUUUAAAAUUUUUUGGAACAUAAAAAAGUUUAUUGUUAAAAAUAAAAUAAUCACUGUCGACGUAUAGGCAGCCAAUAAAUUAUUUCCCCACAUUGACCCUUAAAUUUUUAAUUUAAGGGUCCGUUUGAUUGUAAAGAUGGAACUGAAUUGCCUAGAAAACGAAUACCAGAGAAUUGAAUUGCUUAUAAUUGUUUUCCUGAAAAUUGUAAAUUAUUGUGUUUGAUUGGAAUAAUUUUUCACGUGGAAAAUGUUGAAAUAAAAGUGUUUUUGGUGGUCGUUUGAUUUUGUUUUACAUGAAAAUUGUCAAUUAAAGGGAUAUAUUUUACUAGUAUUGGGGAUGAAAUUUGUUUCCAUUGCCAACACAAAAAAAAUAAAAAAAAAUCAAGAAAAUCAUCUAUCUUUUGGUAUUCGUUUGAUUUUGUUUUAUAUAGAAAUUGUCAUUUAAAGAGAAAUAUUUUUUUACAAUAAUUCUUAGAAUUUGUUUCCAUUGCCAACAAAAAAAAAAGGCAAAAAAAAUGCUACAGUAAGUAGGAAAUUGUGGGAAAUUGGUUUUCCCUAAAAACCAAAAAAAAUCCAAACUUCAAGAAAACCAAGAAUUCGAAUUCCAUGGAAAAAAAAUGUAUCAAACACCUAAAGUUGGAAAUUCCAAUUCCAAUUCCAUCUUCCAAUUUCAAUUACACCCUAUCAAACACACCCUAAUAGUUAGAUUAAACCACUAACUUUGACAAAUCAAUUCAGAUAUUGUUUUUAUUAUAAUUACAGUAGCCUCAAUUUUAUGAGAAAGUAGAUGUUUGAAUUUUGAGUUCAAUAUUUGUCUCUUAUUAAAUGUGAAUACUAGAAUUAAUAAUUUCAUCAAAGCAAACCAAACUCUAAUCCUUGCAUGUUUGACCAAAUCAAUAUCUAAUCUAGCCCCUGUUUGAUACCCAUUAAAUUAAAUUACAUUACAUUCCAUUUUUCUCUCUCCUAUUUUCAACCAUACAAUCUUUCAUAAAAUAAUAUUACACGUAAAUCGAAAAAUUUUCCUUCCUUUUCAACCACUUAUUUUUCUAAAAAAUAUAUUCCCCCCAUUUUCAUUUUUAGGUAAUGGGGAUCAAAUAGGGGCCUAAUGUACAUUUAGAAUUUAAUCACAUUAUAAAUGAGCAUUUAUCAAACCUUAUUUGACAAGUAGUAUUUUGCUUCUUUUUGAGUUAAAGAGUAUCCUCAAAAAGACACUUGUAAUGGAACGAGACUCAAGUUUAUAUUUUGUACAAGUUAAUCUGGUGAAGUCUCGAUGUUGAUUAAAAAUUACAUUAUAUUGGGAUUUAAUUUUAAGAGUAGCAGCUGUUAGGGUAGAGUUCCAUUUAUAAACCCCAUCAGUUCUUACCAAAUGUAAAAUGUAUGGAACUGAAUCUUCCAAGAGAUUUCAUGGAAGUGAGUUUUAGCUGAAAUUCUGAUGGAGAUAAGAGAAUGGACAUGGUUAAGCCUUGUAAAAGAGAGAAAGUUGGUGGUGAAUUAUGAUUGGGCUUUUCCAUAAUUUUCUUUUCGUAAAAGGCUCUGAUUGAACAGACCAAAUUAACUCUUCUUGUAAUAUCAACCAAUGGAAAUUUAAUUUAUACUAAUUACAGAGUCAUGGAUAAAAAAAAAUUAAAUAUUGUAUUCUAUUUAAUGUACAAAUAAGUUAUAACGAUUACUAAAAUAAAUUAUCAUGACAAAUUUUCUUCAUCUCUAGCCAAGUCUAGUUAAAACGGGACUAUACCACGUGAUGUUUAUGGAGUAAUUUUUUACUGUUGACUGAUAUAAAAGUCAAUAAUACGGUAGCAAAAAAUUAAUAGACACCCAAAAAAUGCGAAUUUAAUUAAGAUAAAAAGAAACCGUUUUUCUUUUUUCUUUUUUCUUUUUUUAUUUUACCGGAAAAAGGAAGGGAUUCUACCAAAAUAUUACAAGAGUUAACUAACAUAUAAAAAUUAAAAGUAAUUAGUGGUUGGUGUAGAGAGAAGCGGGAAUCACGUCGGCAACAAAGAUUGAAUUAGAUUAUUUUCCAGUUUAUCUUAGGUUUAGCAAAAUGGGAAUGCUAAACAUAAGAAAAAGGGAAGUACAAAUGAAUAAAUAUAUCCUUUGCUUCUUGUUAUAUAAACACAAAGUCCUUUUAGGGGUCUCUCCAUGAAAAAGAGAUUGAAUAUUAAAUGAUCCGUGCUACUUGGACAGGUACCUGUCCCCUGUUUAAUCGACCAAUAGGGGGUGCCACAUCACCCCCUAUUUUCACAGGUACCUAUUUGAGUAGAAUUACUCAUAUUAAAUUGGACGAGCCCCACUACUUUGGUUGCCUACCGUUGAGCUUGGCUCGAGAAGCAAAUAGAGUUGUGCUCGAUUUGGAAUAAGUCAAGUACGAGUUGGUUUCUCAAUUGAGGUGUGAUUCAGUUUGCGUCAUAAGGUCUCGUCUAUCAGAGGCGGAGGUAGUGGGAGACAAUACCCAACAAUGUCCGCCAGCCCAUGUAAAUUUGUAAGAAAAAAAUUUUAAAUUUUGGCCCAACCAGCCCAGCAAUGUCCUCCAACCCGUAUAAAUUUGUAAGAAAAGAUUUUAAAAUCUUGGCCCAGAUAUUAGCAUUAGCCCAGCUCUAAUUUAAAUCUCAACUCAUGUUCAAUACUCAAUUAUUCAAAUUAUAUUAAAGACACUGCAAUUAUUAAUUACUCUUUUCAAGACAUUUAUGGAGUGUGAAUAUUUUAUUGUCAAAUUAGAUAUUCUAUUUAAUACAUUUUUGACUAAAAUUUAUCAUAAUUAUUAAGUAAAUUUUAUUAUAGAUAAUCUGUAUUGAUUAAAUGUAAAAGUAAAUUACUUAUUUUAAUAGUUAGAGACACUACAUAUUUUUCUAAAUUGUGUAUGUUUUCAUUCAUUGCUAAUUCAUAUUAAAAAAAAAAACUUAUUUUGAUCAUAAAGUAGAUAUUUAGAUGAAAAUAAAUAACUUACUAUAGAUUUGAUAUUGACAAUAUAAAAAAAAAUAUGUUAAAACUUAUUUAUUUAUAAAGUAAUUUAUAUUGAUAAUAAAAAGAAUAUUUGUUAAAACUUUUAGUUGUUUGGAAAGAUUGGUUGUCAAAGUUACUAGAAGAGUACUGAUUAAGUAAUUUUUUAAAUGUUCAUUGGUGGAUAUGUAUUUUUGCUUAAUUCUAUCAUGAUUCGGUUAAUUUAUAUUUUUUAAGGUAACCAUCGAUUUUCUAUUUGGUAAAAAAAUUACAAAAAUUUAGUGAAAUAUCUUAAUUUGAGACAUCUAAACUUUUAUAUAUUUCAUUAAGUUUCGUAUACUUUUUAAUGUGAACGUCACAAAAAUAGACUCCGAAACUCAAUUUCUUGUAGCGUAAAUUCAUUAAAAAAAAUUAAAUUUCAACCUAUCCUAACAUUAUUUUCUGGGUCCGUUCUUGGUGUGUAUAUAUAUGUGCAACAUACAACUCUCAAUUGUAUUGUGCUUUUCAAAUGUGCUUGUUUCCCCUUGGAAGGUAUACCAAUCCAACAGCUAUGUCUAUUAAACUCUUAGGGAAUAAACCAGUAAAUAGGUUCUUAGAAUGAGCUCGGGAGUGACUCAUUCCACUUAACUUACCUCAAGGAAUUAAUGGUUGAGUAUAUAUUGCCCCUGUUUGAUCCCAAUUUUUGUAAGAAAAUAUGUUUUGGAAUGUAAUUUUUUAGAGAAUGUAUGGCUCAAAAAUAAAGAAAAUUUUUCAAUUUACAUGUAAAAUUAUUUAUAGAAGAAUAUAUGAUAAAGAAUAAGUUUUUAAAAAAUAAGGACUGAACAUAGACUGUAUCAUGAAUUUCAAACGAAAUUUACGAGGUCUAUUAAGCCCUUGUUUGGUCUCUAUUUUUUUCAAAUUUUAUGUUUGGAAUAGUGUUUUUUUAAAAAGAAUGAAAAAAUUUGGAUUUACGUGUAAUAUUAUUUUAUGAAAUAUUGUGCAGUUAAAAAUAAAAUAGAGGAAAAAAAAUGAAAUGGGGGCUAAAUUACAUCAAUACAAGACGAAGAAGUUUCUUGGGCCUUGAAAUAUCUUGUGGUAUAAAAUGGUUCAUUCUACCAAUAAUUAUUUUCCUUGUUUUUCACGAGUGUUUUGACUCAUUCAUGACCACUUGAUUUUAAUUAGUUUAAAUUAAAAAAAAUUCAAAAAAAAAUAAAAUUUGAUAUAUUAUUGCUAAGUACCCAUUUUAGUUAGUGUAAUUUUCAAUUGAGGCCAGCAAUUAUUUUCAUCAUAUUAAAUUGACGGAUUAAAUGUAUUCCGAAGAUUUUCCAAGUUUAAAUGAAAGUGAGGUUAAACCAAUUGAAAUCACAUGAAACUUCACGAAACGGUGACUUGCAUGAUAGAGCGGACAAAAGAAGCUACCCCUAUUCACAGAAUCACAAUCAUAAUAAGAUGGUUAAAAAGAUUGUCACGUAAUCGAGUUAAUUAAAUUAACAAUUAAGCUACUCGUACACAAUGGCGAAUUUAGAAUUGGAGUUCAACUAAAGCAGACGUUGACCGUUGACUAUUGACCGAUGAUAGUCAACGUCCAUAAUAUCGUGAAAUUGAUUAGAGACUGUGGCGGAACUAGAUACACUACUAAAACUGGAUAUGGACUUUUGUUUUUGUUGAAAAAAUCAUUCCACUAUCUAUAAAAAACCCUAAUUUGCAGUUCAAUUAAAAUUGGUUCAAAAACAAAGAACACGUACACCUUGAAAAACAAAGCCCCAAUAAUCAUUUUUCAAUUAAAAUUAAUUAAACAGACAUCAAUAUAUUAACAAAGUCAAUUAAAAUUGGUUCCAAUUUAUCAAUAAAAAAUUUUCAAAAUACUUAUAAUCUACAAAAUUCUCCAAUAAUAAUUUGAGUAGGAACUAGGUAGGAAUUUUUUUUCUUGACACGUACUGAUAAAACGUAAAUCAUAACUCAUAAAUGAUAAAUCAAACUAUGAAUUAAGAGGUCGGUGUCGAUGGCGACUUGCAGGAAGCAGUAGCAAGUUGCAGGUGUUGAGUUCGGAAUCCCGAGGCAGUAAGAGGGAGGAAGGAUUUGCGUGCAAAUGCAAAAUGUAAUUGUCAAAUUGGCUAACAUGAAUGGAGGGUAACAGAUUUGGAAAUUGCUUUUCUAUUGGAAUUUUACUAUUUGUACACCGAUAUGAGGGGCCCAUGCCCAAUAAAAAAAGUGUGAACCCCCCCUUGUGAGGGGCACAUACACCGACACGUGUACGUGUAGCAAAACUCUUUCUAUAGAACCACUAGUCCAACUCGAUGCUACACAAAUAAAUUUAGGCUUACUUUUUCAAUAAACAAGAGGCUCAAAAAGAGGCCCAAAACUUAAAAAAGGCCCAAUUCAUAAACACGUGUCAUCUUCUUUCUAGCUUCUUCCAAGUUUCAUUUUCGCCUCUACAACUUAAGUUUCCUCCUCCCUGGCUGGCGGGCUUCAGGUGGUAACUACAAAUUCAAAUGGUGCCAGGACAAGCGGCAUACUAGCUCUCCAAGUUCUAGCUUCGCCACUGCUUAUACUCCCAUUUGUACACCUUAGUUUUACACUCCCUAUGUAUCAAAAAUUAUGCCAUUGAUUGAAAAUUGUGUUUUUAAAAUAAAUGCAUCAAAACUUGCCAAUUCAUGUAGUUGUAAAUCAAGGUGUUAACCUUGAUGUACGUAUAGCAUGAUUGUUAAAUUAAUACUCACCGAACUUACCUCAAAUGACUUCUUCUUCACCCAAAUUAAAAAGAUCAUAUUUUGAAAAAGAUUAACCAUCCAUCAAUCAUACAUAUUACAUCCGUCCACAUGGACAAAAAAUUCACGUGGAUGGAUGGAAAUCCUAAGAGGCAUUGACGAAGUCUAUGUGGACAGAUUGAAUGGUAUGAGCAAUGAAUGGAUAACAUUUUUUAAGUACAAGUGAGCACUAAAUAACUUUAUUUUCUUUUUUCUUUUUCUUUUUUAAAUUUUGAUGGGCAAGUAAUAACCUAAGAUAAAGUUCAAUAAGCAUUGAUUUGAUUAACUCAGUUUUAAAUGGUUAUCUUUUUUAAUUUAUUUGAUCUAAUUUGACACAAAUAAUAAUAAAAUGAAAAUCAAGAAUUUGUAAAAUUUUAAUCCCUUUUCAUUAAAUUUUAUAAUAUUACUUGUGGGUAGAUUUCUAUAUUUAUUAUAUUGAUACUUGUUUAAUCAAUUGUAUUUCUUUUUGUUCACACUUGACAUUUUAAAGCCUUCAUUUUAUAUUGCUAGUUUGCUAUAUUUAAGUUCAUACUCGUGAAUUUUACUACAUUACACAUUUAGCCCCUGUUGGAGGCCACAUUUUUUUUUUUUUUUUUUUUUUAAAAAAAUUUUUUUUGGAUUUUUUUUUUUUUUUUUUUGCAAAUAAUGUAUUUUGGAAUUGUAUUUUUUUUUUUUUUUAGAAUAUGUGGUUAAAAAAUAGAGAAAAAAAUUUGAAUUACAUAUAAAAUUAUUUUAUGAAAAAAUGUAAAAUUAAAAAUGAGUUUUAAAAAAUGAAUUUUGAGAAUAAUGAGGCUCAUAAGGGGCUUAAUAAGUAUUUCAUUUGACAUCACUUCACUAAUAUUUUUAUUUACUUAUUAAUUAUUAGACGAAGUUAUUGAAUUGUUGUUGCCUUACUGACUUAUUUAUAUAUAAAUUUUACCACGUCGAUGCUUUUAAAAUUUUAAUCAUCCUUAACAAAAAUUCUAGAUCCGUCCCUAGAUCGAAAAAUUUUGAAUAGAGCUCGAUUAUUGGUGAGCAAAUGAUUGAUUUAUAGAGUUGCAAUAAUUCAUAGAAUUAAUCUAUUUUAUUAGAUUUAGAACUAAAAUAAACACAUGUUUGUCUAUCAUUAAAUUAGGAAAGUAAAAUUUUAAACUAUUGAAUUUUUGGAGAAUGUAUGAUAAAAUAUUUAAAAAAUGGCUUUACGUGUAAAAUAUUUUAUUAUAAGAAUUUGUGGUUAAAAAUAAGUUUGAAAAGGAAAAAAGAAUUUUUAAUUAAUAGUAGAAAAAUAGGGGAUAAAACAUCUUCAUUGAUGACUUUAACCCAUCUAAAACUGAAUUCAUUGUAUAAAUGAUCAUUGAAUUUUAUUUUAGGCUGCUACUUGUUCAACCAAAAUAAGGAAAAAAAAAACAUUUCUCAAUUUUAAGUACGAGUGAGUAUUAAAUUUGAACAAGCAAUUUGUAUUAAAUUUGAUCCUAUUUCUAUUUUUAGAGUAUUAAAUUUUCUCUAUCUUUCUCUUCAUUUUUUUUUUUAUCUUAAUAUUAGUAAAAGAAACAUGGGCAGUAGAUAGAACUCAUUGGAGACCAAUUUUAUAUUCGAUCGUCUAUUCUUUAUGCAUCAAUGUCCUGUAAAUUACAAUUUAUAAGUGUAUAUGCAUGUCAUGUAGAAUGUUGGCCUCGAUUGUAGUAUGCACAGUAAACAAUAGAUGUCGAGUCCACUCGUGUCUAUGCAAACUAAUUCCAACAUGCUUGGACAGAUUACUAGUCAACGAUGUUUCAAAUUUCAACGGGAGAGACGCUUUACAAUGCGAAACAAAGAUGUUCAAACACUGACAACAUACAUAAAUAUAAUUGUAUGAUAAAGAACGAUCAAGAACACAUAAACUCAAGAUUUAACAUUUAGCUCAAUUAAUAGAGAAUAAUAAAGCAGAGAGAAGCAAUAACUCUAGUCAUCAAUUCAAUGUAUUGUUGGAAUUUAGUGGUGUUAAUGAAAUCGGAUUAUCGUAUACCGUAUAUAUAGUUUAGAUACCGAUUUUAAGCAUACCGUAUAUACAGCUUGCCGUAUAUACAUCUUAACGUAUUUGCAGUCUACCGUAUUUGCAGGCAACUUACCAUAUUUGCGGCCUACCUUAUUUGCAGCUUACCGUAUAUGCUGCCUACCAUAUAUGCUUUUAAUCGUAUUUGGCAGUGAAUUGAACACAGAAUUUUCACAAGGUGUUUGUUUUCAUUCAAUAAAUUAGAUAACACAAAAUCAAACACAAUUUCAUAUAUUGGUUCGUAUAUACAAAAUAUUAUCUAAAUUGUGUGAACAAAAGCAAAUUAAUCUACUUAAACAAGUAUAACAAAUUAUAUUAUUUGUAGAGAUGCAAAAAGCAAUAUAAAUUCAAGAAACAGAGAUUUAAACUGGAAAAGCUAACUAAAUCUGGAAAGCAUCUAAAUCUACAAAUAACGAAAUGCACAGAGAUUCAAACUGGAGAGUAUAUAAUUCUGAAAAUAAACUUUUAACCCGAGGCCUAUGCAAGCAUAGUUUCCUUAAAACAGAUUCGUCCUCUCACCGUGCAUGGUUGAGUUUUAAUUCGAGUAUCUGCUUCUCAUGAUACAACGGUAAUACAGCAGAAUCUAAGCACCGCAGACACCACUCCCACGAACUGUUCCAGUGUUCAAACUGUAUCACCACCAAUAUGCAGACAGAAACUCAAAGUAUGUAUGCGGACAAAGAACGACUAUGCAGAGGUUUUUCUCUUGUAUUUCCUGUGUAUGCAGUGGAGGAGCUUGCUGAAUAAAUAGACUGUAAUGGAGACUUCAAGGCCAGGAGUUACACCAUUAACUCGGCAAUGAAUAUUGGAGUUUUGAUUGUUUUAAGAUUUAAACGGUGGACUAUCAAAAGCAGUCAAUUUUUGCUCCAUUCGGUCCGAUAUUCAUGUACGCAAGUCACGCUCGCACACAAGUUCAAGGCUCGAUGUACAAUUUCAAUCCUUGAUUUACACCCCUUGCGCGCACACGUAGAGAGAGCCUCUUUGUUUUACAUAAUUACACACCUUCCCAAGUAUAAUCCUAUAUAAAGUGGUUCAUACUUUCUUCAUUUUCCUAUGUGGGAUUAGUUCCAUUUUUCCACAUAAACCAUUUUCCAAUAGUCAUCUUUGAGCUCCAAUUUCUCAUUCAUCAAUUUUGACAAAUAAAUAUAUGGUUUUGAUACUCUCACGAAGGAGAAUAAGGAUCAACUUCGAUUUUCCAAAUUGGACCAACGGGUCUCACUCAAAUUUUACGCCAAAAUAUCCACUAGUCCAUUUUUUCCAACAUGUAUAAUGUUGCGAAGCCCUUCAAAUGAUAUAAGGAGUGGGUAUUUAUAAUGUCAUCAAUCAUUUGAAUAGGAUUCUAUCAAUAGGUUAUCUUCAAAAGAAGUGGGUCACGAACAAACCUCAAACCGAACCUACGAACUAGAACUGCUUCGGUAAGCGAGCUUCGAUAUUUGGGCUUUGCCACACUGGAGAGGAGCCUCAUCUAUUUUCUUGUGGGAUACCACGUAGGCUUCUUGUGGGGCUCUGGUGAUGAGGUGUAACAUAAACUGUGAUCCGUAAAAGACAUUAGAAAUGCUCUAAGGGGCAAUAAAAAUAUUCACUAUUUUAACCAUACUCCCAUGUUACACACAUUAAUAAUAGAUACUAAGAAAGUAUCAAUGAAGUUGACAGCGACAAGCCAUAUAAAAACUCCAUCUGACCUCGUUGUAUGGGUUGAGAAGACUUAGGCCUAAGCUUAGCAACAAAUUUAAUCCUACCACAAACAAUACGUGUUUUGGCUAACUUGCUUAAUCUUUGUUUGGUGAACUUUCAUCACAUUUUGAUUGACUUAAAGUUCUCAAUCUUUAUUCAUUAUAAUACUUACAUUCCUAACAAUUUUUCAUAAUACAUCUUGUAUUUGAUAACAGUUUAUAUCCAAAAGAUCCAUUGAAGGGUGUAAAAUUACUUACUUUCCAUCAUUUUUUAAAAAUAAAUACAAAAGUAUGAUAAAAUAUAUUUUCCCACAUCUUAAAGCAUGGAAACAGUAUAUUUUGUCAAACGAGAAAUAUUCUAAAGAUAAAGAAAGUAAUUUUAAUGAAGGGUGCCGCUAUUUAUAUUCACAAUUUUUAUAUAGGCAUCUCACUCUAUACAUACCCAUAUUAAAAUUUUAAAAAAAAAUACUAUUUUUAUCCACGUCAAAUUUCAAUAUUGUCCUUAUUAAAUCCAUUCAUUUAAACAUUAUAAAUCUAUAUAAUUUUUAUUUAUUCAUCUCACUAUGAAUAUAUUUUUAAUACAAUUUCAAAAAAAAUCACUAUAUUCAUCUAAUUAUUAUCAACAUUAAAUACAAUUCCUACUUUUUAUUUUCUAUAUUGUCAUGUCAGUGCUUUAAUAUUUAGACAUAAAGGUUAACAAAUCUCUUUUCUUGAAUUUAUAGGAUUCUAUCUAGAGUAUGCUGCUGAAACAACCAAACAAAUUCCUCCUAAAAUCAUAUAUUAAUAAUUUUUUUCCUUAUAGGCUCAUAAUUUUGGUUUUUUGUAUUUCGACAGAUAAUUUUGAGUUUAUUUCCUUUUGUAAUGUAAGAAUAUUUGGACUGGUAUUGAUACAUAUUUUGAAUUUUUUUUUUAUCCGUCAAACCAAUGCUUAAAAAAGCAUAAAAAUAAUAUUUCAUUUUUCAUAUCAUGAAAGAAUUAUAAAUCUAAUAAUAUGUUGAUUUUUUAUUUUUUAAAAUUUCCAUUGAAGAGGAUAUUUUAUUAUUAGGGUUUUAUAAUUUUAGAUGAAGAUUUUUAUUACUAUCAUUAUUUUUUUUAUUUUUUGCUUAUAAGCUGAUAAUUUUAAAUUUAUUUCCUUUUGUAUGUAGGAAUAUUUGGACAGGUAUUGAUACUUAUUUUGAAAAUUUUCGUAUAUCUUUAUCUGUCAAACUAAUACUUAAAAAAGCUUAAAAAAAUAAUAUUUCAUUUUUCAUAUCAUGAAAGAAUUAUAACUCCAAUAAUGUGUUGAUUUUUUAUUUUUUUAUUUUUAUUUCCAUUGAAGAUGAUAUUUUAUGAUUAGGGUUUUAUGUUUUAGAUGAAGAUUAUUAUUAUUAUUAUUAUUAUUAUUAUUAUUAUUAUUAUUAUUAUUAUUAUUAUUAUCUCUUUCUUAUAAGCUCAUAAUUUUGGUUAUUUGUGUCUCGGAAGAUAUUUUUAAGUUUGUUCCUUUUUGUAAUGUAAGAAUAUUUGGAUAUAUAUUGAAAUUUAUUUUGAAAUUUCUCAUAUAUUUUCAUCUAUCAAACUAAUACUUAAAAAAGCAUAAAAAAUAAUAUUCCAUUUUUCAAAUCAUGAAAGAAUUAUAACUCUAAUAAUGUGUUAUUUUUUUCAAAAAAAAAAUCCGUUGAAGAGGAUAUUUUAUUAUUAAUUAGGGUUUUAUGAUUUUAGAUGAAGAUGUUAUUUAAUUAUUAUUAAAAUUUUAGUUAAACACAAAUUCUAAAAGAAUAUAAAAAUGUUUAAAAGAAUUUAUGAAAAUAAAUAUUAGGGCAUGAAGUUAGAACGGUAUAUUUUUAUUUAAUUUUUAUUUAAGUAAAUUUACAUAAGAUAAAAAUAUAUAUAUAAUAUAAUUACAUUUUUAAAAGUGGAUAUAUAUUGUGUGUGGAUAUAAAUGGCGAUACCUUUAAUGAAUAACGACUUUAAAUGUAGGAAAAUUUACAAAUAUGUCAUUGCAAUAGCAUAGCGAACAAAAAUACACUUAAUUGAAAUAACAAAUCACGCUACACACACAAAAAAUGUUUUUCCUCUUUAAAUGGUGAUUUUUUUGUAAGAGGUUUAUAAAAUUUAUUAUCUUAUUUUUCCAAACUCUAAUAUCAAAUUAAUAAAAAUAAAAUUAGGUUGUUAAUAAACUAUUGAAAAAUAAAUAUAGAAAAUAAAUCAUUUGAUUCUUCCGACAUUGUAAAACAAAUAAAAAUUCUUAAUUGCUAUACUUUGAUUAAUAAUAUUUGUUCAACGAAUAAAAACUAUACAAUUAAGAUAACUUCUUAUAUUAAUUGUUAAUUUGUGGAAAAAUCCACCUUAUUCGUUCAAGGUUGGGGUAAUUUUGCAACUCAAAAAAUUGCAAAAAAUACAUGAGUAAUUUUAUUGUAUUUAUCACGGAUGAUUUUUUCUUUCUUUCUUUGUUUUGUUUGUCCUUUUUCUUUUUUUUCCAGAAACCUUCGUGGAAGAGAAGAAUAUUUAAAUAUAAUUAGUAAAAAAAAAAAAAAAAGCAGUGAAAAUGCUCGAAAAAGAAUGACAAUAUAUGUAGAGAUAGAUAAAUAGAAAUAAAUUAAAUUUUAGAUGACACGAAUUUAUAUAUGAACUUUUGGAGAAUUAAAAAAAAUUAAAAUUGGUAUAUAAAGGUUACAUAAUAUAACACAAAGGUGUGAAUUUUUUAUUUUCGAUUGUCGUUGGUAUCUUAAUCUAUUUACUUAUUUCUAAUGGCAAAACUCUAAGGUUUUUAGCAAAAUUAAUUUUUCGAUACCAUAUUGUACAAUAAAAUAUGUAGAGUUUAAAAAUACAAUGUGUAAUGUGUAGAUAUAACCCAUAUAAACGGUAUUUAAAUGCUUAUAAUAAGUUAUUUAUCUUACCGAAUGUGUACAUGAAACGAUAAAUGGAUGUAUAUAAAAAAUGUUUUGUCAAAGUUAAGAUUUGCCAAACUUGCACAAAUUAGUAUCAAUCACGUUACUUUGCCUGAAAAUGAUUGACAUGCAACCUGAUCGAUACUCAAAAAUAGGAGGCCCACUUCUCUUGGACUUUUUAUUCACACGGAACCUACGUGCAUGUGAGAGGGUGUCAAGAAUUGUGUCAAAUUUUUUUCGGACAAAGUAGUUUAAUUCAAAUAGUAUUGCUUUGGUCUACGGAUGAAUUUCAGGUGAUUCAAUCCCAAGUGUUUUGAGAACUGAACUGGUCAAAUAUUCAUUAAGAAUUGUGAAAAUGAUUAUUGGCUCUAUAACAAAGGAGGAGCUAAAUCGGAACAGAACCGAUUAAUUAUUGAUACUUCCAAUUUUAUUUUAUUUUAUUUUUUUUCCAGUUUCAUACUUUAUUCUUGAAAUUAUAAAACUCUCAAUUUUCAAUUCAAGCAGACAAGUUACAAUUAUUGAGAGAGGAUUAAAAAAAGGUGCCCACCCUUGCUCCAGUCACAUGCCUGCAUGGCUAUAGUUUCUGAAAAACUUUUACUGUUUUCUUUACAAAUUAUUUGACAAAUAUUGAUACGAAAUGUAUUUUGGCCCCUAAAUUAGAGUCAAAUGCAUGCACCUCAUCAUCACCUAUCAAAUAAUCUGUAAAAAUAUUUCAACACAAAAUAGCUUUAUUGAAGCUUUUAUUGAUCUUCUGUCUUUCUAAUAAUGUUAUUUGUACGUAAAGAGUUACAUAAUAAUUAAAUACAAAUAAAGUGUAAAAAAUAGUGUGAAUUUUAAACUUUUUUAAUUAAUUGAAAAAUUCUGAUCCAAUAAUAUCUUAUUGCAUCAUGUGUAUAUAAAGAGUACAGCUAUUUAUAGUCACUCAUCGCAGUAGUCGCCCUACGUGGCAUUCUAUAUGAAUGUUUGUGAUUUGAUGUAUUAAUUUGAUAAUUUUUUCUUGUCACAUAUAUUAAAUCAUUAAUCGUCACAUACGUGCCAUGUAAUGAUUACGAUAAUGAGUAAUUGCAAAUAAUAUUAUUCAUACAUAAAUUAUUAUGUACCUAUAAUACAAUUAUUGUCAUUUAGGCCCCUCUGUGCACCAAACUAGCAUAAGCCAAGCAGAGCUUUUCCCUCUAAUCCUAAACAUAGCCCACUACAAUGGGCCCACCAAAACUUGAAAACCCGAAGAUGCCCCCCAAUACAUAACUAAGAUCAUUUUAAAUUACGGGGUAGUUUUGUCUUUUAGGUCCAGCUACAUAAACUGAAGUCAGAAGACACAAUUCUCAACUCUGUACGCUUCGGCUCUGUUUUUUGUUUUCGUUUUGAUGAAAAUGGCGUCAAUCUCUUCACCGUUGUGUCAAUUCCCGUGUAUGGCACUUCAAAGAACCUCUCAGAACUCCAAAAUGAAUGCUUCGUCUCGGAUAAAUUCUAUCAAUAUCUCUGGGAAAAACCCCGUGCAGAAGUUGAAGAGAAAUUAUGCAAUCACAGCGGUGCUUCCAGGUCCAGAGAAGGAUCCGAGAGAACCGGGAUUGGCUGUGUUUCGCGCGGGUAAUCGCUAACAAGUAAAAAGGGAUCAGACGGUUGUGUAAGAAACAAACCUCUUGAGAUAAAGUCCCAAAAAAGGGUGUUUUAUUGGCGAUAAUUUAUAAUUGGUACCAAACAGAAUGCCUCCAAGGGGCGCAAGCACACGAGUACUGAAAGAAAUGUUUAAGUUUAAACUAAGAAAUUGAAAUUACAUAUUCUCUAUUUGAGAGUGUUUGAUUCGGAGUCCUUUUCUCUGUCUUCUCUCCCUUUUAUAUUCCCUUGAUGAUUUUUUCGUGACAAACCGUUUGAAAACUGCUUGAUUGCUUUAUAACUACUCACUCUUUAUGGUGGCUAACUUGUCGCGGAACUGCUAUCUCUAACUGCUGCCACUACUCUUCGUCGUUCAACCGUCUUCAACGGGGUUCCUUGAAUCGUGGAAUGUGAUAAGGUUACUCAAUAACUGCAUUUCUGGAUAACCGUAACAUUUCAUGUUUGCUAAGAUCUUGAGCGAUUCGAAGGUAUGGGCGAGAAUAGGGUCAUCGCUCUGAACGACUGUAAGGCACUCCAUUCGCUCAGAUCUUGGGCUUCUUGCAAGGUUGGACGAUGAUGUUACUGUGUUCGUGGGCUUCCACUGCAUUCAUUAAUAAUCAUGUAUGGGCCUUUAUCCUGAAUUGCCUAAUUGGGCUUCAUUCUUUGGGUUAUUUGAUUUGGACUGCACUUUUAGUGUGUCAACAAUUACCCCCCAAUAUGGCAGAAUUAAUACUAAUUAUUAAUCUUUGCCAUAUUCAUUUUGUGUUUUCCGGCAACAUUUGAAAUUUUCAAGAAUUUCAAUCAUUAUUUCCUUCUACAAUCUGAAAAAGUGCAACGUUACAAACCCUUAUAAACCAAAAGGACUCGCCAUUUCAUUGCACCACUCGACCACGUCUAUAUUUCGCGCUUCUUCCUCGCUAUUUUACUGUUCAUCUUCUUGCUUCUCUGCUACGUUUCCCAGGCAAACCUUGUCAAAACUGUACUUUGUUUCCAAUGGCAGCUCCACAAACCCAACCUGAUGACUUUUUUAGCUUCGAAGAUUUCCAAAAAAUCCUUACUCAGCCAUAUGUAAAUCCGAACUUCCUUGCACUAGCCAAUGUCGAACUCAAUGAGUUCUAUUUGGGCCCAUCAUUCAAUAACGCCGAAGCCACCGAACAAGUGGCGGUGGGCCAGCUUUUCCCUUGCACUCAAGGCCCUCCGUUCCUAAAUUCUUUGCCGUUGAGGCCGAUUCGCAAAAAGGUAUUCGCACUUGGCCUAAAUCAGACGUUGUUUUCCGUAGAUGACAUGCUCGCCUUGUGGGCUAUGGUCCUACCAAGGCAAUUUUUUAUUGUGCUAGGAUUUUUGAUUUAUUAGAAAUUGCUCUUCAACCCCCAAUUUUUGACCCAGUGUUUUUUCUUAUUGCUUUGAGUUUUUGGUCUUUUGAAUAUAAUACCUUUGUUUUCCCUCUUGAUCCCAUGUCUAUUACUUUAAGGGAUGUUGGGGCCCUAGUAAAUCUUCCACCUUUGGGCGAUACCAUUUUCCCUGUUAUUUUGAUUUUCGGUGUUGCCCCGAAAUUUGACAAGAAACUCACCGAGUCCUACUCUAGCCUGCAAGGCUUUUAUAAUCACUCAAGCGCCGAACCUUCCCAUGCUGAGCAUGUGGCCUUUCUUCAAAUUUGGCUAUGUAAAUAUAUUCUCUGCGUGCCAAGUAUGAAGCCUUCCAUGAGUUACUUACCCAUAGCGCAUGAAUUGGCGCGUGGUAGCCCUUUGAAUUUGUGCUCCUUCUUUUUGGCUGCCCUUUAUGGAGGCAUGGCUUCUCUUCAAUUUCAAUUGAAGAAUGGUGCAUCUCCCACUGGCAGUGGGCCUCUAUGGUUCACUCAACUGUAGUUGAGAGCAUAUUUCCCAUCACUUGGUGUUCCAUUCAUUUCUCUUCGUUCUGUUAGCUGUUAUGGGCUAGCCAUUAACCCAUUGAGCCCUGUAAAUAUGUUCAGUAGGGACAUUUUUUCAUUCUUUUAUACCUUAAAUUCAAUUCCUUCCUUCUUCCCUUUUCCUGCUCAUUUGACUCCAGAUUAUGUGUAACCUCCAUCCACCCUGGACAGUGCGAGCGCCUCUCUGCUCGUUUAGGUUCAAUUUUUGCCUGGGAGGGAGUUGUUCCAUGAUAUUUUAACCGGAACCAAUGCCAAAGCUGGGGUUGAAAUAUAUGCUCCCCAAUUUUUUGCUCGCCAACUUAGUUUUGGCCAAACUUGGCCUGUUCCUCCUUGCUAUUCAAAAAAUUUGAUAGACCGCUUUCACACCAUUAAUAAGGCAGAGGCACAAGCUAUAAAUGCUCGCAACAUUCUCUUGACGAGUAAAUUUUCAUUAGCCCACUUCAAUUCUAGCCGUGACAUCCAUCCCCUUUUUAAACAACCCUGACCAUCAGUGAAGCGCAGAUUGUUUGUAAUUGAUGCCAAUCGUCCUUUCCAUUCACUGGAUUCCACUUCUCCUAUUUUGAUAACCCCUGUGUCCAUUAGGAAUCCUUCCUCUCCCGCUCGUGAUAAACAAUCUAUUCGUCCAUCUACUUCUCUACCUACCAAGGCUACUGUAGCUAAGAGUGCCUUAAGCCGCAAACGGCCAGCUUCAGCAUCUUCCGUUUUGGAGGAUGAUGAUGAUGACACUCCUCUCAUCUUUAGGAGAAAGGUAAUUGAAUUCUGUUUAUUCACAAACAUAUCUUUCUAUGUGCUAAUGGUUUAUUUGAAACCUUUCUAUAUGCUAAUGGUUUACUUGAAUUUCUCAGAAAAGUUCAGCCUCUCCUUUGAAGGCUUUAGUGUUGGCAACUCCUGCUCUAUCAUCCUCUACUGAAGAUGCUUCGUCCAAAUCAGCUGAUGAAGGGACUAUGUUUAAAGAGAAACCUUUAGUCCCGAAACCCUCAGUCCCGUAACCCUCAUCACAACUAAUAGAAGAGCCACAUUCUUCCUAGGGCGCCAACCCCCCAAUCAUCAAACCAGAAGUAAUGCAUUUUUUGAUGUUUUACUCUUGCUUGUGCUAUUGAUUUCUGAUUUGUUACUUCUUGAAUUCUGCAGAGGCUCCCAUGGGUCUGCCCGUUGUGGUAGAGUCUUCUCGCCCAGAUAAGGGAAAGUCUCCACAGGUGGUGGAGCCAACUGGUGAUAUGCCACUUCCCAAAAUUGCUGAUGAGGUAACUUUUCACUUCACUUUCAUUUUCGCUUCGUUUAUUGUAGUGAAAGCCCUCAAUAUUCACAUUUUUCUUUGCAGGGUGCUGAUGACAUUGUGCGUUCCAUUCAGGACUUGUUCACUUCCUAGGGGCAAGUCAAGACGUCUCGCCCUACUUCAACUGGUUGUCCUUCUGCUUCUUCAGAGGAAGAUAUGAAGUUCCUUAAACAGUCAAUAUUUGAGUAUGUAUCUUUUAUGGACAUCGGUCAGGCUAGUGCUGCUAAACACAAGGAUAAGCUUGAGCUAUUGAGUGCGAAGUUGGCGCAAGCACCGACACUUCUGUCGCUCAAUAUUUCUGCUGAUUUUAAAGCGACGUUGAAGGUUGUCCACUCUGACAUCCUCUCCUUGUUGGCCAAAAAUAUUGAACUGAAGGCUAGGAGUACUCAAUAUCUUCGUGCUGCAUCUGAAAGAGAGUCUUUGCUUCUAGAGAUUAACAAAGCCGAGGAUGAAUUGAAAGAAAUCUCUUCCGAAGUUAUGCUCGAAGACUCUCUGAUGACAAGUUUGGCUGCAGAGAUGAAGGAGCUUCAAGCAAGGAUGGACGACUGUAAGGUGAGAAUGACAGCUAAAAAACGUAAUGCUUCCCAAGGAAUUGAGCGAACCAAGUCUUUGGUUGAACAGUACAAAAAACUGGAGGUUGAUGACGAUUUCGUAGCUGAAUUAAAUGUCGAUUCUUCUCAGCAGAGCGAGGAUUGGGGGAGGCUUAGGAAAAGAAUUCGAUCAGCCUGUGGUGAAUUGUAAUUAAGAUAUCUAAUGCCUUAAAUUUUCCUUUUGUAACUUCGUAUCAACUGCCAUUGCUAAAUUUAAAUGUAACAGCAGCCAUUGUUAGUAAUGAAUGACUAUUUUGACUACUUGAGUGCUAAUUGACGUUGUCCUUAAUCAUCAACCCCCCAAGCAUUUAACUGCUUUAUGAUCAGAUUCAUAUACAUUCUCUCUUGGUAUUUCUGUCUCUUUUCCCAAGACUUUGGGCCACUUGACUCCAAUUACUAGGCACGAAUGUGGCUGUUCAUAUUCUGUCUCUUCACCUUCACGCCCCUAUAAAUGCACGUAUAUUUCGUACUUUUCAUUUUCAUUUCCAUUCUUUUCUUCAAAAACUAAUUUGCUGCCAUCGUUUGGCAUUUCAACAAUCGAUCCAAAAUUUUCGUCUUCCAUAGAAAUGGAUCUUUUGAUCCGCCCAUGUUUUGAUGUCCCCUUUGGUAUGGGAGAUAUAGGAAAUAUUUUUUGGCUAGCAAAGUUCUUCCCAUCGUCUCCAUGUUCUUUAUAAGGAGUUCAAUGAUGGAAGAUAAUUUUUGAGGAUACAUGUCAAGUCACCUUGCUUGCUGAGAGUGCUUCUCAGUCUCCUUGCUCGUUAUUGCAGCGAUGCAAUUAGGCAGGCGAUGUGAGGGUGCUUUUCCUCCCUUCUGCUUGCUAAGAGUGCUUCUCGACCUCUCUGUUUACCUUUACAGCAGUGCGAUGAGGAUGACAAUCAAGGCCAGUUCACCCUCUUACUUGGUGAUCGACCAAGAGAUUAGUUUGCUCUCAAUUGUAGCUUAUAGAGCAUUUAGUAUUUUGUAUCUCGCAAUUUGUAAUGAAUGUUUGAUAAUAAAGGAAUUUAUUUGAACCUAUUUCAUUCUAGCCCUUUUUAUAAACGAUCGUUCAACCCGAUUUAAUUACGUUUUUAUUUGUUCACUUUCCCAUAAGAAAGGAACAUUUUUUUUAAAUAUUUGUCAUUAAUGAACCUCAUGUGCUUGGUGCCAUCUAAAUCUUCCAAAUGAUAGGCUCCAUUAGGCAACACACUAUUUACUUUAUAUGGCACUUCCCAAUUGGGCGACCACUUGCCAUAUUUUGGAUCUUUGCUAUCCAAAGGGAGUAUUGUUUUCCAAACCAAUUCGCCCAGGCUAAAUGACUUGGCUAUAACUUUUUUACUAUAAAACUUAGCCAUCCUUUGUUUUUGAACUUGCAAUCUAUCUAGGACGCCCAACUUUAAUUCGUCCAACUCCAAUAAGUUUUGAACUAGUGUUUCGGUAUACUCAUCAUCACUUAACUUAUGUUGUAAACACACUCUGAUCGAUUGCACGUUAAUUUUCAUAGGCAAAAUGACCUCCUGUCCAUAAGUAAGUUGGAAAGGAGUAAUUUUGGUACUUGAUCGAGGCGACGUCCUAUAAGCCCAUAAGGCCUUGUUUAGACAUUCGUGCCAAUUUCUGGCAUUUUCAUCUAUCAUUUUCCUUAUGAUAUUUUUUAGAAUCUUAUUAGAAGAUUCUGCUUGUCCGUUGGAUUGAGCAUAAUACGAUGUGGAGUUCACUACUUUAACUCCAAACUCGCCCAAGAAUUUAUUCACUUGAUCUUCAUUUAAAGAAGUUCCAUAAUCUACCAUCAAAGUUUGUGAAAUCCCAAAUCUAUAAAUAAUAUGAUCACGGAUAAAUUCUAUAACACUCUUUUGGGUGAUUUUUUUUAAAGGUAUCGCUUCUACCCACUUAGUGAAAAAAUCAGUUGCAACUAUAAUAAGGGUAUGUUGCUUGGACGAUAGGGGAUAAAUCUUCCCUAUUAGGUCUAUCACCCAACCUUUGAAUGGUCAAAGUUUGAUAAUCGGUGUCAUUUCUCUUGCUAGCAUCCUUUGUAUUGGACCAUGCCUUUGGCAUACUAGACAACUCUUUGCAUAUUGAACACAUGAUUCUCCCAUCUUGGGUCAAAAAUAUCCAUUUCAAAUAAUUAACUAUCUCAUCCUUUGGCCAGCUUGAUGAGCUCCACAUAUCCCUUCAUGUACCUCAGCCUUGAUUGUCCUGACUUCUUGCAAACUUACACAUUUUAGCAAUAUACCAUCAGAGUAUUUCUUAAACAACUCUUCAUCUAUCAGUGUAUAGUUUAGCAAACGCAACUUCAUUUUUCUAUUAUCUCCUUUAUUAGGUUCUUUAAGGAACCUUUUAAUCUUAGCCCUCCAAUCUAUUGCAUCUCCAUCUUGUAUGCAAUGAAUUUCAAUCCUUCUUGCCCUUCUUUGGACUACGGGCAAUAUUACUCCAUAUUCAUAAAAAGAUUUCCAAUUUAAAACAUUUGAAUACCCUAAGGCCAUCUGGGCCAACUCAUUUGCUACGUCAUUAUAUAUCCUAUUAACACAUUGAAGCUCUAUUUGGUCGAAUUCUCCCAAUAACUCUUGGGUGAUUUCAUAUUGACUUAUAAUGGAACCACUUUGGCACUUAAAAUCACCAAUCAAUUGGUGAAUUACCAAUUGAGAAUCGCCUCUAACGAUUACAUUCUUUACUUCCAUAUCUAUCAUUAAUUCUAGGCCCACGAUUAAGGCUUCAUAUUCGGCUUGAUUAUUGGUGAACAUCAUAUCUAAAGUGAAUGCGAACUUGUAACAAAUCCCUAAAAGAUUUAUCAAUGCUACUUCUACUCCUGCACCUUUAGAAGUCUUUGACCCAUCGAAAUACAAAACCCAAGGUUUUAAUUCGAAUGAAUUGAUUUCUAAUUCAAUUUCUUCAGGCGUGUUAAGGCAUGGAUGAUCGGCCAAAAAGUUUGCCAAAGCCUGAUUUUUUAUUGCCUUUUGGGGUAUGUAUUGUAUUUCGAAUUCUGAUAAUGCUAACGUCCAAAGGCUUACCCUUUGAUGGAAAAUAGGGCGAGAGAACAUAUACUUAACCAAAUUUACUCUAAAAAUCAAAUAAACGGUUACGGGCUGUAAAUAAGCCCUUAAUUUCGUACACGUGAAAUACAAUGCAAGACAUAAUUUUUCAAUGGCAAAGUAAUUACAUUCACAUUUUGUUAACCAUCUACUCAAGUAGUAAAUUACCCUUUCUUCACCAAAUUGGUCUUCUUGCGCAACCAUUCCAGCUAUUGAUUCUUGUACAGCCGAUACAUACACUUUCAUUGGCCGUCCUUAGAUUGGUGACACCAAUACUGGUGGACAUUGAUAAAUAUGUCUUUAGGCUUUCAAAAGCCUUUUGAUACUCUUAUUUUCAGACGAAUUCGUCCUGAUUUUUCAACUUUAAAAGCGGUGAAAAAGUUUUAGUUCGCCCUACACAGUUAGAAAUAAAGCGUCUUAAAAAGUUUACUUGGCCUAGAAACCUUUGCAAUUAUUUUUUAUUACUAGGUGAUUUGGCCUCUAAAAUGGCAUUCGCUUUAUUUUUAUCAAGUUCAAUCCCCCUUUUGUGUACUAAGAAACCAAGGAAAUUUUCUGCAUUAACACCAAAUGCACAUUUUAAGGGAUUCAAUUUUAGUUUAUAUUGCUUCAUUCGCUCAAAUGAACAUCUCAAUUGUUCAAAAUGGUCCUCUUCUUUAAUGGAUUUGACCAAUAUAUCAUCUACAUACACUUCAACAAACUUGCCUAUCAUAUCAUGAAAAAUCAAUUUCAUCGCCCUUUGAUAAGUUGCUCCUACAUUUUUCAGGUCGAAAGGCAUAACUACCUAUUCAAAACAUCCUAGAGACCCAGGGCAUCUAAAGGCAGUUUUGUGUAUAUCUUCCUCAACUAUAUAAAUUUGAUUGUGUCCUGAAUACCCAUCCAUGAAGGAAUACAUUAUGUGUCCGGCAGUCGAGUCUACUAAAGACUCUACCGUAGGCAUUGGAUAUUCAUCUUUGGGUGUGGCUAUAUUUAAAUUCCUAAAACCUAUGCACACCCUUAAUUUACCAUUCUUUUUUUGUACUGGCACGAUAUUGGACAACCAUUCGACAUACCUGGCUGUUCUAAUAAAACCUAUUUUUAAUAAUCGCUCUAUUUCUUUCUUAAUCUCAGGGAGUAAAUUAGGAGUAAAAGGCCUAGGAGGUUGUUUAUGAGGUUUAAAAUUCGGCUUGGUUGGUAAUCUAUGUUCCACCAAACCUCUAUCUAAACCAAGCAUAUAUUCAUAUUCUCAAGCAAAACAAUCCUUAUAUUCCUUUAAUAAAGCGAUUAAUUUAUCACUAACCUCUUUAUCAAGCAUCUGGCUGACGAAUAUUGGGCGAUCUUUUCCUUCAUUGCCAAUAUUCACUUUAAUCAGAGGGUCCUGUACUUGAGCGUAUCCAGGCUUGAUGAUCCUCAUCACUUCAUCAUCUAAUUCCCUUAUGAGCACUUUUUCUUCUAAACAAUCCACCUUGUUGACUUCUCGGCCAAUAUUCUGUUCCAACUCGAACACUGCCAAUUUGUCUCUCAAUGCUUCCAAGGCUGCUUCUUCUUUCGUCUUGUCCUUACAUUCUUUAUUGAGAGCCAUUAAUUUGGCUUUGAAGGCCUGAACAUCGGCCAUUUACCUCUAUUGCUUACAACUCAUUUAAAACUCGUUGAUUACUUUUUUGCCAAUUACGGGCUCUUCUAGGGCCACUAUGUUUGGCCUCAUUUGACUGAACAUUUCAGUGAGUGCAGCUACCGAAAACGGCUUUUCACUUUGUACAACAAUUUGAGUUUCUUCUCCAUCUUGAACUACUCUGACAGGUCCAUAAUUUCCUUCAUACAUGAACAUUUCCACUGAGUUUCCUUCUACGACAAAAGGCCUAUGAUCGGCCUGCAUCACUUCAAAAAAACCAGGUAUUGAUAGAGCGAUGAGGGUAUACAACGACUUCCGUGUAUCCAAUCUCUUUCCUAAUAACACAUUGUAACUGGUAGGACCAUCUAUUACAAAGAAAACUGUGAUCCUAGUAGUUGUCCCUAUAGUUAUGUCCAAUGGCAUAACCCCUUUAGCUGAAGUUGCUCCUCCAUUGAAACUUGUAAGGAUGACUUCCGUUGGAAUCAUAUCACUUUCUGUCUUUGCAAAUUUUCUCAUCAUUCUAGAUGGAAUGGUGUUUAUAGCUACUCCAUUAUCAACAAGUACUUUUGCCACAGGUAUGUCGUUAACUAAAGCUUUAACGUACAAUAGCCUCAAGUGUUUAGUUAACUUCAUAGCUGGUCUCUUAAAAAUAACCUUUUCGGCAGCAUCUAUUUCCACUUCCUAUUUGUCCUCUGUCGAGUUAUCCUUCGUGAUAAGUCAACGUGCAGUAUGUCGCACUGAGCUUCUGUUUCCCGAAUUUCCCUUUUACUGUUUUCUAAUGCUUCUUCUUCGGUUACCCACGUAUGGGAGGAGGCAUUAUUCUUGGAGGUGACCCAUACUUUUCAGAGUGAGGAACUCUCUUUUUACUUUUGGGCGUCCCGUACAGGACGUAAUAAUCGAAAGAACGCUCAGACGGAUCUCCCAACAAGUCCACUUCACGAACCCCCUCUCAAUGUAGUUGCUUCAACAGAGUAUUGUGCGAUACCCCUCUCUUUCUUCUUUCUGCUUCCAGAUCAAUUUUCUCUUCGAUUUUCGUCAUACCAUCAUCUCCUUCAUCAUCGCAGGCCCCUCUAGAAGUUUGGCCUUCCUCACAUUCCAGCACACAUGCUUCUUCUUUGUUAUCCUCCCUUUCUUCUUCUUCUUUCUCUUUGUUCUUGAACUCAUUGGCUAGUAAGUAAUUAUUAGCCAUGAUUGGAGGUAACGUACUGAACUGAAUAGUAAGGGGCUGAUCUGGAUCUUCCCCAUCCCUUCUAUCUCGCUCAAACUUCGAUCUCCCAGAAGAACUUUCUGACAAUUCUUCCAUCGAUUCGCCUGUACCAGUCUCUUCACUGUCUUCAAGAACAUUUUGAUUGGCUACCUCGAGUAAUUUAGGCGCCUUAAGACGUGGCAUUCCCUAUUGUUGCCUCAUCAUUCGUCCAUAGUUUCGUUGAAAAUGCCUUUGUUGGGUUCUAGUCAUCUCAUUGAAGGGUAUCACCCUUCCUGCGUUAUACUGGAACGAAUGCCAUACAUUUGGUUGGCGAGAUUGUGGUUUGAAUGUUCUCCUAUUAUCUACUGGCCUGAACUGCCUCUCAAAAGGCGGUCCCCUAUAGAAUGAUGUAACUCGCCCUCUAUCAGGCUGAGCGUUUGGAAAAAAAUUAGGGCGAUGGUGAUGCUGCCAUAUCCCUGGUUUCUUUGUAUUUGCACUCACUUCUCUUUUGCAUCUUGCACACAGGACGUCUUCAUCCUUUUUGGGCUCCUUCCCUUUGAUACGUUCAAAGACACUGGGAUGUAGCCCAAGGUCCUCUUCCUCGUCAUUUAUAAUCAAUUUGAAUUCUGGCAACUUGUUUUUGAAACCAGUCGUCACCAUGUUCACCCCAAGUGGCUAUGGAAAAGGGUUUUCAUCCAUUGCCAUCUUCUUCUUAUCUUCAAACGUAAUUCGUCCUGAUUCAAUGGCGUCCUAUAACAUAUUGCGAAAAACCAAAUAGUUGUUAGUCAAAUGUGACCAUGCAUUAUGCCACUUACAAUAUUUUUUACCCUUAACUUGUUUAGGACUUGGCAAUUUAUGUUUAUCGCUCAGCUUUAUCUGUUUAUCCAUAUAUAGUUUAUCAAAUAUAAGGUCAGCUUUGGUUACAUCGAACGAGAACGUUCUAGCCUUUUUGUUUUUAUCUUUUAUAGGCUCAUCCUUGCCCGACAGUCUAGGCUUAGCCAUUAUAGGACAAGUAUACGUAUCUCCUUUAAUUAAUUCGGCCAAACACAUUUCGGUUUGAUCGUAAUAUUCGUCAUUAAUGGUAUGGACAUCAAAGUUUGGGUCUCUAUAAUAAGUCCCCCUGCUAGAGUUUUUCAUUUGCUCUUCUUCUCUUAUUAAUCGUUCAUACCUAAUCACGUUUGCGCUCAAUUGAAAAAGAUUAGGAAAUUCUUUGUCUUGAAAUUUCUUUUUCAAAUCAAAGUUUAGACAAUUUUGAGCGAUUUUGACAAAUUUCUUUUUGAGUAAAGGUACAAAACAUUUACUUCUUACUAUCUUGAACCUUUGAAGGAAACCUUCUGCCCAUUCAUUUGGCAUUUGACACAGACUCGCCAAAUCGGUCAAAGUAACUUCAGACUCAGUCUUAUAAAAUUGAGCAUGGAACAACUGCUCCAAUUGUUGCCACGUUUGAACAGAGUGCGCUAGCAAAUUGAUGAACCAGGAGAAAGCUACUCCUGUUAAUGAACUAGGGAACAGCCUCAUUUUAUGGUAGUCCGUUACUUCACCACUUUGCAGUGUGAAUUGCCCUAUGUGUUCUAAAGUAGACACCUCUCCUAAACUGAUAAAUAGUGAGAAUUCUGGCACUUUAUACCCUCUAGACCAUGGAUAUACUUGCUCUAACCAAUCAGGGUAUGGCUUUGUGUUAGUCAGCCUAAUGACAGGAUGUACCCCAAAAGCCAUUUGAUCCUGUACUAUUUUCAUAAUUUGGUUUCUCAACAUGACAUUGAGGUCAUUUGGAAUUCCUACAGGUUGGUUGGUCGGUUGAUUCGCCUGAGGCCUGAUGUUUGGUCCUUGGUUGGCAACAAAGUUGCCAUGAUUUAGGCCAUUGUUGCCAUUAGCCUGAAUAUUUAUUCCAUCACUGACACGUGGGCAUUCUGUCCAUUAUUUAGGACAUUAUCUCUUAUAUUUAAGUUACCCCCUAAGUUAGAUGUACCAUUACCACUAUUCUGAUUUGACCUUACACCAUCCCCUGGUUUGAAGUAGAGGGACCAAAAGGUGGUUCUAUCCCUUGAUUUGGACUUAGGACUGGGGGAUUAUAUCCUACGAUUGUCCUAGCUUGAAAGUGAUUUGCAAGAGGCACAACUGGCUGACAAAUUUGGCCUACUAACUUAUUCAUUAUUUCAUUCAAAAUAUUCAGUUGUUUGGCUAUGUUGUCAUAAUGUGCAUUCUCAUUCUGGGUAAAUCUUUCCAUAUUAUGAAUAUUUUGUAGAUUUACCUUAAUGAUAUCCUGUGUGAGUUCUCCAAGUAAUGCACGCAUGGUUCGAGGACUCAACUCCAUCAUUGGUUCGUAACGACCGUAACUGUUCUGACUUUGUCCCUCUGUUCGUGGAGAGCUAUGCUGCUCCUCAUAUUGCUCGAUCACAGACUGGACUCCUCCUUGACUUGCUGCUUCCUUAUCAGAUUUGUGAAGCAUAUUGUUUCACCUUUUGUAUUUUCAACACCAAACAUCAAGGUCCCACUAAGCGUGCCAAAUUGGUUCGCGUUGGUAAUCGCUAACAAUUAAAAAGGGAUCGGACGAUUGUGUAAGGAACAAACUUCUUGAGACAAAGUCCCCAAAAGGAGUGUUUUAUUGGCGAUGAUUUAUAAUUGAAACUAAACAGAAUGCCUCCAAGGGGUGCAAGCACACGAGUACUGAAAGAAAUGUUUAAGUUUAAACCAAGAAAUUGAAAUUACAUAUUCUCUAUUUGAGAGUGUUUGAUUCGAGGUCCUUUUCUCUAUGUCUUCUCUCCCUUUUAUAUUCCCUUGAAGAUUUCUUCGUGACAAACCGCUUGGAAACUGCUUGAUUGCUUUAUAACUACUCACUCUCUUUAUGGUGGCUAACUUGUCGUGAAACUGCGGUCUCUAACUGCUGCUACUACUCUUCGUCGUUCAACCGUCUUCAACUGGGUUCCUUGAAUCGUGGAAUGUGAUAAGGUUACUCAAUAACUACUUAAAUAAUGCAUUUCCUGGAUAACCGUAACAUUUCAUGUUUGCUAAGAUACUAGGCGAUUUGAAGGUAUGGGCGAGAACAGGGUCAUCGCUCUGGGUGACUGCAAGGCACUCCAUUCGCUCAGAUCUUGAGCGUCUUGCAAACUUGGGCGAUGAUGUUACUGUGUUCAUGGGCUUCUACUGCAUUCAUUAAUAAUUAUGUAUGGGCCUUUAUCCUGAAUUGCCUAAUUGGGCUUCAUUCUUUGGGCUAUUUGAUUUGGACUGCACUUUUAUUGUGUCAACAGGCUGUGAUAGUAGAGCCACCACUAAAGGAACCAACGGAAAUUGAGAAGCUGAAGAAAAAAUUGAUGGACUCAUUCAACGGGACAAAUAGAGCAUUGAGCGCAAGUAGUGAGACUAGGGCGGAAAUUGUUGAGUUAAUCACGCAGGUUGAGGCAAAAAAUCUGACUCCGGCUCCGAUGGAGGCGUUGACUUCACUCAAUGGAAAAUGGAUUCUUGCGUAAGAUCUACCUUAAUUUUUCUUAAUAUAAAGCUUUGCGUUCUUGUUUUUGUUUAAAAAAUGCUUAAUUUAUUAAAUUGUCUAAGAGUUACUUUCAACUUGCAAAUGAAUCAAACGUUAAAUAUUCAACGUAUUUCCAUUUUUUUAGGUUUUUUAUUUUAAUGUUUUCUGCAUCAAUUUUUUAAGUCUUGCACAAGAUGGUGUAUCAUCGGUGCGAGAAAAAGAAAAAUGCAAUUUUUGCAUAUGAUUUCAUACAAAUCUACGGAUCAUUAACAAAAAUCAGUUAUUGAGUUAUGAUGUGUAUCUCUUUUAGAAAAGUUUAAUAGAAAUGAAUUUUUCCUCUCUUUCAUAAUGUUAUUAUUAUUAGAUAAAUGUUUUCAAGCAACAAUUUAAUGUUUUCUUAGACAUCAUUAGUAUCAUUUGCACUCUAUAAAUUACAUGCGCAAAUGUAUACAAUAGCAGAGAGGAUUGUACUUUGAAACCAUACAAACACCUUCCUAUGCUAUACAUUCAGCCCUAUUUCCCGUCGACGUUACCGAAGGAGAUGUCGGACGACUCAGUGGUUUUCUCAGGUUCAAAAAUAGAUUGUGACAUUGAAUCCAUGUCCGAGACAAGUGGAGUUUCGAAGAAGAUGUGAUGCAGGAGUUAGAGGACAUUACCACGUGGAUCGAAUAUUGACGAGUUGUGAAGUGUGUUGUUCGUGAGUACUUGGCACUGAAUGGAGCACAUUGGUAUUUAUUCUCGACUAAGUGGUGUGGCCACAUUUUUAUGCUGUAGAAUAUGCAUGUCUAUCUGCAAACAUGUUUUCAAGAAUUUAGGAUGUGUUCGUCCAUGUUCAUGCACUUCACACACAUUCUUCGCGAUCAGUACGGUAUAUCGAGUAGCACAAAUAUCGACGUGUGCGAGCAAGUAUGAAUGUUCUUGUACAUACUUGUACACGAAAAAGGAUAUCAGCAAGUGUAAACUAUGUUUGGUCACUCGCUGCAGACCAUAGCGCACUAUUUUAAGACGGUACUGCAUGCAUGCUUGGAAUUCACUGUUAUAAUGGUAAAACCAGAUCCGACAUACAACGGAAUUGCUGCGCACCAUUGGUCCGAUCCGGAGCGCUACCUUUUAUUCCAGGUUUGUGACACUCAUUCACACAACAUUUUUGUGGUUUUCAUUGCGAUGGUGACGUAAAUUAUGAACUUGACAAUGGCUAUUUGUGAUCGUGAAAUUGCAGGACUACAUUCGUGUAAUUGAUGGGACACAGGUCAGAGCUGUAUUGUCGAGUCGCAGAAGGGAAAUUUCUUAGGAAGAAAGGGUAUUUCAAUGCAGAACGUGUUGGCAGCCUACGAUUUUAACCUAUGUUUUACGUGCGUGUUGUCAGGAACCACAGGGAACAAGCAUGACAGUUGUAUAUUGACCCGAGCAGUGCAUAGUCCAGAAAUAAGUUUCCGCAACUAGCGAACAGAAAAUAUUACCUUGUGGACUCAGCGUUCGCACACAGGACUGGGUUUAUGGCAUUAUAUAAGGACUCCGACAUUAAAUAUCAUUUCCAAGAGUUCGGGAGCUCAACGAGAGAACAACAGCGUCAUUUUCGUAAUGCAUGUGAGUGAUUCAAUUUCCACCAUUGUUAAUGUCAAAAUGUUAUCAAGUGGGCUUUCGGUGUUUGGAAAUAGAGAUGGAAUAUUCUAGGUCGAAUGCUAGCUUAUAAUAUGAGAGUGCAAACUACUGUGGUAGUGGUCUCAAUGAAAAUUCAUAACUUACUUAGAAGAAACGAUCGACUCGAUGAGGAUUUUCGUAGAGUCGAAGAAGUGAACGAUGUGAAGUUGAGAUCUAACUUUCUAAUGAACAAGGUAAAAUUGUCGUUGAACUGGAUGUAAUAGGCCCGGAGGACAUGUCGUGGCAACAACUGCACGAUUACAUGGUAUAGACGCUAUAUUAGUAGUCGUACAUUGGGGACGAGAAGAAAUUUCUUGUUGUGUGUAUUUUCUUUUUUGUGUAACUUGUUUUCAUUAUGUUGAUGUGUCAAGUGUCGUUGAUGGGGACGUUAGUCGCUGUCAAUUAGAAGUUGUCCACCAACAAUUACGUACCAUGUAACAUGUUUGUUUCCGUAUUAAUAAAAUAAUCGUAUCCUGUUUAUAAAAUUGUCUAUCAAUUUGUGAAAGUGACAUGUGUUAAAGAUAUUGCACAAUGUGGCCAAAAUUGUUUACUAUCUUCAAAGGCAUUUGUGGAAUUGUUGAAAUUAGGUAAGGUUGAAUCCAAUGGUUGAUGGCAAAUUGCAGGAUGAAUGUAUUAGAAACAUUAAUUAUCUUCUUACUGGGGCCCACGAAUGGCAGCAAUAAUCUGGAGAAAAUAAGAUGAGAAUGGGGGCCAAACAAGCUCUAUAACAACAGAGAUGUGAAUCCUGGAAAGGUAUACCUGGGGAAUGAUCAUACACACAAUGUGAAAAAAAAAUAGGUGAUAGUGCUAUUAGAAUACAAAAUGGCAUUAUCAGACCCCUUAGAGGUGUUAGGUGUGUUCGGGCCUAGCAAAAAAUCUUAUUUCCUUAGGCACUCUAGAAGAAAAAGAUUAUGAGUUUAGAUCUCAUGUUGUUACUUCAAAGAUUUUUAAAUGGUCUCAAGUGGUUAUAAAAGGUCCCAAGAAAAAUGGAUUAUAUGUCCUUCAAGAUGAAGCCUUAAAUAGUAAAGAGUCAGCAUUAUCUUCGGUUUGUAAAGAUAGAUCGGACCUUUGUCAUAAGAGGAUGUGACACAUUGGAAACAAAGGGUUGAAAUAUCUGAAUGACCAGAAUUUACUUGGUGAGGAUAGUAUUACAUCUUUACGCUUUUGCGAGACCGAUGUUCUGGGAAAUUCACACAUGGUUAGCUUUGGGAUAGGUGAACACGAUAAUAAGAUAUCACUGGACUACAUUCAUUCAGAUUUAUGGGGUCCUGAAAAACAUCCCACACGUGGAAGGAAUAGAUUUUUUCAGUCCAUUAUUAAUGUCCACUCGAGGAAAGUUUGGGUGCAUCUCUUUAAGUCCAAAUCUGAAACUUUUAGUAAGUUUAAGUCAUCGCUUGCGUUAGUUGAAAAUCAAAUGGGAAAGGGUGUGAAACUCUUAUGAUGGACAAUAGUUUAGAAUUUUAAAACUUUGAAUUUGAUAGUUUUUGUAAGGUAAAGGGUAUAAAGAGGCACAAGAAUGUAAAACAUACCCCCCAACAAAAUGGGGUGACAGAGAGGGUGAAUCGAACUUCAUGGGAUAAAGUCAGAUGUAUGAUGAUUAGUUCAGGGUUGUCUAAAGGUUUUUAGGGUGAAGCCGUGUAUACUGCUGCCUAUUUGAUAAAUAGGUCACCUUUUAGUUCUAUUAACUACAAGACUCUCCAAGAGUUGUGGUCUGGAAAAAUCUCAGAUUUGUCACGCAUUAGAUUGUUUGGUUGUGUCGGUUGACGGCAAAUUGGACAUUAGGGCUACAAGUUUGUCAUGUUAGGUUAUACAAAAAGAGUGAAAGGAUAUAGACUGUGGGUUUUAGGUGUGAAAGGCAUUGAAAUUAUUAAUAGUAAAGAUGUGAAGCUCAAUGAACUUGAUAUAUCUUGCCUUAAAAAUACAGACAGACAAAACAAACAAACUAAGGAAGGAGAAUCUUUUACUGAAAAGAAGAUGGAAUUUGAAGUGAAGAAAUUGGAUGAUAAUCCUAAGGAGAGUGAAAUCCAACCUUAGGAAGAACCUGAUCAAGAAGCAAUGAUAGAAUAACUUGAACUUGAAAUUCCUGAAACUAUUUUCCCUAAUUAAGAAACAUCUGCAGGUACUAAUUUAAAUGAUUACCAAUUAGUAAGUGAUGGAGAGAAAAGACAAGUGAGGCCCAAUUUGAAAUACAUCUCUUCCAAUUUGAUAGAAUUUGUCCUAGUUUCAGGUGAAGUCUUGGAGUCAGUGGAACUGGCUUCAUUUAAGGAUGCUUUAAACUGCAAAAAUUCUGAAAAUUAGAAAAAUGCUAUAAGAAAGGAGAUCUAGUCUCUAAACAAAAAUGAGACUUGGAAAUUGAUUGAAAAAUUAGAAAAUCAAAAGGUAAUCAUUGUAAAUAGAUCUAAAAGUUGAAAGAAGAAAUAGGACCUUUAACAUAUAAAGCUGGUUGGUUGCGAAAGGGUUUACUCAAAGAGAGGGGAUAACCUAUAAUGAGAUGUUCUCACCAAUCAUUAAGUAUAAAACUAGUAGGUUAGUCUUAACCUUGGUUGUUCAAUAUGAUUAGGAGUUGGAACAACUACUUGUUAAGACGACUUUUCUUCACGGGGAGUUGGAUGAAUUGAUUUAUAUAUCUCAACCUCAAGGAUUCGAGGUGAGGGGAAAAUAUGAACUUGUGUGUUUGCUUAAAAAGUCCUUAUAUAGUCUUAAGCAAAGUUCUAGGCAAUGAUGUAAAAGAUUUGAUGCUUAUGUGCUUAAAAUUGGAAUAACUUUAAAAUAGCCUAUGAAGUUUAUUUAUUGUUAUAUGUGGAUGACAUGUUGCUUUGUAGCUUUAGUAAAGCUGAAAUCAUUAGGAUGAAAAACCUUUUAAAAUCGAAAUUUGACAUGAAAGACUUGGGAGAUGCAAGAAUAAUUCUUCGCAUAGUUAUUAAAAGGAAUAAAGCUGAUAAUAGGAUGACUAUUAAUCAAGAGUCCUAUUUGGACAAAGUCAUAAUCAAAUUUGGUGUGAAAUUUGUUAAGUCUGUCAAUAUGCCAUUACUAUGAAUUUAUCAUCUGCACAACGCCUUAAAACAGAAGAAGAAAUGCAUGAAAUGAGUAAUGUUCCCUAUGCUAAUGCCAUUAGGUCUAUGAUGUAUUCUAUGAUUACCAUGAGAUCAGACCCUUCAUAUGCAGUUAGUUUUUUGAGUAGGUUUAUGUCUAACACAAGUAAACCUCAUUGGACUGCACUUAAAUGGUUGUUAAGAUAUCUAGCUGAAACUUUAAAAAGAUUAUUAGUGUUUAAAUGAAAAAUGAAAAGUUAGAGCUUAAAUGAUAUGUAGAUUCUGACUUUGUGAGGGAUAAAGAUUAGGGGAAAUCUACCACUUCAUAUUUCUUCACUUUAGGCGAUAAUUAUAUCGCAUGGAAAUUACAGUUGCAACCUAUUGUUGCACUCUCCAGCACUGAAAUAGAAUAUGUUGCAUUAACUAAAACUGUAAAAGAAUGCAUGUGGCGAAAGGCCUUCUAUGUGAAUUAAACUUCUUGAAUGAUAAUGCUAUAAUUUUUACUAAUAUUCAAAGUUCAUUGAUGUUGUUUAAAAAUCCUAUUUAUCAUUAAUGCUCUAAACAUGUUGAGGUGAAGUAUAACUUCAUUAGGAAGAAGUUAGCUUUUGGUGAUUUUAUUUUGCUUAAAAUUGCAACUGAUGAUAUUACUGCAGAUGUUGGAACAAAAGUACUUCGGAUUGGUAAGUUCAACAAAUGUUUAUCAAUAUUGAGUAUUGAUAAUAACUAAUUAUUGUGUAGGUACUGAGUUGGAGUGAGGGAUGAUGAUGAAAUAAGACCAUAUAAAUGGAUAUCACUUGUAAUUAGGAAAUUCGGUGAUGGAUUACAUUGUGAUCCAAGGUAAAGAUUUGUGAGGUGGAUCACUUAAAUCCACUUGGCAUAUGAUUAUUGGGCAUGAGUGGUUGACAAUGAUUGUGUUAGUUUGAUAUAAUUGUGGAUUCAUCAUUGGAUUUAAUCUUGUAGUCACUUUCUAUCCCUUGCCAUGUCACUUGUCAUUAGUUUUGACUUUUGAAUUCAAAAUGGUUUUGGCUUUAUAAUUAUAUGUGUAUUCACUUGUUUUCAUUUAGAUUUGGAAAACAUAAAGAAAAAAUAUAGAAAGGAGCUAAGUGGGAGAGGUUUAUAUCUCCGGUGAAAUUAUUGGUUGCCUAUGGCAGUUCUCUUAAUAUAUAAAUUACCAUUCUCGUGGACAAUGUUGUAUGACUCAGUGUGGCACAAAUUUGAGCUCAACAUCAUAUGACACUCCAUUGGUGGUGUUGAAGAAGUUUUAGGUCGAUUGGUUUGAUUUUUUAGUGUGACGUAGUUGUAAUAAUCAUUUAUACACUACAUUUUAAAUUCAAUAGUAGCGGUAAGAAAGUACUUAGAUUUUCAUUACUAUAAGAAUGAAAUCAAUCUGGGAUUUGCCUAAUCAAGAUUGCCCUCGUGGAAGUUGGUAGCAAAGUAUUGCUUGAAGUGUUAAAAAUGAAAUCAAUGAGAGAUUCACCAAAUCGGCUUUAUUAUAUGUCAAAUGGUAAUAGUUUUGACUUCUACUAAAAACUACUACUAUAGGAAAAAGACAUUUUCUAUACCAAAUGGUGGAGGGCUAACAUCAGUUAUGGCCCACAAGUAUUCUUUCUUGCACAGAAAAUAGGCUUCUAUUAGCACAAAACUGUGUUUGUGACAUUUGCUAGAAGUCUCUUGAAUGUAUUUGCUUUUCUUAAGCAGAUUUCCUUAUGAAUAAAUAGUUUGAUCGUAUAAAAUUUUGUACAAAUUGUAUUAAGGCCCUAUUUGAUACUCAUUAUAUUAAAAGUUAAAGAAUUUUGAAUAGCAUUUUUGAAGAAUGUGCGGUCAAAAAGUAAGAAAACUUUAUUGGUUUGUAUGUAGAAUAUUUCAUUGUGUGAAUAUGUGGUGAAAAAUGAUGUUUGUGGUGAAAAUUGAUGUUGUAGCAAACAAUUUAAAUUUUUAAAAGUUGUCAAACAUGGGCUAAAUUCUUUGAUUCGUGGAGAAAAGGUUGGGUCACACUCUCAUUAAGAAACCUUAUAAGCUUACAACUUGGAUAGAAGAAAAGUAUUAUAAACAGAUGGACUAUCUUAGUACAAUUAGAGCACAAAAAAAAAAACAAAAAAAACAGAUACUAUUGGAUUUCAGCUAAUUACUUCUUAGACAGCAAAAAUGGACCCAAAUUAAUAGUUUUUCCAUGGCCUUAAAGGCUUCACAUCUUGGUUCUUUACCUUGGAAUUGGAGACCAGCAUAGAGAUUCAUGGAGUCCUCGAACGGAUAAGAUGUGUUAUUCUGCAAGCAGUGUAUAGGGGGACGGGAAGGUAUCUGUGAGUUGUUAACUGCUUGAUCCUACUAAAUUUCAAGGUCAACACAAUCAAGGCCACUUUGAGAAUUUUGAGGCUUAAGGUGACAAAAUACUAUGAAGCCCCUAAAUAUAAUUUUUUUACUAGCGUAGCAACCAUUUUAGCUCAAUCAUAGUCAAUUCACAUAGUUUUGUGUUGAGAAAUAUUAUGCCUAUUACACUUACUCACCAUUUGAUUCGUUUGAAAAUCAAUUCUCACAUUCUAAGACCUUCUGAAAAUCAGUUAAGUAUUUGAAUGAUGACUACAAUUUAUUGCCUCAAAUAUUACACAUUUAAAAGUAAUAAAAAAAUUUCAAAAUUAGCUAUCAAAUACAAAGAACAAAAAACCUAAAUAAUAAUAAAUAAAUAAAAAGUCAUUUAUGGGUAGUGAGAUAGCAUUUUGCGUAAAGAAAAAAAUGGGGUUAAAUCCACAAAUGGCCUACCAAUUUUAUACUAAGUGUCACAUUGGCCAUCCAAUUUGAAUUUGUUUUACCAUAGCUACCCAACUUCAAAGUUAGUGUUACAUUGGCCACUCAAUUUGAUUUUGUUUCAUUAUGACUAUCCAACUUCUUAAGAGUGAAUUAUCCAAAUAGUUAUUGAAAUUUAUAAAAAGUUUUUACGAGGUCACUAAACUUUAAAAAUCACCAAAUUUAUCACUAAACUUUGCACAAAGUUUUCAUGGGGCCACUGAACUUUAAAAAUCACCACAUUCAUCACUGAACCUUACAAAAGGUUUCCACGGGGUUACUGAACUUUGCAAAAGAUUUUCGAGGGUCACCAAGGAAAACCUUUUGCAAAUUUCAGUGAUGAGUUAGGUGAGUUUUAAAGUUCAAUGACCUUGUGAAACAUUUUACAAAGUUCAGUGAUGAAUUGGAUGAUUUUUAAAGUUCAGUUACCCCAUGGAAACCUUUUACAAAGUUCAGUGACCACUUGGAUAAUUCACUCAACUUCAUACUUAAUGUCACAUUGGCCACCAAAUUUGAUUAUACUAAGUAAAAUUACCAAGUGGAUUCACUGAAAUUAAGUAUGAAGUUGGGUGGUUACAGUGAAACAAAAUUAAAUUAGGUGGCUAAUGUUACAAUAAGUAUGCAGUUGGGUAGCCAUGGUGAAACAAAAUCAAAUUGGGUGGCCAAUGUGACACUAACUAUGAAGUUGGAUGAUCAUUGGUGAAUUUAACUGCAAAAAAGUGACAUCUACGUCGAUAACAAACAAACUGUGAAAAGCAAAAAAAUUAAGUGUAUGUUUGAUACACGUUAAUUUAUUUCAUGAUUUACUACAAAAUUAUUUUUAAUGACACAUUCACGCAAUAAAAUAUUUUACACAUAUAUCAAAAAAAAUUCUACUUUUUACCCACACAUUCUCCAAAAAAUCACAAUUCAAAACUAUUUUUCCUAUAAUAAUGGUUGUCAAACAGGCUCUAGGAAAAGAAAAUGAAUUUUAUUGCAAAACGAAUGUAUAAAUUCAUAAAGUAAAUGAGUGGGCAGGCGAAUAGAGCCAUGAAUCUCAGCUCCAACAAAAAUUUGAUAGGAUUAUUUUCCUUUUCAAUUAAGCUAUUUGUAUAUUAAUUUUGACACCUUGUUGAUUGAUAAAUGGGGUAAUGUGGCAAGAUUGUGAUGAUUGAUUUAAAUGUGUAAAAUGUAAAAGAUAAUGCGAGAUUGUACCAAGUGCAAAUUCGAUAAGUCUAGUUGUAAACUAGGAUCUACCUGUACGAUUAUUUCCUCUUAGGUUCGGUAAAACUAGCUAUUUGAUUUGACAGAGCAAUCAAUGAAGCAAUUAUUUUUCCAAAAACAAAAAAAAGGUAGUUCAAUUGUUCAAAUCAUUGUUAUCCUUGGCUUUUUUUUUCUUUUUUUUAAUGAUCAUGGGUAUUCAAGCCAGUUUAUGCACACCUCGACUAAUCUCACGGGACCUAAAGUUUACAGCCAGGUACUCAACUCAGUAGUUCUGAGGAGACUCGAACUGCUGACCAUUUGGGAGCAAACUCAAGAUCUUGAUCACUGAAUUACCCUUCAAGAUUGGCUUCUUACUCUGUAAAUAGUAAAUACAGUAGAAUUCAGGACAGAUAUAAAUUCUUUGAUCAGCAGAGAAAAUUUUAUAAGCUCACAAUCCUUCCAAAUAUAAGAGGACUAUAUUAAGAUUGGACUGAGGAGAUGAAGACUUUUCAAUAGUGAACUUUAAUCCAAUUACUACUUAGCACUUAUUUGGCCCCCAUUUUUUAAUAAUGAGAAUGGGUGGAAUAGCGUCUUUUUGAAAAAGAGUGGUUGAAAAAAUAAAGAAAUUUUUCAAUUUAUAUAUAAUAUUAUUUUAUGAAAAAUUGUGUGAUUGAAAAUAAAAAAGAGAAAAAUGAAAUAUAAUGGAAUGAAAAUUAAUGGGGAUCAAACGGGAGCUUAAACAAUAGCAAUUGGACCCAAAUUAUUUGUGUUUUCCACGGCUUCAAAUCUUGGUUCUUUAGCCUGGAAUUUGAGACCAGCAUAGAGCUUCAUGUAGUCCGAAAACACGAAUUUUGAGUACAAAUCUUUAUUCUCUUCGCUCUCUACCAAUGCCGAUGCUAGAUAAAUCACAGCAUCACUUCCAGAAUUGUAGAAUGAUGCAAGGGAAAUUCUAUUUUCAUCUGUGGGCGCAAUCACUCUGUGCAUCACACUCUUAUUCUUUCCAUUUGUAAUCACCUUCACACAAAGUCGGAAGGAAUUAAGCCUUAAUCUCAAUUAAAUGAGCAAUAAUAAGCAGAUACGCAAUAAAAAAUACGGGUUUUAGUAGCUUUUACUGUUGAGCAUACCUCGAGUUGGUCGCCAAUGUUGAUGACAAUGGAGUGGUGCUUAGGUGGGACAUCAACCCGUUCACCGUCUUUAAGAAGCUGGAGGCCACUGACCUUGCCACCCUGGAAAAGUAGGACGAUGCCACCGGCGUCGGUGUGUGCUCGAAGUCCUUUGAUGAGAUCCGGCUGGAGGCAUGGGAGAUAAUUGCUGACCUUGGUUCCGAAGGUAGGGCCUUUAGAGCCAUAGAAUACCUUUUUCAGAUAGCCUCUCUCUAGUCCAGGAUUUUCACAAAGCAAAUCAAGAAGAUGCUCAGCCAAUUUCUCUAGUUGUGCUGCAAAUUCCUUCAUAGUCUUCCUGUUAGCAUUCAUAAAAUAUUAAACUACGAUCAAAGAAUCCCAGAUGUAAAAUUUGCUUAUGAAAACUGAGUAAUUAACCCUAUUCAUCUUCAAGAUCAGGGACUUCUGCUAUGUUUGAAACAGGAAGAUGGCGGAGGAAGAAGGUACUUUCCCAGUCUAAAUCAUUGAUUUCAGAUUGAACAGCUUCAAGUCCUUUACUCGCCACCAUUUCCUUAAAUCUUUGUUCCAUGCAUUUUCUGUGGUGUUCCUUUGUCAUCCUCUCUACGUUGUCCAUGAAUUCGGGAGAAAUCCCAUGAUUAACCUGCUUAAUUACCAGAUCAACAACCGUAGUAAUUAUUAGUUCAAAUUUAAGAAUCACUUCGGUUCUAUGUAUGUUAAGUUGCAAAGUAACGGAACUAAUUAUAUUUGUACCUCAAAGAAACCCCAGUUUUCACAAGCAUCUUUGAUCUUCUCCAUUGUUGCAGCCCUUUCUUCUCCAUUGAGCUUCUUCAUACUAAUAACUGGAAACCAUGCCAUCUCUCUCUCUCUCUCUAGUUAUUCUUAUCUCCGUCUUGCUAUUUUGAGUUUAUGAAUCACCGUGUUGAGAGGAAAACCUGGAGGGUAAUAUAUUGUGGUUUCCAGGAUAUCGAGAAAUAGCAGAAGAUUUAUUACCCAAAAAAAAAUCCAAAUCCAAUGAGCAAGAUUUUCCAGACAAGACUGGCGUGGAACACGUACGUGAUCACAUCUUCAUGGACCCAUAACAACUUUAUUAUUAUCAUGAUCUUUGGCCUUUUUCAUCGAUAUGGGACCUAACUCAGGCUGGCCGCCACUUUUUCCCAUGCACGCUUGUAGUUUGUAGGGCUGCUUGAUGAAACUGCCUUUUAACAUUUUCCUCCUAGAACCUAUAGUAAUUCUUUAAGGUUUUUAAAUUAUUUUCAAUACACGUGUUUGAUAUUUUAAAUAAUAUUUAUGCAAAGAAAACUCUUUGAAUGAUACUUGAUUUGGAAAGAAUAGACGUUUCAAUUUGAUUUUGUCAUCUUUGGAAUUGCUAUUCGCUUGCUUCUUACGUUUUAGCCGUUUCUAUUAUUUUAAAGUUUUAAUUCACUAUAAACAUUACGUAUGCUUAUGGCUUAAUCAUAGUUUGUUAAGAUUUUAUUUUGAAAUCGUAGAUUGAUAGAGAAUGUAUGAUUAAAAAAAGAAAGAGAAAGAUGUAUUUUGAAAAUAAUGGAGAUCAAUCAAGGACUAGUAAAUCAUGAAACCCAUGAUUAAGAAUUGUUUUCUAAAGAAAUAUUGGUGUUAUUUGUUUUUUUUUUUUUUUAGGGAGGUAAUACAUUAUUAUUUAUGAUUUUUUAACCAACUAUAGAUGUAGCAACUAGCACGUUUUAUUGAAAAUAAAAAUAAAAAAUAAUACAUACCUGAGAGAGAGACAACUUGUAAUUAAAGAUGUGAAACGAAUAAUCGACUGAACUUUUUCCCGUCUCGAGGCAGGGAAUACAAUAUCAAAGCUAAAUAAAUAGUAUAUUUAUAGAAGACUACAUGACUUGAACUUAAAUAGCGAUAUAAAGCUGUCUGAUCAAGUCGGAUUAAGAUUUAUUAAGUUGCAAAUGCAUCUUGAAUGCCAAUUUUAUGUUGCUGUAAAAAAAAUAAAAAAUUUCUUGAAUCAUAAAAAAAUAAUAAUAAAUAUUAUUGUUAAAAUUUCAAUAAUUGUCAGUUUUAGAAUUGUUUCAGCCAGAGAAAAGUGUAAUUUUGCAUUCUUAUUACUGUCGACGUUAGGCAGCUAAUAAAUUAUUUUUCCAAAUUGACUCUUUAAUUCUUAAUUUAAAAGUAAAUGUUAAUUUAUGUAGAGAUAGAUGAAUGAGGAAAAAAUAAUAGUGAAUGUUAAUUUAUGUAGAGAUGGAUGGAAAAAAAAAAAAAAACUAAAUUUUUAGAUGAUAAUGAAUAGUAAUUGAACUUUUGGAGAAAAAAAUUUAAAAAGUUGGUACGUAAAGUGUUACAUACUGCAACAUAAAGGGUGUGAUGUGUUAUUUUCGAUUAUGAAUAUUUUCGUUUAUUUAACUAUUUUUUAUGGUAAAUUUGUAAGUGUCUUGUAGCCAAAGUUAUUUUUUUGUUAACAUAAUGUACAGUAUAAUAUGUAAAGUAUAAUUUUUUUAAAAUAUAGUGUGUUAUGUGUAAGUAUACUCUAUACGUUUAUUUAAGUGCAUAAAAGCUGUGUUUCUUACGGAAUGUGUAAAUAAAACAAUAAAUGGGUGUAGAUUAAAAAAAAUAUGUUGGUCGAAGUUGAGAUUUGCUUAGGGGUGGGCAAAAAAUGAAAAUUCGUCCGAACUUGAACCAUGUCCAAGCCUAGAUUUGCCAAAAACAUGCACAAAAUAGUAUUGCUCCGGUUUAGGGAUGGACUUCGAGUGGUUCAGUCCAAGCAUCUUGAGAAUCAGACUGAGCAACAUCUCAAUAAGAAUUGGAAAAUGAAAUAAUUUGUUGUACAAGAAAAAAGAAAUCGGUGUAGAAAGCAAGCAAUCAAAAGGCAAGUGAUUCAACCUCGUUUUGUGAUUUCAAGUAAGUUUUACUACUUGAAAUUCUAUUAUAAGCAUGCAAGCUUGAUUUACAUUGGCAUCAAAGCCUAAGUAGAUUGUGUUCUUUAUUUAAAAAAUGCUUAAAACAUUUUAGAAUAUCGAAAUGCACUAAUUUUGUUUUCUUCGAAAAGCUUCAACAUCAUUAAUGGAAAAUUUUAAUAUAAUCUAUAUAAAGUCAUGAAAUUUAUACCAUAUAUUCAUGAUAUUAUGUUGAACAUAUCUAGAAAAUUUUGCUUCAUUUGGAUUUAUAUUUUGGGAGAAAAAUCGAGCACUAGUUUAGAAAAUCGAGAUUUCAUUACAUGAUAACUUCUUGUACGUUAGGUUUCAUAUUGUCCAUUAACGCGGUUGGAUAGAUUUUCUCGAGAACUUCCCAAUGGUAUAAAGAACAUUAAUAUUGACAUAGAAUUGAAGAAGUUAUGACCUUCCAACAUGUAAAUCAAGCUUGCACGCUUAUAACCGAAUUCCAAAUAGUAAAACUUAUUUGAAAUCACAAAAUGAUGUUGAAUCACUUGCCUUUUGAUUGCAUGCUUUUCACAUCAUUUUGUACCUGCUUAUCGGUUAGAAACUCAAUCACCAAGAAAGAAGUUUGAUAUUCACAACCGAAGAACCCAAUUUGAGAUGUUAUACUUCCAAAAUCAAGCUACCAUCCUCAUGCUUUUUUCUCUCUAUUGUAAAAUUCAAAUUGCAUUGUCUUGUGCCUGAUUUUGUGGUGAGUGGGUGUUUUAUGAAAGUUAGAGGUGGUAGGGAGUUAUGGUUUCAAAUUCAAAACCUCAACUCCCUCAACUUCUCCUUCUAGAUGACUCCCACGCAAUUCGGGUCGGAUCCACCCACAUGGGCAAGCCUUUUUUUCAACAUAUUCCACUCACAUAUGAUGAACUUGACCUAAUCUUAAUAUAAUGUUAAUUAUAUUAUCUCAAUAUAUCCAAGAUCAUACAAAUAAAUGGAUCAUGUGACCAACGAGUUAAUUCACACAAUGCCAUACACUUGUUAAGAAUAUAUAACAAUUCUACUAGAUAUGUUUCUAUUUAUACCCUAGGCAUAUUUUGAGUAUUUCUAACCCCUUAAUUAAUCAAAAAAAUGCUCAAAUUUUUUAUUUAUAUUGUAUGGUGUCACAAAACUCAAAUAGUUAACACAAUUGUCCGAUCAAUGAAUACAAGGUGAAGUGUUAGAUAAAAUAGUCAUUCUUUCCUAUUUGAAUCCCUUCAUUUCAAGUCAUUUGCUUUUGUAAACAUGUCGCAUCAAAUCGAAUCAUCCAUAAUUAUUGGCAACAUGAUAAAGUAUAACAAUACCGAAUUAAAAUUUGGAGAAAUAGUCAAAAGUCAUAAGGGUAUAUAAGUAAGGUUAUGUGUGCCUCAGAGACUCACACAAUAAAGAAGCAGUAAUCGAUUCUUUCAUUUCUCAUUGGUCAUUAAUGCACACGUGUUAUGAAAUAUGUGUUAUGAUGUUUUCUUCCUUUCUUAAGGCAUAUAUCUAAUCUUAUAAAUUAAAUACACCGUACAUAUCAUAAUUCUGAUAUUCCUAGAUAUUUAACAUAAGUUAUUAUUUAUUCCUCUAGACAAUCCCAAUCGAGAACUCGAUCUAGAUUUUAAACUAGUUUAAUGGAUAGCAAAAGCUAUUUCGAUUAUUUGUUGCAAUAUCAUCUUGAUACCUCAUCAAAGCGACUGUAUCAUGUACACAGUAUGAUUGCCCUGUUUGAUCUCAUCACAUCCCAAUUUGCUUGAGGCGAUUGUUCGUGUGAGUAAACUAAUGACAACAUGUUUGAAAUACUUUAUAUGUGCAUAUUAAACAGUAAUCUAAUCAUCAUAACAAAAUAUUACUCUUAACAUAUGAACUCAAAAAUAUUGUUAAUUAACGGACAUAUAAAAAGUUUACAUAGUAUAUAAUUCAAAUUCUACACAAUCCCAUAGAAUUAACAAGAUUAACAAAUACAUCUAUAGGGAUAGAAUUAGUAAAUGGAUUAACUACCAUUUGAUGCGUAAAAAUAUAUUGCAAACUUACUUCUAUCUUUCCUAUGAUGACUCUUGCAAAAUUAUAUUUUAUAUCAAUGUAUUUGAUUCUACUGUAAGACUUGAGAUCCUUUGCAUAUGUAAUAGCUACCUGAUUAUCACAAUAAAUCAAAAUAGGUCCCAUGUAACCAUUAAGGACUCUCAGGUGCCGAAAGAAUCUCUUUAACCAAACAGUUUCUUAUACUACUGGAGCACAUGGUAUGAAUUUUACUUCCAUUGUGUACAAAGAAACGUAUGUCUGUUUCUUGCUACUCCAAGACAUGGCACAAUUAUUAAAUUACGCAAGAAUGCAUAUCGCGACGUUAAUUUGCGAUCAACAAGGUUUUCAUCUCAAUUAGCAUCUAUGUAUUCUUUUAAGCACAAAUCACUUCCUUGAUAGCACAGAGAAUAGCUAGCAAUAUCCUUCAAGUAUCUUAAUAUCAUCUGAACAGCUUUCCAAUGUUCUCUUCCUGAAAAAUCCUCUAAUUACAGAAAAAUCUGAAGUAACUGAAGGAGAAAUAUGCUCAACUUCAUUAAGUUAUACAAAAUACGUGUGUAGGUUAUAUACAAGAAUUCGCAUAGCUAAUCCCAUGAAAAUAGCUACUUUAAUUUAAAUUCAAACUAAUCUCUAUCAUAGCUAAUAUCCUUGGAACCUCUCAAUCUUUCUGUUAUGAUUUAUUUACACAUUUUAACACUCUCCCUCAAGUUGGAGCAUGAAUAUUGAUUGUCCCCAACUUGUUCAUGCGUGAAUAAAAGGACCCCUUCCAAGAGCUUUAGUAAAUAUGUCAACAACCUGUGUCUAAGAUGCAGUAAAUUUUGUAGCUAAUAGACCAAGUUUGAUCUUGUCUUGAACCACGUGAUAAUCCAUCUCAAUGUGUUUAGUUCUCUCGUGGAAAAUUGGAUUUGCAGCUAUGUGUAAAGCUGCCUUGUUGUCACAAUGCAAGUUUGUUGGUGCUUUGAUCAAUAUCCCGAGAUCUUGAACAGAUAUCUAAGCCAAGUUAGUUGACAUGUUAUUGUUGUCAUGGCUCGAUAUUCUUCCUCAGCAGAAGAUCUUGAAACGGUUGUUUGUUUAUUUGUUCUCCAAGAAAUAAGUGAGCUACCAAUGUAAAUGCAAUAUCCUGUAACUGAUCUUCUUGUAGUUGGACAUCCACCCCAGUCAGCAUCACAAUACGCGGUCAAUUUAAAGUCACUUUCUAAUGAAAAUAGUAAUCCUUGUCCAGGUAAACCUUUCAAAUAUCUAAGCACUCUCAUUGCUGCUUCAUAAUGUGGUUUUCUAGGUUGACCCAUGAACUGAGUAUUGAAUAUCAGGUCUGGAUAUUGUGAGGUAUAUGAGCUUCCCAAUCAAUCUUAUGUAUGCUAAUGGAUUUUUGAGUGGCUCCCCUUGUGAAGGUCUUAAUUUUAGAUUUUGCUCCAUUGGAGUAGUAACUAGUGCAGCUCCUAACAUCCAUGCUUCAUCAAGAAGGUCCAGUGUAUAUUUUCUCUGUGAAAUGAAUAUUCCUGAACUUGAUUUUGCCACUUCGAUGCCCAAAAAAUACUUGAACUUACCCAAAUCUUUGAUCUUGAAUUGUUGGUUGAGAAACUGCUUUAGUGCUUCGGUUGCUUCACUAUUGUUUCCAGUUAUUAUCAUGUCAUCCACAUAAAUUAAAAUAGCAGUAAACGAUUGGCCUUCAGACUUAGUAAAUAGAGAAUAAUCUGCCUUCGAUUGUUUGUAUCCUGCCUUACAGAUUGCACUUGAAAAUUUUGCAUACCAAUUUCUGGAAGCUUGUUUAAGCCAUAUAGAGACUUAUUUAGUCGACAAAAUAGGGGUUGGUUCUUUCCCUGUGGACUAAAGCCAAACGGUGGCCUCAUAUAAACUUCUUCAAAAAGGUCCCUAUGCAAAAAUGCAUUUUGGACAUCAAGUUGAUGAAGUGACCAUUGUUUCACAACAGCGAUAGCAAGUAGACAACAUACUGUGACAAGUUUGGCAACUGGAGCAAACGUGUCAUUGUAGCCAAGACCUUCAACUUGUGUGUAUCCCUUUGUUACUAAACGCGCUUUGUACAUCUCAAUGCUCCUAUCAGAAUUGUACUUUAUUUUGUAUACCCACUUACAUCCAAUACCCUUUUUCCCAGCAAGUAUUGUUGCUUUCCAGUGCUUGAAUUUCUUGCUUCAUUGCCUCUUCCCAACUUGGAUCACCUGCAGCUAGUUCAUAUGUACUUGGUUCCAAUGUUUUAGAAAUGGAGGAAACCAAUUGAAGGUGCGAAGAGGACAAUUUAUCAUAUGAAAUAUAAUUGGCAAGAGGAUAUCGCGUACCUUGCUUAUGACCUGGCAAGAUGAUGAAUUAGAAUGACGCUGUAGCAUAUUGACAUAAGGGUAUUGGAAGUCUUUAAGCCAUAUAGAGGGCUGGCGAAUUCUUGUUAACUAUCUGGGUAUAGCUUGCUGGAUUGGUGAUGGUGGGGUCUCGAGUAAAGUGGGGUUGGUAAAAGGUUCUUGUGUAUCACCACAUGUUGUAGGUAGUGUAGAUGGUCCAGUCGAUGAAGAGUUAUCUGACUUGUCUGUUGCUGGAAUUGGCAAAACGGGCAUAGUGGUCUUGGUGGUAGAUGUAGUAGAGCUAUAAGGAAAAUGUGUUUCAUGAAAAAUGACAUCUCGACUUGUGAACACUUUCUUAUUUUCUAAAUCCAUCACCUUGUAUGCUUUUUGACCUAGAGGAUAACCCAAGAAAAGACACUUUUUGGCUCUAGGAUCAAAUUUAUGUGCAGGAUUGAUAUUAGUGGCGUAACAAAGGCAUCCAAAGACUUUUAAGUGAGUGUAGUCAGGAAUAUGCUUGUAGAGAAGCUCAUAAGGUGUCCUUUUGGCAAGAAGAAGUGUGGGUGUUCUAUUGAGAAGAUACAUUGCUGUAAGGACACAUUCACCCCAAAAAUAUAAAGGUAAGUCAGCUUGAAAUCUUAGAGCUCUAGCAGUGUUUAAAAUGUGCCUAUGUUUGCGUUCGGCCACUCCAUUUUGUUGUGGAGUUAUGGCGCAACUAUGUUCAAAUAAAACUCUUUUUUUACAAAAGAAAUGAAUCAUUGAAGUGAAUUCUUUUCCAUUAUUUGACCGAAUUCUUUUAGCUUCCACAUUAAAUUGGGUAUGAACUAAAUAAAAGAAUGAUUUGAGUAUACCUUGAGUCUCUGACUUGAAACGCAUAAGAUAUACCCAUGUGUAUCUUGAAUAAUCAUCAACAAUUGUCAGGAAAUAGUAAGCAUCAGUAAGUGAUGGUACUCUAAAAGCACCCCAUAUAUCACAAUGAAUUAAUUCAAAGCAAGAUUGUGUUUUUAUUGAACUUAAGCCAAAAGAAAGUCUGGUUUGUUUUGCACGAUGGUAGAUAUCACAAACUUUAAUGGAAGCAAAAGAAACUCCUAAACUAGAUUCCAUGAGAUGUUUCUGGGGUGAUGAUGAUGGGUGUCCAAGUCUUUGAUGCCAAAGGCUAUUUGCAAAAGGCGUCUGACUGGCUUGGUUUAUUUGUGGCUUUGAUGUGAGGUAAUAUAGAGCAUUAUGCUGCCUCUCCAAACCAAUCAUCUUCUUCGUUUCCAGGUCCUGCAAAAUACAGAAAUUUGGGAAAAAGGUAAAUGAACAAUUCAAGUCCUCCGUCAUCUUACUUACAGAUAAAAGAUUUACGUGAAAGCUUGGAACAAGUAAGAUAUCUGGAAUUUUGAGUUUGGAGUCAAUUAUUAUUGUUCUAGCUUUUGUAACUUAGGCCUUUUGACCAUUUGGCAAUCCAACGUAUGGGUACUUUGGCUUCGACAUGGUUUGAAACAUGGAAGUGGUGGCUGCAAUGUGAUCGGUAGCAUCUGUAUCUAUGAUCCAUUGUUUCAACUCAUUUUUUUGAGAGCCAGUAAUCAAGCAAGAUGGGACAAACUGACCUAUGGCAUUUGCUUGAGGCUGAUCCAUGCCACUUUUACCUUUGAUAUUGAGCAAGUUCAAUAGCUGUUGAUAAUGCUCUUGUGUGAAGAAGGGCACCUCUUUCUGAACAUUAUUCACGUUUGGUUGUGACUUCUUUACUUCUCCAUUGUCUAACCGUUUGUUGUACUUGUGGCUGGUAAGGAAUCCAUGUAAAUGAUAGCACUUGUCCACCAUGUGAUUAGCACCAUUACAGUGUGAACAAUGAUGUUUUGAUCUUCCUUUCUGCUGCGUAUAAUUCCCUAAUUUUCUUACACUUGCCAGCAUUGCUUCCCUCGAAAUAGUGAUAUCUCUUUGUUUUUCUUCUUGCAAAACUAUUGCAUAAAUCUUUCCAAUAGAGGUAAUGGUUGCAUCAACAAUAUUUGACCACGAAUUGCUGAGUAGGUGUCAUUCAAUCCCAUUAAGAACUGCAUUACUUUAUUUAGUUGAUCUUGUUCAACAAGUUUUGAGCUUGCAGAAUAGGUACAUACUGGGACAUCAUUAUGGGAUGAGAGCUCAUCCCAUAAGCCCUUCAUCUUGGAGUAGUAGGCUGUGAUAGACAUGGUUUCUUGGUGUAAAAAAGCAAUCUCCCUUCUCAGCUAAAAGAUUCUUGGAGCAUUGUUUUGAGAGAAACGAUCUUUCGGAUCUUCCCAAACACUCGAAGCCAACUCUGUGUAGAUAACACUGUCUGACAAUGAUGGAUCAAUAGCAUUUAGGAUCCACGAUAACACCAUGUCAUUGCAUCUCUUCCAAGCUGCAUAUUUUUCAUCAUCUAUAGAGGGCUUUUCGAUGGAGCCAUCUAUGAAUCCCGUUUUGUUUUUGGCACUGAGAGCAAUGCUCAUUGACCUACCCCAGGUAGCAUAGUUGUCACCAUUCAAUGGUUUGGAACAAGACUCACACCUGGGUGAUCAAAAGAGUGCAAAUGAAACGGGUCUGAGGUGUUUCCAGUGGAGGUGUCUCCAAUGGAGUUCGAGGUUGUUGAUUUAUCUCCGCUCAUGAUGUAUGAACAAAGAGUGAAUACUGGUUGCUUCUAAUCAGAGAAAAUACCCAGGCAAUGCUUUGAUGCCAUGAAAAAUCUAGUGAUUACAGAAUAUUCUGAAGUAAUUGAAGGAGAAAUAUGCUCAACUUCAUUAAGUUAUACAAAAUACAUGUGUAGGUUAUAUACAAGAAUUCACAUAACUAAUUCCAUGAAAAUAGCUACUUUAAUUUAAAUUCAAACCAAUCUCUAUCAUAGCUAAUAUCCUUGGAACCUCUCAAUCUUUCUGUUAUGAUUUAUUUACACAUUUCAACAGUUCCAGAAUUAGAUUGAUAUCUACUGAUCAGACCAACGACAUAGCAAAUGUCGGUAUGAGUACACAUCAUAGCAUACAUCAAGGUCCCAAACGCACUGGAAUAUGAAACUCUAGACAUUCUUUUUUUUCCUCAGAAGUCUUGCGACAUAUGCCAAGACUUAGUGUUUUGGCUUUCAAUACAAAAAAUGUCAACGGAGUUGCAAUUCUCCAUUUUGAAACAUUAAAAAAUUUUCUUUAACUAUCAUAAUUUCUAAAACAUGUUUUUUUCCGUUAUACUAAUUUUUUUUCAAUUAUGAUUAACGAAUAAAAGUACAAAACAAAAUUUAUAAAUUGUCAGUGCACUAAACUUUGACAAGUAUACAUAUAAAUAUUUGUUAAAAUAUGUUAAUGAGUAUAUUGGUUUAGUAUUAAUUUACAUUUAUAUUAUGAAUCCAAACCAAGCUUACAUGCUUGACCAUUUCUUUACCUAAUCUAAUGUCCAUUUAGAAUCCAAUCACAUUACGCAUGAGCUCUAUCAAGCCUUAUAAGACAAAAAUACUCUUUUUUUUCUUUUUCAUUUUUUCCCCCUUUUGAAUAGUUAAAAUUUUGUUUAUAAGACAAUCGAAAUUAAUCUGACGUACCAAAUACAUUUAUAAGAAUAAUGCUAUUCCUCGGUUGGGUGUUCCACCAUGAUAACUUAUGAGCCAAUCAAACUUCUUCCACGGUCGAAAUUAUUCUCCCUUUUUUUUCUUUGGAUUUUGUUUCUUCUUUGUCUCUAUCCAUCUACUAAUUUACAAGCCAGGAGCUUGAGGAAGCAGCUUCAAAAAUUCUUUGAUCAAAUUCUGAAAAAUGAAAGAUAAAGAAAAAAUGUAUUCAUGAUAUAUUAUAGUCAAGUCAUUUUUCACUUUAUCUCCUCUACACUCCAUAAUUUUUUAUUUUGGGCCCGUUCAAUAUUAAUUAUAAGAAUUGAUUUUUUUUGACCGUUAGAAAUAAAAGUGGGUCCCACCUAUGAGUGAGAAAAUAAAAAAUGACGGUUGAAAUAGUGAAAUAACGGUAAAAAAAUUGCUACCAAACGAGGGUUUUAUAUAAUUUCGACAAGUGACUUGACCACUUGAGUGUAAAUGGUCUCGAAACCUUUUAUCUUGAAUGACGAUAUUUGCCUAUAACAAGGUGUUCAUACAUGCAACAUUUAGGUGAUAGCGGGAUGGUGACCCUAAGACGUUGAUAGCUUGAUUCUACCAAAUUUUGAAGUUGACACAAUCAAUACAGAACUCAAUCCCACUUCAAUCUUAACAUAAACAACGCUAUUAACAAAAAUUCAACUUUCCAUUGGCAAAAAAUUGACAUCCAAUCCGAUAACAAGCAAACUGUAAGAAGGGAGGAAAAAUGGUUCAAAAAGUAAAGUGAACAUUUUAUUCCAAAAUAAAUGUACCAAAAUUAAAAAUGAGUGAAUUGGCGAAGAGAGCUACGAAUUUCAGCGCCAACGAAGAUUUGAUUCCAUUAUUUUCUUACCGUAAAACUAGCUGUUUGAUUUGACGGAGCAAUUGCCAUUCAUGGCUUCUUGCUCUGUAAAUACAAUAAAAUUCAACGCAAAGACGAUUUCAUUGAUGAACCGAAAAUAUAGUAAAAUUCAACACAAAUAUUGGGCUGAUAGGAUAGAGAGUUUUCAACAGAUUCACUAGCUUUAGCUAUUAGCUCAUAAGUUUACAUGAACGACCAAGAAUUUUUAAGCUAAUCACUACUUAAACAAUAGCAAUUGGGCCCAAAUUAGGGGUGUUUUCCAUGGCCUUCAUGGCUUCAAAUCUUGGUUCUUUAGCCUGGAAUUUGAGGCCAGAAUAGAGUUUCAUGUAGUCCUCAAACACGAAUUUUGGGUACAACUCUUUAUUCUCUCCUCUCUCUGUCAAUUUCGAUGCUGGAUAGAUCACAGCAUCACUUCCAGGAUUGUAGAAUGAUGCAAGGGACAUUCUAUUUCCAUCUGUUUGUGCAAUCACUCUAUGCAUCACACUCUUGUACUUUCCAUUUGUAAUCACCUUUACACAAAGUCCGAAGGAGUUAAGCCUUAAUCCCAAUUACGAGAACAAUAAUAAGAAAACAACGGAAUAUAAAAACACGGGUUUUAGUAGCUUUUACUGUUGGGCAUACCUCGAGUUGGUCGCCAAGGUUGAUGACAAUGGAGUGGCGCAUAGGUGGCACAUCAACCCAUUCACCAUCUUUAAGAAGCUGGAGGCCACUUACCUUGUCAUCCUGGAAAAGUAGGAUGAUGCCACCGGCAUCAGUGUGUGCUCGAAGUCCUUUGAUGAGAUCCGGCUGGGGGCAUGGGGGAUAAUUGCUGACCUUGGUUCCAAAGUUAGGGCCUUUAGAGCCAUAGAAUGCCUUUUUCAGAUAGCCUUUCUCUAGUCCAAGAUUUUCACAAAGCAAAUCAAGAAGAUGCUCAGCCAAUUUCUCUAGUUUUGCAGCAAAUUCCUUCAUUGUCUUCCUGUUAGCAUUCAUAAAAUAUUCAACUAAGAUCAGAAAAAUCCCAGAUUAUAUAAAAGUUAGUCAUGAAAACUGAUUAAUUAACCUGUAUUCAUCUUCAAGAUCAGGGACUUCUGCUAUGUUUGAAUCAGGGAGAUGGCGGAGGAAGAAGGUACUUUCCCAGUCUAAAUCAUUGACAUCAGAUUGAACAGCUUCAAGUCCUUUACUCGCCAUCAUUUCCUUAAAUCUUUGUUCCAUGCAUUUUCUGUAGUGCUCCUUUGUCAGCCUCUCUACAGUGUCCAUGAAUUCGGGAGAAAUCCCAUGAUUCACCAGCUUAAUUACAAGAUCAUCAACCGUUAAUUUUUAGUACAAAUUUAAAAAUCCUUUUGGUUUUAUGUAUUAAUAACAGAACUAAUUAUAUAUUUAUACCUCAAAGAAACCCCAGUUUUCACAAGCAUCUUUCAUGUUCUCCAUUGUUGCAGCCCUUUCUUCUCCAUUGAGCUUCUCCAUGUUAAUAACUGGAAAACUUGCCAUCUUUCUCUCUCUCUCUAGUUAUUCUUAUCCUUCUCUUGCUGUUUUGAGUCUAUGAAUCACAGUGUUAAGGGGGGAACCUCGAGGGUAAUUUAUAGUGGUUUCCAGGAUGUGGUACCAGUACUGUACAAGAAAUAUAUGGCAGAAGAAUAAUUAAUUUAUUACCCCAAAGAAUCCAAAUCAAUAAGUAAGAUUAUCCUGACAAGACUGGUGGAACACGUUCGUGAUCACAUCUUCAUGGGCCCAUACCAACUUUAUUAUUAGCAUGGUCUUUCCAAACCUCCAUUUGUGAUAUGGGACCUAACUCAAGUUUUUCCCAUGCACGCUUGUAGUUCAUAGGGCUGCUUGAUGAAACUGCCUUUUAACUUCCUAGCCAGAACCUACAGUAAUUCCUUAAGUUUUUUUUAUUAUUUUUAAUACACGUGUUUGAUUUUUUAAAUAAUAUUUGUGCGCAGAAAACUAUUUGCACAAUACUUGACUUGGAAAGAAUGUUGAAGAGAAUUGACGUUUCAAACUGAAAAUUCACUUAGAAAAGUAAAAGGGUUAAGGAAAUUAUGUUUGAUUUUGUCAUCUAUGGAAUUGCUUUUUUCUUCCGUUUUAACCGUUCCUAUUAUUUUAAUGUUUUAAUUCACCAUAAAAAAAAUGCAUAUGGUUUAAACAUAUUAGUAAAUCAUGAAACCCGUGAUUAAGAUUUGUUAUCUACAGAAAUAAUGGUUUUUUUUUUUUUUUUUUGGCUCGGGGAGGUAAUACAUUGUUAUUUUUUAUUUUUUUAGCUAACUAUAGAUGUGGCAACUGGCACAUUUUAUUGACAAUAAAAAAUAAAAACAUAAUAAGUACCUAAGAGAGACAACGUCAAGUUAAAGAUGUAAAACAAAUAAUCGCGAUUGAACUUUUCCUGUCUCGAGGUAGGGAAUACAAAAUAAGAGCUAAAUAAAUAGUAUAUUGGUCGAAGACUACAUGAUUUGAACCUAAAAAGUGGAAAAAAAGAAAAAAGCAAGAAGAGCGUAUGAUCAAGUCGUAUUAAAAGUUAUUCAAGUUGCGAAUGCAUCUUGAAUGCCAAUUUUUUAUUGCGGUAAAUUUGUUGGAACAUAAAAAGUUUAUUGUUAAAAAUUAAAUAAUUAUUAGUUUUAGAAUUGUCUAGGCCGAGGGGUUUUUUUUUUUUUUUGCGUUAAUAUCACUGUCGACGUAUAGGCGGCUAAAAAAUUAUUUCCCCAUAUUGACUCUUUAAUUUUUAAUUUAAUAGUUAGAUUAAACCACUAACUUUGACCAAUCAAUUCAGAUAUUGUUUUUGAUUAUAAUUACAGUAGCCUCAAUUUUAUGAGAAAGUAGAUGUUUGAAUUUUGAGUUCAAUAUUUUUCUCUUAUUAAAUGUGAAUACUAGAAUUAAUAAUUUCAUCAAACCAAACCAAACUUUAAUCCUUGCAUGUUUGACCAAAUCAAUAUCUAAUCUAAUGUCCAUUUAGAAUUUACUCACAUUAUAAAUGAGCAUUCAUCAAACCUUAAUUGUUUGACAAGUAGUGUUUUGCUUCUUUUCAAGAUUGGGUUCUUGCCUCCAAACGAAAGCAAGCACGUAUUUAUUCUAUUUGCUAAGACAACAUGAACAAAAUUAAAGAACAAAAUAAACUGAAUUCUUAUUGUUAUACUUAGUAAUCGCUUCUUAUUUUUGAUUAAUUUUAAUUACUAGACAGAAUGAAUAUUAAAUAUCUCAAUAAUAAAAGUUUUGUUCACCCACCAUUAUUCCAAAACUUUAUAGGAAGUGGGUAUUAAUCUAGUGGGAAAAUGACAAUUCCUCUUUUUAUUUUGUAGUAAUCAAGAAGCAUACAUAUCCUCAUGUAUGUGUAUCUAGUAAUGGCAAAUUGGAAUAACAUAGUACAUAGAUAUUAACAAUGAGAUUGUGGAAAAUUCAAAGGACUACAGUUAGAAUUUUUGUGGCUAAAACAUAGUAAAUAAAAGAACUUGAAUAUCAUUUUUAUUUUAUUUCAUUUCAGUUUUUUUGUGGAGAAACCUCACAACGGUUAUUCCUGAAUUAUGAAAAUUUGAAUGAGCUUUUUGGUCAUAGGACUAUAGUUAGAAUCGCAAAGUAAAAAGUUCUUGUGAACCCAAAUUUUUAUUUUACUUCAUCUAUAUUUUUUUUUCUAACUUUGCUUAAUUACCAAAUAUUAACAUUAUUAUAGCUUAUUUUUAGAGAUGGCAAAAAAACUCGUUCAACCCAAUACCCAUGAGGCCUCGUCCCGAAUAGGGCGAGGAUUACCUGUCCAAUCGGGUAAAAGGGAAGGAUACGGGGAGAGGGUCAUUGCCCUGAAGCGAGUAUAGGGUUGGUAUGGGAAACAUUGUCCCCGCCCCAUUUCAAGUUAAUUUCAAAUUUAAAUUUUUAUCAAACAAAAAUAAUAGAUUUAUCAUCAUUUUUAAAGAGAACAUAAACUUUUUUCAACAAAGUAGGUAAAAAAGUAAUAAUAUUUACUAAUUAAGGACAUAACAAAGUAAAAGCAAAAAAUAAAAUAAAAAAUAAAUGGGGUAGGGGCCUCGCCCCACCACGUUCUGCUUUAAUUGGGUAUGGUAUGGGUAUGGAGUAAAAUAACAAAAAUAUCCGACGGGGCGGGGGUAGAAAUGGUCGACCCGUCCCAUAUCUGCCUCGUUGCCAUCCCCACUUAUUGUAUUAUUUUUUAUUGGCUCAAAACAAAGAGAAAAAAAUGAGAAGGAUAACAAUUUUUUUUUUUUUUUAAAUGUGAUGAUAGAGUCGAAUAUAACCCUUAUUCAACAAGAAUGCGACAUAUUUUGUUGUCGAAUAAUUUGGAAGUAGUUUUAGGUUCCUCGAAUUUGUAAUUUCAACUUUCUUCUUCACUUUCUAAUGCAGUCUCCAGUUUAGAAAAUGCCAUUCCUUAGUCAAAUUUGACGUGUUCAAAGGCCAGUCUCUGAUCCACCAAUAAAAUAUUCUCUAGUCAUUUUUUCUGGAUAAGUCUUGGUAUACAUAAUUUGGGUACAUAAGGGCGUUUACACUCCUCACAUGGGAUGUACCACACUUCUCACAUGGGAUGGGCCACACUUCUCACAUAAUUAAUUUCCCUUUUGUUCAUCCAAAUAAUUUUACAUUCCAAUUUUUAUGCAAGAAUUAAUUCAUUGAUCGAGACCAAGGAUGGUUAUCACAUGCCUUGUCUUAUUAUAUCACAAUCUCUCUUCAUCACUCACUAUCUCCUAAAUUCCAAUGCUUUAUGGUUAAAUUUUUCAACAUUCGGAAGGAAAAAAAACGAUCUAAUCUGCUCUUGAAUAGGAGAAUUUGGCAUUUGUUAAAAUGUGCUCUUCAAAAAAAAAAUGUUAAUUAAAUAUUUUUCCAAACUUAUUUAAUAAUUAACCAUGUAAACUUGUGCUUUGGCCUGGGGUGGAUCCAGAACGGAAGUUCAAUGGGGGUGAAACAAAAAAAACCUUAGGGCUGAAACAAAAAAAACCUUGGGAAAAAAAUCUGAAAGCCUAAAAAAUAAAAAAUAAAACUUGGAGAAAAAUUGAAGAUUUGAAAAUCGAGUGGGGGUAGCCAACCCCACUGGGCCUCAAGUAGGUUCACCCUUGAUUUUGGCAUGUAAGCGUGAUGGCUAAGUAUCUUAUAUGGCAAAGUUACGUGGUCUGAAGCAAAUGAAAAUACGGAUUCAACAAAAUCAACGUGUCAAGAUACCUAUAGUUUAUCAUUGGCAAGAUCUUAAAAAUGUUGAACACACUUUGAGUUAACGAGUAUCCCCAAAAGGACACGUAAUGGAACGAGGCUCAAGUUUGUAUUUUGUACAAGUUAAUCCGGCAUAGUCUCGACGUUGAUUAAAAAUUACAUCAUAUUGGGAUUUCAAGUUAAGAGUAGCAACGGUUAGGGUAGAGUUCCAUUAAUAAACCCCAUUAGUUCGUACGAAAAGUGUAUGGAAUUGAAUUUUCCAAGAGAUUUAAUAGAAGUGAGUUUAAGCUGAAAUUCUGAUGGAGAUAAGAGAAUGCAAUUGGUUAAGCCUUGUUAAAUAGAGGAAGUUGGUGGUGAAUCAUGAUUGGACUCUUUCAUAAUUUUCUUUUCGUAAAGAGGCUCUGAUAUCGUGAAAAGACUGAAUAUCAACUAAUGGAAAUUAAUACUAAUUACGCAGUCAUGGAUAAAAAUAAAAAUUAAAUAUUGCAUUCUAUUUAAUGUACAAAUAAGUUAUAACAAUUACUAAAAUAAAUUAUCAUGAUUUUCUUCAUCUCUAGCCAAGUCUAGUUAAACGGGACUAUACCACGUGAUGUUUAUGGAGUAAUUUUUGACUGUUGACUGGUAUAAAAGUCAAUAAUAUGGUAGCAAAAAAUUAACAGGCACCCAAAAAAUUCGAACUUAAUUCAGAUGAAAGGAAAUCGCGUUUUUUUUUUUUUUUAACCGGAAAAAGGAAGGAAUUCUACCAAAAUAUUGCAAGCGUUAACUAAUAUAUAAAAAUUAAAAGUAAUUAAUGGUUGGUGUAGAGAGAAGCGGGAAUCACGUCGGCAACAAAGACUAAAUUAGAUUAUUUUCCAGUUUAUCUUAGGUUUAGCAAAAUGGGAAUGCUAAACAUAAGAAAAAGAGAUCCUUGUAGGUGCAGUGUGUUGGGUUUUUUGAUACUCAAUAAUUCGGACAAUGAUUUAAAACAGUUGUUGGAUUAUUUAUCGACACCAUGGACUUGGCUCGACUCGGAGAUGAACUACACUUUUGGAUGGUUCGGGUUUGGGUUAGAUGAUUAUUUGGUUAGUUGGACCAUUUAGUGAUUAAUAUGGAGUUGAAUAUUGGCCCAUUAGUUUAGGUUAAUUGGUAGCCCGCUUAGUGAACCCUAAGCCCAAUUAGAGUGACCUAAACUAACCUAUAUAUAUGUAUUUAUCUCCCGGCCAUUUUUGUGGUGGUGUGUGUGUGUUGUAGCAAUGGAGAGGAGAGUUGAGAGAAGAGAGGCAACCGAGAGAGAGGGAAGCCAUGUGAGGUUGUGAGUAAGAUUCAAUCAGUGUUCUUCUUCCUCCCCAUACCUUUGUGGAUUGCUAACACCACCACCCUUCUCCUUUGUAGGGAUAGAGAGAAAGAGAGCAGUCCAAAGUGAAGGUGAAAGUCUCGGGUUGAGCCAAGGUAAACCGGUGUUCGUUUGAUUGUUUUCUGAGCUCGAAAUCAAGAUUUAUCGAGGGAUUUCCGCUACAAAUGGUAUCAGAGCUUGUGUUAUUGAUAAAUCUGUGAUUUUUGGGGCUAAAAAGGGGCUGGAAGUGGUCAGAAACGGGUCUGAAAAUCAGUUUUUCAAAUUUUUGCCGGAUCUGUUUUGGCGUUUUCUGGUGAAACCAAAAAGAGUUUGACGAAACGGACACCACCGGUGGACUGUGCAGGCGGAGAAGAAGUCGGAAGCGUGACAGGUUGCCCGCGCGUGGUCGGCCGACACGACGCAUGGGAAAGACGGCGAUGGUGCGUGAGGGCCCGUCCGUCUGAUUCCGGCGAAGCGGUCUUCAAACAGAAUCUUCCCCAUGACAAGAUGGACCCUGCAGUGUUUUCAAAUUUCAAUUUGGAGCAAUAUAGUGAAAGUUGGAUGAUUUUGCCCUUGGACGUUCAGGUGUCGGGUGCUGUUUUCGUGUUGCUGUUGACUUUAGGAUGAAGAGUGAUAGUUUUGAAGUGGUGAAUUCGCGUCUCUUGAUAUUUACGGACCUUUAGACGUGGUCCGCUCGGUAUCGUAUUCUUUGCUUUUUAUUAUUGCAGUUGAAAUAAAUGUGUAGAGUAAUUUAUUUUUUGCAUCAGAGGUCAUUGUGUGGGUGACAUUAAGUUUGGGGUUACCAUGAAGGGGUAACCAUUGCCUGUUGCUAGACCUAAGAAUUAUUUGUUAAUUAUUUGCCUUAAAUUCUUUGUUAAUUUGCUGUCAAUUUUUCUACAUUAUUAGAAUUGCAUGUGGCCUUAGAAAAGUUUACUGAACUAUUCUAUGUGAAUUAUGUUCAUACGUUACUUGUGGUCAUUAUUUGGCAUUGGUGGCAAAUGUAGGUCUAAGGUAAGUGUGAAAAAUAACAUAUAUUUUAACUGUGGUAAAAUUUAGAUAUAGUUGAAAGAGAUUGUCCUAAGAUGAUAAUAAAAGGAAAGAUGAGGAUAGAGAUAAGGCGAAUGUGACUUUAGGGUCGAGUAGUGAUCCUAGUGAGGUUUAUUGAGAGAAUAAACCUGGUUCUUGCAUUGCAUCUGUGUGUAAUCCUUUCUNNNNNNNNNNNNNNNNNNNNNNNNNNNNNNNNNNNNNNNNNNNNNNNNNNNNNNNNNNNNNNNNNNNNNNNNNNNNNNNNNNNNNNNNNNNNNNNNNNNNNNNNNNNNNNNNNNNNNNNNNNNNNNNNNNNNNNNNNNNNNNNNNNNNNNNNNNNNNNNNNNNNNNNNNNNNNNNNNNNNNNNNNNNNNNNNNNNNNNNNNNNNNNNNNNNNNNNNNNNNNNNNNNNNNNNNNNNNNNNNNNNNNNNNNNNNNNNNNNNNNNNNNNNNNNNNNNNNNNNNNNNNNNNNNNNNNNNNNNNNNNNNNNNNNNNNNNNNNNNNNNNNNNNNNNNNNNNNUGUGACAUUUGGAUCACGAGUGGAGAUGUGAUCAAAUGUGUAGAAUCCUUUAUCUGUGAAAGAGACCCUGUACAGGUGGAGUGUGAGAGAGGCACUCCUAUCACUUCUGUAAGGUGGAGUCCCAUUAUCCACGUAGGUUGGGAGAAGUGAUGUGGUGAUAGAGGAUUAUCCCGAGAGUUUAGGAUCUAUUGUGACUUACCAAUUAGACAUAACUUAAGUGAUCGGUUUAGUGAGCAUCGUGGGCGAUGAGAGGAGAUAUGUGUUCUCGAGGUGGGAGUAACACGGAAUGGGAUAGGAUAAGUAUUUUUUUUUAGGGUCAUUUAUGCAUGUGUUGCAUAUGUGGUUGACCGUGGUUUGAUUAACUAGGUGUUAAUCUGUGGUUCUGUGUGAACGUGAUUUUGAAAAGAUCUGUGUGUGUUAUCCUAUAUAUAUCUUCAUCGCAUGAUUNNNNNNNNNNNNNNNNNNNNNNNNNNNNNNNNNNNNNNNNNNNNNNNNNNNNNNNNNNNNNNNNNNNNNNNNNNNNNNNNNNNNNNNNNNUUGACCUUAGCCUUGGUGAGUACAUGGAGCAACUAUCGUAUGUGUUUCAAGUUGGAAACACGAGGUAAGGUCUGUUAUUCCAAUUUUAUUGGAUUACCUUGAUUGUGCAAGUAUAAACUUUGUGUUUUGGUUGCUUGCAGAUUAUUGGGCAUCAAUGUGGAGAUUGUUGGGUUUUUUGAUACCCAAUAAUCCGGGCGAUGAUUUAAAACAGUUGUCGAAUUAUUUAUCGACACUAUGGACUUGGCUCAACUCGGAGAUGAACUACACUUCUGGAUGGUUCGAUUUUGUGUUGGAUGAUUAUUUGGUUAGUUGGACCAUUUAGUGAUUAAUAUGGAGUUGAAUAUUGGCCCAUUAGUUUAGGUUAAUUGGUAGCCCGCUUAGUAAACCCUAGGCCCAAUUAGAGUGACCUAAACUAACCUAUAUAUAUGUAUUUAUCUCCUGGCCAUUUUUGUGGUGGUGUGUGUGUUGUAGCAAUGGAGAGGAGAGUUGAGAGAAGAGAGGCAACCGAGAGAGAGGGAAGCCAUGUGAGGUUGUGAGUAAGAUUCAACCAGUGUUCUUCUUCCUCCCCAUACCUUUGUGGAUUGCUAACACCACCACCCUUCUCCUUUGUGGGGAUAGAGAGAAAGAGAGCAGUCCAAAGUGAAGGUGAAAGUCUCGGGUUGAGCCAAGGUAAACCGGUGUUCGUUUGAUUGUUUUCUGAGCCCGGAAUCAAGAUUUAUCGAGAGAUUUCCGCUACACAGUGUAUAGGCAGCUUUUGUUCCCUGACUUGUUGAGGCACAUCCCGCAAUUUACCUCCUUCACAAAGUUCUAGGGACGAGGCGAUGAGGGCCCUCAAGAUUGGAGUUCAACCUUUUAAACAUAAGAAAAAGGGAAGUUCAAAUGAAUAAAUAUAUCAUUUGCUUCUUGUUAUCAAAACACAGAGUCCUUUUAGGGGUCUCUCAAUGAAAAAGAGAUUGGAAUAUUAAGUGAGCCGUGCUACCUGGAUCGUUAGGUCUGUCCCUUGUUUAAUUGGCCAAUAGGAGGCGCCACAUCACCACCUAUUUUGACAGGUACAUUUGUUUGAGUAGAAUUACUCAUAUUAAAUUGGACGAGCCCAACUACUUUGGUCGCCUAUUGUCGAGCUCAGCUCGAGAAGCAAAUAGACUUGUGCUCAAUUUGGAAUAAGUCGAGUGGGAGUUGGUUUCUCAAUUGAGGAGUGAUUCAGUUUGCGCCAUAAGCUCCGUGUAUCAGAGGCGGAGGUAGUGGGGGACAAUGCUGGGCUGUAGCCCAGCAAUGUCCUCCAACCCAUAUAAAUUUGUAAGAAAAAAAUUUAAAAUUUUGGCACAGAUAUUAGCAUUGGCACAGUUCUAAUUUAAAUCUCAACUCAUGUUCAAUACUCAAUUAUUCAAAGGGAAAAUUUCAUAACUAAGAGGAUAACUAUUACCCAUUUCAAAAGUAAGAAUAAAAGUUUCAAAGUUCAAAAAUCAGAUAUUUCAUUAAAUUUUAUUUAUUAUGUAAUUAAUUAUAUAUUUUAUUAAUUAAAUACAUUAUGGUCACAGAUUUAUACAAUUUGAUCACAAAUUAACGAUUAGUUAGUCACUCAUUAUUUCUUGGUUACAAAUCAAAAUUUUUAAUGCCACAAAUUAUUUUAAGGUCAUAAUUUAAAAUUUUCGUAGGUCACAAAUUUGUUCGUCGAUCACAAAUCAAAAAUUUAUAUGUCACAAUUUAUUUAUAGGUCACAGAUCACAAAUAUUAUAAAUCACAAAUUAUUAUAGUCACAAAUUAUCAAUUAUUGGUCAUAGAUUAGUAUUUUUUUGGUCAAACAUUAUUUUUUUGUCACAAUUUAUCUUUUUUAUUGGUCACAUAUUAUUUAUUGGUCACAUGUUAACCUAUUUAAUUGUCACAAUUAACCAAAUAAUUUGUGACCACUACUAACACUUGUGAGCACCACUUUACCACAGCCUCCAACACCACCACCACCACCACCAUAGCCGCAAGAACCACCGCCACCACCUAAUCUAGCUCAACUAUCGACCAAAUUUUCACUGCACACCGCUCCUCACAACACCAUACCACCACCGAAAAAUCCCCAAACUCAACGUCACUGUCACUGUCGCUGCCACAACACUGCACCACCACCAGAAAAUCCCCAAACUCGAUGUCUUCGCCUUGCGAUCACCACCACCACCACUGCCUAUUUCAACAUUCACCAACACAAUCAACUUUAAUCAACCAUUUCCUUCUCAUCUACAACCAGCACCACCAACAUCACCACUGUCUCAAAGCACGAGGCAAUCACCACCACCACAACUGCACAUAACCAACAAAACCUCAACCAAAAAUUUUCAGCGCCAGAUUUUCACCAAAUUUUUCAGUUGCCACCACCAAAUAACCAAUUAACCACCACUAAACAACCAAUUAACCUGAUUAGAGAAGUGUUUGGCUGUGGAAGGAAUGCGGUUGGACCGGAGAAGAGAUAGGAAGACGGAAAAGAUCUUCGAUCCGAUCUAUGAACACCGAGUCUUGAGUCGAUCGAUUUGAAAGAGCAGAUAAUAGGGAGUCCUGGCCACCGGAUCGGAUGGUGGAGACAGUAAGCUUGCCUACGACGUUGAGCUUGAUGCGGUCGGCUCCGAUGGAUUGGGUGGCAAAAGUAUUAUUGGGAAUCUCGUCCUCCAUAUACAGUUGUUACUGGGAGCUUAUUGCUUGGGAUCAGUUCACAAUCUGCCAUCGUGGGUGGCAGUGGUGUGAGGAAGAAGUGGUGGCGACGCCAUGAGUGGUUGUGGUGGAGGAAGGAGAGAAGAUGAAGAGAGGGGGAAAUCGUGGAAGGGGAGAUGGCUACGAAGAGAGGGAAAAAUGGUGGAAAUAAUUUUAGGAUUUGGGAUGAAAAUUGUCUAUUUAAUAUUUAAAUAUGAUAUUUCUGAUAUUUGAAAGGUGAAACUUGUCAUCUGAUUUUAGAACUCACAAUUUUAAAAGUAUGAUUUUCUGUAAUUUUCACUUAUUCAAAUUAUAUUAAAGACAUUACAAUUAUUAAUUACUCUUUUCAAGACAUUUAUGAAGUGUAAAUAUUUUAUUGUCAAACUAGAUAUUCUAUUUAAUACAUUUUUGACUAAAAUUUACUUAUAACUAUUAAGUAAGUUUUAUUAUAGAUAACUUGUAUUGAUUAACUGUAAAAAUAAAUUACUUAUUUUAAUAGUUAGAGACACUACAUAUUUUUCUAAAUUGCGUAUGAGAAAUUCACUGCUAAUUCAUAUUUAUAAAAAAAAAUACUUAAUUUGACCAUAAAGUAGAUAUUUAGAUGAAAAUAAAUAACUUACUAUAGAUUUGAUUGACAAUAAAAAAAAAUAUUUGUUAAAACUUAUUUAGUUAUAAAAUAAUCUAUAUUGACAAUAAAAAGAAUAAUUGUUAAAACUUUAAGUUGUUUGGAAAGAUUGGUUGUCAAAGUUACUAGAAGAGUAUUCAUUAAGUAAUUUUUUAAAUUCAUUGGUGGAUAUGUAUUUUUGCUUAAUUCUAUCAUGAUUCGGUUAGUUUAUAUAUUUUAAGGUAACCAUCAAUUUUCUAUUUGGUAAAAAAAAUACAAAAUUUAAGUGAAAUAUCUUAAUGUGAGACAUUUAAUUUUUUUUUUUAUUUCAUUGAAUAUUGCAUACCUUUUAAUGUGAAUGACAUAAAAAUAGACUUCGAAACUCGAUUUCUUGUUAAGUUCAUUAGAAAAAAAUUUAAAUUUCAGCUCAUCCUAACAUUCUUUUCUAGGUCCGUCCCUGACAUAUAUAUAUAUAUGUGUGUGUGUGUGUGUGUGUGUGUGCGCGCGCGCGCAGCAUACAACUCUCAAUUGUAUUGCGCUCUCCAAAUGUGCUUGUUUCGCCUUGGAAGGGAUACCAAUCCGACGGCUAUGUCUAUUAAGCUCAUAGGGAAUAAACCAGUAAAUAGGUUCUUAGAAUGAGCUCGAGAGCAACUCAUUCCACUUGACUUACCUCAAAAGGAAUUAAUGGUUGAGUAUAUAUUGCCCCUAUUAGAUCCCUACUUUUGUAAGAAAAUAUGUUUUAGAAUGUAAUUUUUUAGAAAAUGUGUGACUCAAAAAUAAAGAAAAUUUUUCAAUUUACUUGUAAAAUUAUUUAUAGAAGAAUAUAUAAUAAAAAAUAAGGAUUAAACAUAUCCUGUAUCAUGAAUUUCAAAAGAAAUUUUUUCGAAUUCUGAGGUCUAUUAAGCCCUUAUUUGGUCUCUAUUUUUUUCCAAAUUUUAGGGUUUGGAAUAGUAUUUUUUGAAGAAUGUGUGAUUGAAAAAAAAUGAAAAGUUUUCUAUUUAUGUGUAAUAUUAUUUUAUGAAAUACUGUGUGGUUAAAAAUAAAAUAGAAGAAACAAAUGAAACGAGGGCUAAAUUACAUCAUUACAAGAUGAAGAAGUUUCUAGGGCCUUGAAAUAUCUUGUGGUAUAGAAUGGCCCAUUCUACCAAUAAUUAUUUUCCUUGUUUCUCACGAGUGUUCUGACUCAUUCAUGACCACUUGAUUUUAAUUGGUUUAAAUUAAAAAAUUUUAAAAAAAUAAAAUUGAUAUACUAUUGUUAGUACCCAUUUUAGUUAGUGUAAUUUUCAAUUGAGGCCAGCAAUUAUUUUCAUCAUAUUAAAUUGACUGAUUAAAUGUUUUUCGAAGAUUUUCCAAGUUUAAAUGAAAAUGAGGUUAAACCAAUUGAAAUCACGUGAAACUUCACGAAACAGUGACUUCCAAGACAGAGCGGAGAAGAGAAGCAACCCGUAUUCACGGAAUCACAAUCAUAAUAAGAUAGUUAAAAAGAUUGUCACCUAACCGAGUUAAUUAAAUUAACAAUUAAGCUACUCGUACACGGUGACAAAUUUAGAAUUGGAGUUCAACUAAAGCGGACGUUACCGUUGACUAUUGACCGAUGAUAGUCAACAUCCAUAAUAUCGUGAAAUCGAUUAGAGGCAGUGGCGGAACUAGAUACACUACUAGAACUAGAUAUGAACUUUUGUUUUGGUUUAAAAAAUCGUUCCACUAUCUGUAAAAAGCCCCAAUUUGCAAUUCAAUUAAAAUUGGUUCAAAAACAAAGACCACGUACACCCUGAAAAACAGAGCCCCAAUAAUCAUUUUUCAAUUAAAAUUAAUUAAACAUACAUCAAUAUAUUAACAAAAUCAAUUAAAAUUGAUUCCAAUUUAUCAAAAAAAAAAAAAGUUCAAAUUACUUAUAAUCUACAAAAUUCUCCAAUAAUAAUUUAAGUAGGAACUAGGUAGGAAUUUUUUCUUGAAUUACUUAUUGCAAAUCACGUUUAUUACUGAUAAAACAUAAAUCAUAAAUGAUAAAUCAAAAUAUGAAUUAAGAGGUCGAUGUCGACGGCGACUUGCAGGAAGCAGUAGCAACAGCAAGUUGCAGGGGUUGAAUUCGAAAUCCCAAGGCAGCAAGACGGGGAAGGAUUUGCGUGCAAAUGGAAAAUGUAAUUGUCGAAUUGGCUAACAUGAAUAGUGGGUAAUGGAUUUGGAAAAUGCUUUUCUAUUGGAAUUUUGUUAUUUGUACACCGAUGUGAGAGGCCCACGUCCAAUAAAAAAGCGUGGACCUCUUCUUGUUAGGGGCACGUACAUUGGCAUGUGUACAUAUAGCAAAAUUCUUUCUAUAGAACCAAUGGUCCAACUCUAUGCUACAUGAAAAUAAAUUUAGGCUUAAUUUUUUAAUGAGAAUAAUACAUAAUUACUAGACCAUAAGAAUCACAUUUCACAAUAUAUAUAUAUACACACACACACACAUACACAUACACACACAUAGCAGAGUUACUGGAGUUGCUCUUCUUACAUCGCCUUUCUGUCAUCAACGACUUUGGCCUCCAUGUGCAGUAGAUUUCCGCCCAAAAUAUCCACCUCACCAUCGGCACAGUACCACACACUGCCGAACACACAACAAUAAUGCACCACACACAGAUUGCACCACCUAUUUCACUUUCAAAUAUCACCGAAUCUUGCGUGGUUCACUGGGAAAAUACCAAAAAGAAGACAACAUAAUGGAGGGAAAAUUGAAAUGGAAUCCAGGCUUGUGGGGUGGGGUGGAUUGGAGAUAGGUGAUUUUUGGGGAAAGCAUGAAAAGAGGAUAGCUUAAGCUUAAUGGAGGGAGAACUGAAAUCUGGGCUUCUGGGAUGGGUUGGAGUGGGCGAAGUUUUUUUCAGAAGAAACCUUUGUAGAAGAGAAAUUGACUGAACUAAUUGAUGCUUUUGGGGUGAGUGGAACGAGUGGUGAAUAAAUAUGAUAUUUAAACCAAGGAAGAUAUUUUCCUUAAAAACUUUUGGUCUUUUUUUUUUUUGGUUGCUUUUCCAACACAGCUGACAUAUGUUCAAGUAUUUAUUUUUUGCAUUAUUCAAUCAUAAUUGUAUGUGACUUGCUUAUCCAAAAUUGCUAUUGUAAUUAUAAUUAUCUUGCAAAAAU
rnacentral:lncRNA from 1 species